rnacentral:lncRNA from 1 species
UACCGGUGCCCUCGCAUUGACCAACAAAAACCAAUUAAAAUAUUCGAUAAUGCUCGAAAUAUUUUUUUUCAUUCCUCGGCUUGUUAAAAAGUAAGUAAAUGGUUUCAAUUUUAUCUUUAUACUUCUCAUCAUUUGACCGUGAAAACCCGAAACUAAUGAUCUUUUGUCACCCGCGAAACCUACUGCUGAUGUGAUAUAGUUUUGGCUCGGGACUUGCCACAUCGUCCACCAAACCGCUGUCGGUUUCUUUCUUAUCGUCGCCGCAUGUUGUUUCUGCUAAAAAAUGUCUUUCGUGUAGGGGUGAUGGCGGUUGGUGAGUACAAAAUACGACAAGUGGUGUGUUGUAACCAUGUAAAUCGACGACAUGAUUUCAAAUCAAGCACUCACAAAUCGAUCUCAAGCUUCAACGAUCAUCGCCAAACUGUUGGAUCUGAUAUGCUUGCCCUGAGGGUUGUUAAAGUUUGACUUAGCAUCGAAUCCUAGUGAUUUGAUCAGACGGUUGGUAGCAUCGACAUAGAAAUAGUUAUUAAUCAGUCACCUUAGAAACAACAAAACAGAAAAGUUAUAAUCAUUUAUCCACCAUACAAAAUUUAAUUACGAAUAUGACUUUGUGCCAGACAUCAUUUUCUGCAAGACGUCUGAUAAACUAUGACAAAGAGCCGUUGAACUUUUGAACUCAGCGAGUUCUUUCAACAGUUUUUCUUCUUCUUCUCUUUUGUCUUAUUACGAGGUUUGCAUCUUCUUCCAUAGACCACCUGUUUUACCACUGAACAUCAAGCAAGCUGUGUGGUGUCAAUUGUGUGUCACCUCUCCUCUGCCAGGAAAUUCAACGUGGGCAGCUACUCUCCUACUGGCAUCCAAGCGCGAGCGCUAUGUCUAGUCCGAGUCCCACAUUGGUCCUGAUAAUGAUUCGGAGAAUAUGGGUUGUUGUAUUCCGUAAUAUAUCGCUACCACCUUAUGUAAUAAUGAAAAAUAUCGUAGAAGACUUUACCUCAUGGUCUCAUUGGCUUUGGAAAACCGAUUUAAAGGUAGUCACCAAAUCUUGGCUUGACUAUCUAUGGUUGUGUUUCGCGAUUCAUGUAACUCAGUAUCUUUGAGUAAUGAAAUCCAUUUUGUAGUAAAUCUGGCAAUUGCCGCAGCUUUGUAUAUAUUCAUUUUACAUAAAGAAGACGGUGCUGUCAUCUCCACAUCGACUCAUGCAUGCACGCACAUAUUACUUCGAUCGAUAAUUUCAUUGAUUCGUAGGAGGGUGUGUAAUUAGUUGCUUUCAUGACCGGCUAGUGGCAAUGUGCACUCGUAUCAAACUUUGUCAGGAAUGUCUUCAUUGGAUCGGAAGAAAAGAAUAUGUUCAAUAGAUCAACAAUUCAACAUUGUUGGUCGAAGGUGAGAUCGCUAUUGCACGCUUUGCCCCUGAGGUAAAUUUCCCGAUUCUUACGUUAAUGCCGCAGAUGUAUGUAGAGAAUAUAAAGUAACUUUUCUUAUGCCAAGAGAACAGGAAAUCCCUUUCGGAUACGGGGGGUACAUACGGAAUACUUCCAGCAUAACAUGCAUUAAUUAUCCCCACGAAAGAUGCAUUAACUAGCACAAGAACGGAGCCCCAGCCUGGUCACAUGGUGCACCCAUGUCCGUGUAGUCGAUGUCGAACCCACGUUUGCAAAUCUUGCCUUUUUCUUUUUUUUUUUUUUUUUUGAGAACAUCUUGCCUUUUGCUUGUUCCAGCCAAAGGCAAGCUGUGCACUUGGACCCGUCGGUCGACACGUCUAAGGUUCCUGGAAAAGGCCCAAACCGGCUCCAAAUCAACCCGGAUAUCUUCUCUUUCCCAAAGAGUAGCACGAGUAGAACACGGAUUUCCUUUCCCCAAAUCUUCGCUCCUCAUAUUAACGGGCAACCACCGCACCGGGACGCGAAGCCUCGAACGAGAGGAGAGAGAUCAGAUUGCCUUGCCCACACGACCAACAACGCUUUGCUAGGCGAGGCGCGCGACCAUGAGAGGCGAGGCGAGGCUGCUCUGCGGUCUGCUGCUGGUGCUGCUCUGCGUGGCCGCGAGCUUCCAAGGCGCGCACUGCCGCGGCGCCGGAGGCGGGGGCCACGGGGGAGGAGGCCGCGGCGGGGGCGGAGGACGCGGCGGCGGCAGUUCCGGGAGAGGGAGCGGCGGGGGGAGAGCCCGUCCGAUUAUCGCCGGGGCCGCGGCGGGCGCGGUCGUCGGCGCCGGCGCCGGCUACUUGGGCGGCAGGGCUGCGGGUGCGGGGCGCAGCGCCGCGGGUGAGCCGCAUGGCCGCGGAGUCUGGAGGGCUUCCGGUGCCGCCGCCACCCUCGCGGCCGCGGCGCUCGUUCGGUGGCUCUGAGCGUGCGAGACUUCUUCAACCGUAAAUCUCGGUACACGAGGGGAUUACUGAAUUACGAGUAGUAGCAAUUUAGCAGCAGUAGGUUGACGAGUGGAUUUGUGAUUUCUUACUGCUAGUUUCGGUUGAUGCAUGUGUAAGUAUUACGAGUUCGCACGGUGAAUUUUUUUUAACGAUCUCACACGGUAUUCUGAGUAGUACUAGAAUUUGGUAGUAGUAGUUCUUGUUCAUAUGAUGUGAUUUUUGUUUGGUUGUGUGAUGCUGAUGCAGUUGAAGAAGAUGAGUAGUCAUUAUCCGGCAAUAGUAAAACUUUACUCAUAAUUGUACCUUUUACUUGUCUUUUCGUUCGAUUUUCUUUCCGGCCACGGCGAGGAUGUCUGGUGGUGGUAUGCUAUCACGCCAUCAGCCAUCAGGAUUCUUUCAUGUGCUAUAUCUGUAUGCAGUAUGCCUGUAGAUGAUGCCUUCGUGCGCUUACGGCUUACCCCCUCAGUAUCGGAGAAAUUCAACCAGGUCUGUUUCAGUUUGCGCCUUUUUGUGCGCGUGUGCAGAGUUCUCGUUGCGCCGUUGCGCAAGUAUUGACAAGAAAAUGCAUUCAAUACGAUCAAAGAGGCAAAGAAUGAGAUGCCUUUUGCAACAACUCAAACAAUUUGGAAACGAGAAAAGUAUUCUUCGUCCUCUAACUUACUAAAUAAAUACAUAUAAUGAAAAAAAAUGCACGUCUUCCAGCUGUAGAAAUCCGACACCGAUGGUUCAUCAUCCUCGGCAGAGCGGUCUGCGGCACUACUGCUAAUGUGACACUUUUUUGGUCUAGAAAUUGCAAUGUCGCCCGUCAAGCUGGCAUGCAGUUGACUAAUCAGUUAGAGUCACACAUUCUAACUUCUACGACUAAGCUCACUUCCUCAGUUCCUCUGUCCCUCUCGACCCAAAACAUAGUAGCUACUCCAAGAGAGCAAGAGACCCCUUCUGUCCCAACUUGAGCUGUUGGCUGCAACGCCGGCAACUUAGCUGCGGGCACAACAACGAUGACUCAGCAAUGGUUGCAACGACUGGGUCGUUGUUGUGACUCAAUGUGAGCGCAACAACUACGACAACCUUGGUGAUGACCGUCAGAGUUUGAGAUCGAUCAGCGAAUACUUGAUUCAAAAUUGUGUCGUCGAUCUGCAUGGCCACGACACUCAGCGCCGUUGUUAGCAUGUCGCGAACCAUUAGUCCCUUUUUUUUUGUCUCUCUGUUUCCAAAAACAGAAGCCGAAUCCUUCUCAACGUCGGCUAGUGCCCCAAUUCCGAGAUCGAACAGGUAUCCGGUUCCGACCUCCGAUCAAAGCAAUCCCAGUCGUUCAUCGAACACCAGAGCGUUCUCCCGGCCGCCGCACCCGCCAUCAUAUAUGCCCGCUGAACCAAUCUCAUCGAUCACAACAGCAACAGAUCCACAUCGCUUUCGCAAGGCGGUUUGCCCUCGCGCUUCUUCUGCUCCUCUUCGCGCUCGCGGCCGUCUUCAACGUUAACGCGGCCCGAUCCCUUCCGGGCCAGCAGCCAUCUGAGGCCGUGUCGACGGCGGGCCAGGGGCCGGCCCAGCUCCGCCAGCCCGCCAUGCUCCCGGAGGUUGAGCCGGUGCCUGCGUCUGCAUCGCCCCUUGUUCAGUUCGGCGAUAGCAUGACCGUUUACCAGGAGAUUCUCGAACAUUGCGGCGUGAAUCAGAAAUCCAACACGUUACCUAGUUUUGACGACGGACCGGCAAUCUGCAACAUGCGAUCGAAAAGGCCAGUGCGCACAGACUUGGUGUGAAUCUCGGCGGCGGAUCAGAGAAGGACGGGCCCCUGCUCAUCUGAUGUGUAAAGCUGCUAGUACAUCGCUCCAAGGCUUCGGCAAUACUAAUAGAACCCCGUUUUUUUUUGCAAGACAAUAGACUAGUAGUACAACCUUGUUUUCUGUAACGUGUGUAAAGAGCCUACAGGCUAGGGUCGGCUGAUAAUCAAAAGGGACAUUUUUAACGCUAUAUACAAGAAAAGAAAUCUGAUUCUGUAAAACAGCAAACAAAUAUAAAACUGAAAUUUGAACUUUAAAAAAGAAGAAGAGUCGUUUCCUUGUAAAGAAAUACAAACAAACCAGCCUAAAAAGAAUCCAUACAGAAGGCCUGCUAGGAAAAAGCCCCCCUAAAAAUCGAGAAAUAUAAGAAGGCCCACAUCAGCACAUAACCAAAACAAACAAAAUAAGGCCCAGAGAGGCCCAUUCAGUUUCACACAACACAAACAGCCUUCUUCUUUUUUGCGAGAAAAACACAAACAACCGUAUAGGAGUAAUUGAUGUAAAUCGGUUGAUCUUCCCACGAGUGAAACCCUAGCCGUCAGAGAAAAAAAACCCCGUUUCCAUCUUUGUUGGUUCCCCUUGCCUCUGAUAACCCAUCAGGAGGUGAGGGGAACCACGGAUCAACAUCUGGAAUCGUUUUUAGUACCUUCUUUGUAAGGUUUUCCGUGUCCUUGGUGGCGGCGUUCCAACAGUGGAGGCGGCGACGUGUGGAUUAUUGGUCUCCCAGCUCCAUCGAUCCCCGUUCUGGCAUGGCUAUCAUGGUCUACUCCAUGUAGUAUUGGGACUCACGGCUCGUAAUUUCAUGAUUUUGGUCAUCUUCCUUAACGUUUCAGCGAUGAUUCAAUGGUUCGACAACCUGUCUUGUGAGGGGCGUGUCUCCGGCCACCACGGUUCAACGAUAUUAAGUUGAUAAGUUCUCACCUGUUAGGAUGGGCGGCUCAUGCGGCUCAGUAAAACCUAUAAGGUUAGUCCAGAUUAUGUAGGUUUGGUCUUGUACUGUUUCGUCACCAUAGAUUUGGAAAAACAUCAAGAUGCGAUUGACGCAACUAGAGAAGUUGGGUUCAAAGAUUUUUGAUGUAAAGUUGUAAACCGAAAUCUUUGUUGUCGUUUUAGUUUUUCAAUCAAUUAUACUACGUUCGUUGAAUAAAUAAAGUCAGAUCGUUGUUCUAAAAAGAGAGUAAUGGAUGUCGAAUAAAUUAUAGAUAAUUAUAAAACUAAACGAAGAUAAUAUUUUCAAAAAAGAAGAAGAAGAAGAUAAGAUUUUAAAAAAAUAUCGGUUUCUUGGCUCCUGCCUUCCCAGAAGCGGCAAACAGACACCGACCGAUCGAGUCCCCAACCACACCCUCCACAUAUACUCCCUUCAUCCAACAAUAUGGGACGUAUUAGCUUUUCUUUAACCAAUGCUUUGACCACAAAUUAUUCUAUUAAUAUAUAAUUAUACCACAUAUAUUCAUAUCCAUUAUGUACCUACUCAAGAAUAUUUGCUUAUGGUUAUGAUUCUGAUCACAUUAGUCACACAUUCAUGAAAUAAUUUGUGAUCAAAUGCUUGGUUAACCCAAUCAUAAUAUACCUCCUGUGGCUGGACGGAGGUAGUAACACGCAACAAGCAGCCCCAAGAACCGGAAGGCGAUCGAGCUUGCGCGCGCAAGAGGUUUCCAAAUCCCAUCUGACCAGAACAACGACGCCAACGACAACGACCAUGAAAGGAGGAACAAAACUGAUAUGUGGGCUGCUGCUGGUGCUGCUCUGCGUGUCCGCCCGCCUCAAGGGUGGCUCCUGCGCCGGCGGUUUCGGCGUCGGAGGGGGCUUUGGCAUUGGUUUUGGUGCAGGGUACGGCCGGCCGGCUCCGGUCAUGGAGCCGGAGCCUGCCGGCGGGCCCGGGGCGGCCGCCGUCGUGGGCGGAGGCGCUACCGACGGCGGCACUACUGCGGUGGCUGCCGCGGGUGACGCUCGUGUCCGCGGUGGCGUCUAGAGAGCGUCCGGUGGCGCCGCUGCCCUUGCAGUCGCCGCGCUUGUCUGGCGCUAGCUGAUGGUGUGCGUGCGUGCGCCAAGCCAAGAUCGAUCUAUGUUCUACGGUAGACCAGUGAAUUUAGGAGUAGUUUUGUGGAUCGGUGGCUGCAUGUGUAAAUAUUACUCGAUCUUAGUCUAGAGCGGAGUUUUGAUCAGGAAUUCAGGUGCAGGGGUGGGCAUGAAAACUGAGAAACUGAAACGGAAACGGAAGCCGAUUGGACCGAAAUCGAAGAACCGUUUAAAACUUCGGUCAGCAAAAUCAAAGAACCGAAGUUUGUUCGGUUAAUUGGGUCUCUUGCCUCGGUUAAACAAAAAAACCCGAAGAACCGAAAUUCAUUGCUGCAUCUUUAAAAUUUAAUGUUGUCAUUGCAUGUUAGAUGAUAUUUACUGGCUGCUGCCAUUGCGUGUGUCUGUGUCACACAAGAUUAUGUGUUUAUUUUUGCGUGUAAUUUAAAUCUAUUUUCUGUUCUAAGUGGAAGAUUGAACUAAAUUUGUUUUCAUUUUUUGUUUGCCGUAAACACAAUGUUCGGUUAGUUCGGUUCCGAAUCGAAUUUUCUGUGAACCGAACUUUCGGUUAUCAAAAUUUUCAAGAUGACUUCGGUCCUCAUAUCAGAAGAACCGAAUUUCAUGAAAACCCGAAGAACCGAACCGAAAUUUCGGUUAUAACCGAACGCCCACCCCGAUUCAGGAGUAGUCUGUCCCAGCCUUUUGAUUUCUUUUAGAAAAGUCUGGCUUCAUUGAUUUUUGUUCUUCGACAACAUUUGGUACUGAGGUCUGGAUUACGAUAAUCCAGCUUUACCAACCAAUUUCUUUUUGGCUAUUUUCUAUUUGUCUGAUCAAUUCUUUCAUGUUUUUAUUUGCAUUUUUCACAGCAAGUUAUAAUUCAGCACAACACAAUUUAGCAAAGUCAAACUAAUGCUUAAUCAAGAAACAUAGCAUAGGAAAACUGAAACAAAAAACAAGAAACUAAUUGCUAGAUCUCUCUCCAUGUCACUUGUGAUGAAACUAUAAACGACCAGACCUGGACAAGUAAACUAACUUCGUAAGUUUCUAAUAACCACAUAAGAGCAACUCUAGCAGAUACCCAUAUGGCCGAUCCGAACUCCAUAUUAGGUUUUGGGCCAAAAAUCAGCACGGAACAGAUCCUCGAAAAAGGCCCGGACCGCAAAACGUGUUUCGGUUUACCCCAAAAACCAGCCCAGGGGCCGCCUAUAUGCCUACUCGAGAGGCGUACUCGAUGUCCACACCCCACUCUCUCGCCGCCCAAAUUCGCCACCAAACCCUACCCCGCCGCCAAAUCCGCUGCCCUUUCUCCUUCUUCUCCAACUCCAGCAACCUAGAUCCCGUCCCUUCCACCGCAAUGGUUAUAGAUAGCCAACUGGCCGGCCUGGCUCCGACCCAGUAUAUGCUAAACGUGAUUGGCCCGGGCACGGCCCGAUGAAGCCCUGGAAUAGAGAGGGGCCAGCCCGGCCCCUUAAUACGUCCUUCUGGCCCAGGCGCGGCACAAAGCUCCGUCGGGCCGGGCCGGGCCCGUUAAGGCCUGGCAGGGCCUGAGGAAGCCCAUCUCUGCAUAAGGCCCAUCUAAGAAAAUAAAUAAAUAAAGGGCUAGAAUGGGCCAAAAUUGUUGGGCUGGACCGGAAUUUUGAGGAUACAUGGGCCAAAUGUAGGAAAACUAUAAAAAAAAACAGGUCGUGAGGAUGAAGCCCAGGCUCGGCACAGGCGGGGCCUCAGGCCGGCCCGACCCAAUUAGUUUUGUGCCGGGCUUGGCACAAUCGGACCAAGCCCGCCAGGCUUUCGAGCUUUGCCAAAAGGCCCAUCCCGUUGGCCAUCUAUAGCAAUGAUGCACCCCAUAGCAUCCCGGGGGUCCGCUGGUCACCGUACCGCUUCUCCGCGCGGGCAGGAAAACCCUAGCGGCUGCUGCGGCGGAGGGGACGACUAUGAGGCGGUGCACCAUCGUUCCAUCAGGGUAGGGCGGCAUGCCGCCUGCAAAUGGGAUAAGCACCGCUUUACGAACCGUGAUGCUGAGCGCCGGUACUAGCAAUAUCUGGCGGAGGAAGCUGCGCGGGCGGCGGGGACUUGGGCCGGCCCCCGUGGCGGGGGCACGCCGCGUCAGGGGGAGGCCGAGUCCUCUCGUGCGGCCGUGCACCACCGCGCAUUUUCGCCCACUCGUCAAAGACGAGGAGGAUCUUCUCGUGCAAAGCUUUUUAAAAAAAAUUCAGUUCUUAGUUCGGUUUCUGUUCUGCACGACGUAUUUCUGAACUGCAUUUUCGGAUUCAGUUGAUCCGAACUCCCCUAGUUCGGAUCGGCCACAUGGGGUAUGUGUUAGAGUUGCUCUAAGUCGCUUGCCCCAAAAGAUGAGAACCUAUGAUCGUUGAACUUGCUGGAGACACACCGUUUGCAAGACAAGUUUGUAGAUUGUUGUUUCGUAGCCGAACCGACAAGGAAGAUAACCAAAAUAACGAAAGUAAAAAAACCUGGGGAUCCAACGUAUUGACUAGCCAGCAUGCCGAUAGAGCCAUGGGACCAUUAUUUCAUAUACCAUUGCCUCCACCACUAGGACGCUAUCGCGAGGACACAAUACCUCAUAAAAAAAUUAAACAGAUUAUUUGUCACACCUUGAUCCCUGGUUACUCUCAUUUUCCGAUUUCUAAUCGAUGGUUGACCACAAGGGAAGCCGACAAAAACCACAACUUCAACGAGGUUCUUUCCGGUGGCUAGGGUACGUUCCUCACGCCAUAAUCUCACAGCAAAGACUUGCUACGUGGCCUACGUAAUAUGUCUAAUGAAUCACUAAAAUUGAAUGGCUUGCUAAAAUCCUAGAUGAAACAUGAUAGCUAGUCUUUCAGCUAUUUUUCUUAAGAAAUGUCUAUUUCUCAGUCGCCUAAAAAUAGUUAUUUCCCGAUCAACAAUCAUGGCCAUUCAAUUAAUAUUUUCUUAUUAUUGGACCUACAUUAAUCUUACACGAAUCACACUGACUGAAUCAAAAUGUUGUUAUCAUCGACUAAGAAAUACUCCCUCCGUUACAUGAUUCUUGUCUCAAAUUUGCAAAAAAUAGAUGUAUCUAUUUUAAAAAAACGUCUAUAUACAUGUAAUAUUUCAACAACAAUUAUGAAACGGAAGGAGUAGUUAUUUCUCAGUCGCCUAAGAAAUAGAAAAACCGUUUUUCUUACUUCCAUUAGUAUUUGAAAUGGAAAGAUGGUUUCAAGCCGAUCAAUUUCUUUGAUCUUCUGUCCAGGUAGAGAUUUUUCAACGAAAAUUUACUUCAGAACGAUAAGCCUGACGCACGGAUACGUGUUCAAACUUUCUUUGGCGUAGAAUAUGCGAAGUUUGAACAAUUUGACUUCUCCGCACCGACAUAUCCGUGGCAGCAGAUCAGUUAUUGCCAACCACGAUCAGGCUAGCUCCCAACGUGCCGGCCGGAGACCCCGGAGCAAGUUACAGGCUUGCCGCUUGCCGUUGCAGAGCAGCCCCAAGCCCCCAACGACCCUCAAACCGCCUCCGCAUUGGGGCUAUCCAUCUGACCUGCGCCGCGAGGACGACGAAGGCGACCCAGGCAGGGAGACGACCAUGAGAGCAUCUUCAACUACGUACAGUAGACAUGCAUUCAGUAAUUUCAAGAAGGACCAUAUAUACUAUAGUACUCAUGAAUUAUUGUCAAGUAGAAAAAGAGAGAAAGUAGAAAAAAUGGUUUGCUUAUGGCAUGGCAUACAUCAGACCUGGAUUUGAGCCAACAUAAUCGAUUCUUGGAUGGUCGUUUCCAUAUACUCUGUUUAAUACUCCUGAACAUGGGGCUUGUAUUCUGCAGUUCACCUGCAAAUAAGGGUAUCCCAUACGUCCAGAACAAAAAGUGAUGCUAAGACUGAAAAAACACUUGUCAUAAUGGCUUCCAAAAUAUGACUCAUUCGGUCUUUACACAGGUUGUAGAAUUGAUUUACUUCUCUUCAAUUGUUGGCACUAGCAUUGACAGACUAUGCCUCUCCAAACACAGACAUAAUCCUUGUGAAGCCCAGUACGAACGCUAAGUAUUGAUAAAUCAAGAGGUGAUACAUAAUUAUGAGCAUGUACAAUACAACACCAUUAGCCAGACAAACAAUUGUAAAAAUUAAUCAAAAUUGGACAAAGAGAUUAUGCAUUCUUGUAGAUCCAUCAAACAAGCCCCAGCCUAAAGCAUUCACAUCCAGCACUAGAGGCACGGAAGCAACAUCAUAAUUCCUACGUCCCCUGCACUAUCUAAUUGACAGAUUGCAGUACCAAAUCAGAUAGAAUUUUGUACCGUUAGAAAUGCGCAUACCCGGCGCUCGGCGGGCAUAGAAAGCGGCUGGGAGCCGGAGGCACAGCUAGACGCCUCGGAGGAGCUGGAGGCGGAGGCGCAGCAAGCUUGCGAGCUGCACACCUCGGGCAAGCUGGCGAGCUGCGUCUGGGCUGGGGUGAAGGCGAAGCUUGUCGACGAGCUACACAUCUUGGGCGAGCUGGUGGCGGAAGCGCGGCAAGCCGGUGAGCUGAGUCCUAGUUGGGGGCGGAGGCGCAGCUUGUUGAAGAGCUGCACGUCUUGGGCGAGCUGGGGGCGGAGGCGCGGCAAGCCGGCGAGCUGAGUCCUAGUUGGGGGCGGAGGCGCAGCAAACCGGCGACUUCGAAGUGACUGAGUGAGUACUACAAAAAUGCUCGCACGAAUUAAACACCUGUUUAGGCUUCUCAGCAUUGAAGUAAAUUUAUUUUAGAUAGGUGCUUAGUGAUAUGGCAAGAUUCUCUCUCUUUAAGCACCUGUAUACGAGCACCUUGCAUUGCAUUGUAGAUGCUCCGAGAGAUGGGACGAAUUUCCUCGGCGCGCUGCUGCUGUUGAUUCUGCUUUGCGUGCCGCGCGCUUCCAAGGCGCCUGCUCCGCCCGAGGUGGAGGCGGAGGCGGGGGAAGGGGAGGAGGAGGGGGCGCGUUUUCCGGUGGAGGUGGGCGAGGGGGAGGCGACGCCAUUGCCGGCGGAGGGGGCGGCAGAGCUCGGAAGGGAGCCGGCGGUGCCAGUGCCGGUGGAGGGGGCGCGGGCGGCGGGAGGAGCACCGGCGGGUCGGGGAGCCAAGCGAAAGGAUCCACCGCCGGCGGGGCCGCCAUCGUGGGUGGCAACACUGCCGGCCUGCCGGGGGAUCACAAGGAGGACACUACGGCGCGGGAUCGCAACGAAGCAGCGGCGCCGCCUUGGGUGGCCCUCCGCAUGGCCGUAGCGUCUGGAUGGUAUCCGAAGGCGCCGUCGCUGCUCUUGCGGCCGCCGCGCUCGUGUGGCGCUGAUCGUCGAGUAGCCUGCGAAUCUGCGAUGCAUCAAGAAUUCAAGAGUCGAGAGUCGAGACUACUCUAAAAACCCUUCAUUUUCUGUUUAUCGACGUAUAUGAUGCGUAAGCACGUUCAACAUAAAAAUCAAUCGAGCCAUUGGUUGUACACCAUUGCUUCUUCCUGUUUGUAAUUAGUGUUCUUGUUAUUCUUUUUGGUGUAAGCCCUCGUCUGUUUUUAACGAAUGACGCGUAAGCAUGCAUGUUUCACAUAAAAACUUACCGUUUGUAAUUACUAGAAACUUACUGUUUGUAAUUAGUGUUCUUGUUAUUCUUUUUGGUGUAUAGGUAGUGCUCCUGCGAACACUGCUCGGAGUGUGACGUACCGGCUGGAGCAACUGCAGCCAUUGUGUUUUUUAGGUGAACAGAGCCAUUGUGUGUCUCUCGAUUGACUCGAUGGUUUCCGUGUACUUCACCUUCUGUCCAGGUUAACACAUCGGAUGACUGAGGAUGCGCGAUGGUACUCCCUCCGUUCAUAAAUAACUUGUUGCUGCGAACUGACCGGUGUUAUGUUUUCUUGUGGUGGAACCAGUCCACUCAGGUUCAAGUCACAUGGGUGUUCGCAUUUCCCUAGAUUUAUUUCAGAACCUAACCGGUGUUGUGUUUUCAGUGGGAGUGACGUACGGCACAUCAGUCUCUCGGAGGGUGCUCAUAGGGGUAGGGUGUGUGAGCGUCUGCGUCCAGUGGGAGUGACGUACGGCACAUCAGUCUCUCGGAGGGUGCUCAUAGGGGUAGGGUGUGUGAGCGUCUGCGUCUGUACUGUGUUUUCUAAAAAAAAAAAACUUAUUGCUGUUUUAUUUCAAGUUUGCACUAAAACAGCGACAAGUAUUUAGGAACGGAGUGAUUACUAUAUAAUGAUGUCUGCACACUGCACUUGCAUUCUGUAAUGCUACCUGUUUGCUAAACCCGACAGAGAUUGUGGAGGCUAGCAAUCAAGAUGUAUAAGUUGGGUGUAGCACUUGUCCCGUUCUCCGUGGUUUACACCCCAGAUGCAAUUGUUCCUCUCUUCAUGUCCCUUCCUCGCAUAAUUAGUGAUCCCAACAACGUUCCAUGUGUCGUAUUGUCUGGUGGAGCAAGGGAAACAAAUGCAUAUGUAACUAAUCAAAAGAUUACACUGACAGCUUGUUUGGCAACCAAGAAUUCAUUUCAUUUGAUCAAAAUGAAAUGAAAUCUAAUUUUUGAUAGGGUUUCAUUUGGUUGAAUUUGAAUUCUGGGUUGAAAAAUCAUGUUUGUCUACCACAUGAAAUUAAAGAGUGAGAGACAAUUCUAGAGAAAUGAUGGCUUUUAGAAAAGAAUUAAGGCUAGUUACACUGUGAUUAUAUGAAAUUUGAGAUUGAAUUUCUGUAACUAAUUCCGUGCCAACCAAACAAGUUGUUUUUAAAAUUUAAAAUGAAUUCUACAAUUUUAUGACUAAAUGAUGUGCGUCAAACAAGCUGUGAAAGAGUUUGCUAUAGAUUAAUGGAGACCCAAACUUUCUUAUAGCGAUUAAUGCAUGGCUGCUCCUGCUGCCAUAUCCAUGGGCGCCAUAGUCGUAGCAACUUCCACAGGAUCCGGCGCUCCUGCCUUCUGACCACUGGGACCACAUGAUAGGUUGGAUCUGCUGUAGCUAUCCACUUUUCAGGGGUCUGGCCUCUCUCCCGAUGGCAACUGUUCGAGGUAAUCUUAUUACUCUUAGAAUUAGAGACAGUAGAGUAGUUCAGUCCGGCAUGAACCAUUGUCCGUACUACUCCGGUUGAGUCAGUGAUGAAGCAUUGUCUAAAAAAUAUUAUCACCAGAAAAGGGCUAUCUCAAAACAAGGAACAGUUUUGUUUUGUGGGUACAGCUAGCCGACUCGCCAGGCGGAUAACAAUGAAGGGUAGCCAGCGGAUCCUUCCUUUAGUCAGGAAGAAACGAAGGACGACCAUCCAUCGACCAAUAGAGGCAAGGCACGUACAUGCAUCCAUGUGUACGGAAGAAGUGAUAACCUGAAGCACAUCGCUGACGAAGCUUAUAAUAAUCUUGCUUGCUUGCGCACCUAAACACAUACCAGCUGGGUAUAGUAGCUGGCAUAUUCUCAUACAGUAUUAUGCACGGAUCACUGACGACGUUUCCAUCGUUGAACUGGUAACCAUUUCUCAUUACUUGCACGCAAUCCAGGAAUGCAGGAUAUACUGAAUAUAGUCUGCAGCUACAGCCUACAGGAGACUAUCACAAAGUUCUAAAUUAGGCGACUUAAUUAGUGGAAACAACUCUUGGAUGGAAUCCACAUUGUUGUCGCUACUAGUGCAGGGGUUAACUGGCUAAGGUUGUUUGUUUCAGUAGCGUGUAAGUAAGGGACAUGGAGGCAGCUAUAUACCUUUUUAAAAGGGCAUGCAGCUAUAUUCUAGGUCCACGUUGUUGUUCUUUGACAGGACUAGCUCCACGUUGUUGAGAACCUGAAUCCUCGUUGCCUCCCUUGCUUUUGUUUUCCUCAUUUUUACUAAUUAUUCGGCUUGUACAGCCUGGCAUGUACAAAGGUACAGACAUCCAGCCAUCUAUAGUGUUUUACAUGAUUUACAGACAAUUUUACAGAUAUCAUAUACAGUAGUCUGUCUAUACGCUGUCUAAAAAGUCUGUACUAAAAAUUAUAGGCAACAGACAUACAAUGAUAAAUAAUCUGUUUAUAAAUUGUCAAUUAGAUUAUCUGUACAACUAAAGACAGACUGCUAUAUUUUCUCAAUCUCUUUCCUCCACCUCAGCAAAAGUACCUCUUAUAGACACCUAAAUCAGCCCCAUUGUACAUGCCCUAUCAAAUAGCUUUUCCUUUCCUUUCUCCUACAUGCCUAUUUUCCAUACUCUUUUUGAAGCAUGUAACAUUUUAAUGAAAAUGCAGAGCACUUGCUUGUCCGUUGAUGAGGGGCUACCUCGGCAAUACCCUGACUCAAGGGUUUUCGACUGAGGGAGAGCACGGGGUGCACCAGCGAUCUCGUCGACUAACAAAGACUAGGGGAGUCGCAAGGUUUACCCAGGUUCGGGGUCCUCGGAAGGUAAUACCCCUACGUCCUGCUUUUGGUGUAUUGUAUUGAUCGAGAUUACAGAGAAGCUAUGAAGCUAUGGUGCGCAGAUGAAUCUGGCGUUUGUCUAGAGGUUGGCCAUUCCCGAUCCCCCCUCCUAGCCUUAUAUACUGGCGGCUAGGUCUCGGGCGUGAUAAUCGGGAAUGUUACAAUCAGAUCAAUUCAUUACGGUAUGAUAAGAUUAUGUUUCUUGGCUUGAACCGCACUUUGAGGGACUCGACCUGCAUAUGCUUGAUGGGCCUUCGAGUGGGCCCCCUGUUGGGCUGCAUCGGGUAUAUGAAGGUUGAGAACUCGAGUCCCUGUUCGAGGCGUAGACUCGAGUAGGGACUCAAGAGUUUCCUUAUUCUGAUUAUUCGACUGUGUGCCAAACUGCAAAUAAUCUUCCGUUGGUCGAUUGACUUAAGUGUUCGUCAGGCCCAAACUUUGAUAGUUCUUAGCUUAUGACGCGGAAAACACAAGGUAUUUCUGCAAAUUGUACUGAUGUUGUGUGGGAUGGUUGCGUAACGCGCCUGGAAUACUCGAUCGGUCGAGUCCAGUUAAUUGCACCGGGGCAAAAACUUUGUUAGCAUACAUCAGCACUCGAGUCCCUAGGCUCGAGCCUGGAUAACUGGCGGUGUUCGAGUCAAACCUGCCGAGGGUUUUACAGACUCGAAAUCCAGUGCUGCGGGGCGAUCAACCAACGCGUCCGUUGGUUGAUGUUCUUCAUGCAAGCGCGUGGAUGAUCUGGAAUCGCCUGAAGGUGCUGAUUUCCAGGCCCGAUGAAAAACCAUCGGGUCUUACCUUCACGUAAUGAACGUGGCUUAGGGUGUGUUUCGCAGUCCGUGCGACCCGGAUAAUGCUGUCGAGUGCCUAUGUACCAGGUACACUUCGAGUUCCUGCGCCGUCAGGUGGCAGCCCAAGUUUUCUAGAGUUUGAUAUGACGUCUUUGCUGACACUCUGAUUAAAGAAAUGGUCUGGGAAGUCGAUGGGACGUACCUAAUGCUUUAUGCACGGACUGGAUCGAGUACUGUUGAUGUGGUCAGUUUGAUUUGACCACACGAUGUGCGCGAGAAUUUAGGCGCAUUGAUAGCUGUCGUGGGUUCUUGAACCGGUGGAAGGGGAAACGGCUCAUUUCUACUGGGACCACGCGUCUCUUUUCUUUAUGGCACAGAAGGAGGUGAGAUUAGGUUCCCCUUUUUUUUUUGCAUUUCUUAAUUUUGUAUUCUGCAUAUUACAACGAAUAUUUUUUUAUUCUUGCUUAUCUUACUUUUCCAAUUGUGCUAAGUCAUGCGCGCGAUACAAAGUUCGUGGUAGAGAACUUCUUUGAGUCAUCCUAUUUUUCUGUUCAUAUGAGGGAAAUUCAUAUGUGAUUUUCCAAAUAAGGGAAUCCAAAUGAAACCCUUUUUUUGCUCAGUCUAUCUGGACUACUUUUGUAUAAUAGGAAUUAAUUCGAAAUAGGUAUUCCGUUUCAUCUAGGAACAGAACGUAAAAAUUUUCCUUUACUUGAAUAAAAUCUGGAGUUGUGUUGUAUAAGUCCGCAUGAAUUUCUUAUCAUUCAAUGAGCAUCUUGUAUUUCAUAGAAAUUGGGGGUUAUAUAGUCCUUACGUAAGGGCCAGCCUACCCAACUUUCAGGCAUUAGGAUACGUUUAAGGCGCGGAUGAUUAUCAUAAGAGAUUCCCACCAUAUCAUAAGAUUCGCGUUCUUGAAAAUCGGCACUUCUCCAAAUCCAGAAGACAGACGGAAUUCUAGGAUUAUCCUUUUGGGCAAAGACUUUUAUGCAUACUUCUUCCGGGUUAUCUAUGCCAUACUGUAUUCACGUAAGAUGAUACACGCUAGCUAAAGAUCCACCGGGUGCUACAUCAUAAGCACAUUGGGAGAGUAAAUAAUUGUAACCAUAUACGUAUAAAAUGACAGCAAUGGAAUCCCAAUCCCCCGCUUUUAUUUGUAAAGUCUCUAUUCCUCGGUGAUCAAAGCCCAAAGAUCUAUGAACCACCUUAUGUUUGACUAGCCAAUUAGAUAACCAACCCUGCUGCAUUGUCUUGAUCUCUCCCUCUUUGUUUUGUAUAAAUAUUUCACAUUUCGGAUGCAAGUUUCAAAGAUUGCCUUGCUUUUUAUUUUUCUAGACGAAAGAACCCCCCUCCUAAUUCACUAAUUUGUAGGAAGGUACUAUACUUUUGGAUUUGUAAAUUUUUUCAGAAGAUAUAUCUAAAGUAGAUGGUGAUUGAUAGAGCAAUUCUUGCUCGUAAGUUCCAGUAUGAGUACUGCGCCGAACAUAAAGCUUGUGACUGGUAGUAAAACAUCGGUUUUUAUUUUGAGAUCGAAUUCGAUCCUCAACUAUUUCUCGCGAUAUCUUCUUACGAAGUUUUGUUAGGGCAUCUAUAACCGCCUCCGGUUUAGGUGGGCAACCCGGCAAGUAGACAUCCACAAGAAUUAACUUAUCAACUCCUCGAAUAGUACUAUAGGAAUCCGUACUGAACAUUCCCCCUGUAAUAGUACAAGCUCCCAUAGCAAUGACGUAUUUUGGUUCAGGCAUUUGCUCGUAUAACCUCACUAAAGAAGGAGCCAUUUUCAUUGUUACUGUACCAGCUGUUAAAAUUAGGUCCGCUUGCCUAGGACUUGAUCUUGGUACCAAUCCAUAACGAUCAAAGUCGAAUCGCGAGCCUAUUAAUGAAGCAAAUUCAAUGAAACAACAACUGGUACCGUAUAGAAGGGGCCAUAAACUGGAGAGUCUUGACCAAUUUGAAAGAUCGUUUGGUGUAGUUGAAAUAACAGAAUUGGAACUUGUUUGGUCAAGUAAAGGAAACUCAAUCAAACUCAUAACUGUCUCAAUGGAAUCUUUUUCUUCUUUUUUUUUUUCUAAAUAUUCAGUUAAGACAUUCCAAGGCUCCUUUUCGCCAUGCAUAAACUAAACCAACAACUAGGAUAAGCACGAAAAUGAAAGCUUCGAUAAAAACGGAUACACCCAAUACGUCGAAACUCAUUGCCCAAGGGUAGAGAAAGACGGUUUCCACAUCAAAAACAACAAAAACUAGCGCAAACAUGUAAUAGCGUAUUCGGAAUUGUAGCCAAGCCCCUCCCAUGGGUUCUAUACCCGAUUCAUAACUAGAAAGCUUUUCGGGUCCUUCACUAAUCGGGGCUAAAAGCCCUGAAAUCCAAAAUGCCAAAAUCGGAAUAAGGGUUGCUAUUAUUAGAAAUGUCCAAAAAAUAUCAUAUUCGUGAAGCAGAAACAUAAUGUACUCCCAUUAAUGUAGAAUAGACGAGACUUAAAUUAAUCAAUUCAAUUAUGCAUUGUCAAUUCAUCCAGAACUUAUCUCUUUUCCUCGGUGAAACAAGAAUCUGUUUUGUUCAAACAAAAUCGCUUAGUUUAGCCUUUGUUUUCUCUGUGCUGUGUCUUCUUUAAAGAUUCAUCCAAUGGAAUCCCAACUCCCCUUCUUUUUUCUCCAUUCUAUUUAGAUAUGGUCUAGAUCUAAUUCUUAUAUAAAAAAUACUUUAUCCCUUCACUUUAUUUUGCUUUCUCUAUAAUCUUUAGAACCUAAUUAACAUAAGAGGACUAGUCUAUGCAGUAGACUGAGAAGUAAUACUAUAAAAAAAUAAGGAACUCUAUUUCAGAACUAUGAGACAUAAUAUUCUGUUUUCUUAUUUACUCUUUACUUUAAUUCUUUCUAAAAAAAUUCUAUUUAGGAUUUUAAGUAGAUCGAUUUAGAUAAUGUAUAUAUAAGCAAAGUAAUAUACCUAAAACAAAGUAUAAAUUCGCAAGAUGGAGAAAAUCAUUGCAGUUUUAUAGGGAAGUCUAGAGAUACCCUAUUUGAAGAAGGGCGGGAUUCAAAUCAGGGAAGGGCUCUUUUCUUCUAUUGAUUUGAUAGAAAUCACUUUUUCGUUUCCUAUCUCUAUGAUUUUUGAUGAAUGAGCCUGUGGUAAUUCUUUUACGCCUAUUCUAUGUCGCAGGCGCCCGCCCAGUCUAUAAACAAGUACUAAUGUGAAAAUAAAAGCUAUACUAAGGAAAACAUAGGAUAUCUAUACUAAAAUCCAAAAAUAGGACAUAUUAGGGCUAUACGGAUUCGAACCGUAGACCUUCUCGGUAAAACAGAUCAAACAGAUUAUUAUCGAAAUGAUUCGAACUGUUUCAAAGACCCAAGAUGCAUUUUUUUUGCAUUGGGCUCUUUCAUCAACUGAUUUAAAGAUCAGUUAGUCCACCAUAGUUUUCUUUACGGAAAGAUAAUGAGAUGGCUCCCUGUGCUCUGAUUGAUUAUUUGUAUUAUGGUCUAUCUAGGAGCAAUACCAAAGUGUUUCAAAGGAGGAUUACCUUGACUUAGGUCUGCCUCCGGCCUAAAUUAAAUCAACCUAAGUGAAAUGGAGUCUCUAUCGUUCCACUGCAAGAGUUAACUAUGAGACUUCAUACACCUUAAAGUUCAUAGAACGAAAAGAAGUUUUUUGGAGGCCCUUAUCCUCAUUACGCCUAGCAUUUAGUGGGCUGGAUAUUUACCUUAUCAACUAGCAAAUCCAUAAGGGUUCUAUUUGAUUAGGCACCAGAAUGGGGACCUGAAUCGGACUGAACUGACUCUUUGUCAGGCUACUGUUCUCCUAUUCUGUCGAAUCUAUGAAGUAAGACAUUGAUUUUGCAAUAAGAUCCAUUAUAUUCAUUGCAUAAUAAGCUCCUUUGAAAAGCAUUGGCGCACGUGUAAACGAGUUGCUCUACCGAACUGAGCUAUAGCCCUUAUCAGAGAUAUCUUAACAUAUAGAUAAUUUAUUGUCAAGAUGAAUAUUCUCUAAUGCCAGAGGGUAUCUCUUUAAAUAUGUAUCUGUUUAGUAUAUAACAUACCAAUAAGGAAGCGUUAUUGCUUAGAAAAGGGAUUCGAUAUAUAAUCGAUCGAAGUAAUGGGUCUUCCUUUGUGAUCAUAAAUUGACUACUUAACUCAGUGGUUAGAGUAUUGCUUUCAUACGGCGGGAGUCAUUGGUUCAAAUCCAAUAGUAGGUAGGUAGGUAGAAAAAUUACUAGAUAGCAUUGGGCUUAUUUUGCUUCGCUAUCUAAUAACUUUUUCUACCCCUCUUCCCUUUAUCUUUGUAUCAACUAUAAACCAUUGGAUUGUCUUCAAUUGGACGGGGGAAUCCAAUUGACAGCCUUGAUUCGUAUCCUAGCUCGUCUGAGAGCUAGUUUCGCUUCAACCAAUUCUUUCGUACCCUCAGCUUUACUCAAGUUAUUUUCGGCUAUUUUAAGUGCCUGUUGAGCUUCUUCCGAAUCAAUAUCACUACCCAGUUCCGCAUCAUUUCCUAAAAUAAUGAUCUCAUUAUUAACUAUUCUCGCAAAACCACUCCACAGAACCGCCGUUAACCAUUGGUCGUUGAGGAGGCGUAUUCUCAAAGGACCCAUAUCUACUGCUGUGUUAAUGGGGGCAUGGUUUGGUAAUACCCCAAUUUGACCACUAUUAGUGGAUAAAAUGAUUUCUUUCACUUCACAAUCCCAAAUAAUUCGCUUAGGAGUCAGUACAUAAAGAUUUAAUUUCAUUUCUUCGAUUUGUUCUCCUCUUCUAAGGUUAUAGCUUUCGUGCUAGCUUCAUCGAUGUUACCCACCAAAUAAAAAGCCUGCUCGGGUAGGCCAUCUAAUUCUCCGGAAAGGAUUAGUUGAAAUCCCCUAAUUGUUUCUGCAAGACCAACAUACCUUCCUGCAGAACCAGUAAAAACUUCUGCUACAAAGAACGGUUGUGAUAAGAAACACUCAAUUUUUCGCGCUCUUGCUACAGUUAAACGAUCCUCCUCCGAUAAUUCAUCCAAUCCAAGAAUUGCGAUGAUGUCCUGAAGUUCCUUGUAACGUUGUAAAGUUUCCUUAACUCUUUGCGCAGUUUCAUAAUGUUCGUUGCCAACGAUCCGAGGCUGUAACAUAGUUGAGGUUGAAUCUAAAGGAUCUACUGCUGGAUAAAUACCCUUGGAAGCUAAUCCUCUGGAAAGUACGGUAGUAGCAUCCAAAUGGGCAAAUGUUGUGGCAGGAGCAGGGUCAGUCAAAUCGUCCGCAGGUACAUAAACCGCUUGGAUCGAAGUUAUAGAUCGCUUUUUAGUAGAAGCAAUUCUUUCUUGCAAAGAACCCAUUUCUGUACUAAGAGUAGGUUGAUAACCCACCGCGGAGGGCAUUCUCCCUAAUAAAGCGGAUACCUCCGAUCCUGCUUGAACAAAACGAAAGAUAUUAUCGAUGAAUAAAAGCACGUCUUGCUUAUUAACAUCUCGGAAAUAUUCCGCCAUAGUUAGGGCAGUUAAACCAACUCUCAUACGAGCUCCCGGUGGUUCAUUCAUUUGGCCAUAGACUAGAGCUACCUUUGAUUCCUCAAUAUUUUCAUUAAUUACUCCGGAUUCCCUCAUUUCCAUAUAAAGAUCAUUUCCUUCACGAGUCCGUUCCCCUACUCCACCAAAUACGGAUACACCCCCAUGAGCUUUAGCAAUGUUGUUGAUUAAUUCCAUGAUGAGUACUGUUUUACCUACUCCAGCCCCCCCAAAUAGUCCUAUUUUUCCUCCACGUCGAUAAGGAGCUAAAAGAUCAACGACCUUAAUACCUGUUUCAAAGAUGGAUAAUUUCGUAUCUAACUCGAUAAAGGCAGGCGCAGAUCUAUGAAUAGGGAACGUUGCACUACUGUCUACAGGACCCAAAUUGUCAACAGGCUCUCCAAGAACGUUGAAAAUUCGCCCGAGAGUAGCUCCGCUGACCGGAACACUGAGAGGAGCUCCUGUGUCAAUCACUUCCAUUCCUCUCAUCAACCCAUCUAUAGCACUCAUAGCUACAGCUCUAACUCGAUUAUUUCCUAAUAAUUGUUGUACCUCACAAGUCACAUUAAUUUGCUUAUCGGCAGUGUCUCUACUCUGGACUACCAAAGCAUUAUAAAUAUAAGGUAACUUACCGGGGGGAAAAGUGACGUCCAGCACGGGUCCAAUAAUUUGAUCGAUAUGGCCUGUACUUUUUUCUUCAAUUGGGGAAACCCCGGGACGAGAAGUAGUAGGAUUGGUUCUCAUAAUUAUCACAUAAUAAAAAAAAGGAAUUUGUCGAAAUUUUUCUUUUUUUCUUGUUGAAUAAUACCAAAUCCAAAAAAAUAUCCAAAAAUCCAAAAGUAAAAAGGAAAUCAAUUAGUUAAUUCAAUAAGAGAAAAAAGGGGAACAUGACUUGAUUUCGUUGCCCAAGCGAAUCCCUUUCAACCCUUUACUCAUGGAAUGAGGCCGUUGGAAAGUUCAAUCAAUCUUUUUUUCAUAAGAUAGAUUUUUCCUUUUGUGGAGGAUCUGUGCCUACUCUACUUUCCUAUCUAGGACUUCGCUAUACAAAAUAUAUACUACUGUGAAGCAUAGAUUGCUGUCAACAGAAAAUUUUCUUAGUAUUUAGUUAGGUAUUUCUUUUCAAAAUAAGAAAGGGGCCCUUUAAUAAUUUGUAAAAAACAAAGGUUAAGGAUUGAUUUGGGUUGCGCUCUAUCUAUCAAAGAGUAUACAAUAAUGAUGGAUUUGUUAAAUCAAAUCCUUGGUUUAAUAACGAACGGUGUUAACUUACCAUAACAACAACUCAAUUCCUAUAGUGAAAUUCCUAUAGGAUAGAACAUACACAGGGUGUACGCAUUAUAUAUGAAUGAAAAAUAUUAAUGAACUUAAGCAUGCCCUCAAUUUUCUGUAAUGAGUUGCUAUUAAUUGAAUAUCUCUUUUUUUUAUGAGAUUUUUGCUAAAGUUUCAUUUACGCCUAAUUCACAUCGAGUAGACCUUGUUAUUGUGAGAAUUCUUAAUUCAAGAGUUGUAAGGAGGGACUUAUGUCACCACAAACAGAAACUAAAGCAAGUGUUGGAUUUAAAGCUGGUGUUAAAGAUUAUAGAUUGACUUACUACACCCCGGAGUAUGAAACCAAGGAUACUGAUAUCUUGGCAGCAUUCCGAGUAUCUCCUCAACCUGGGGUUCCGCCCGAAGAAGCAGGGGCUGCGGUAGCUGCCGAAUCUUCUACUGGUACAUGGACAACUGUUUGGACUGAUGGACUUACUAGUCUUGAUCGUUACAAAGGACGAUGCUAUCACAUCGAGCCUGUUCCUGGGGAAGACAGUCAAUGGAUCUGUUAUGUAGCUUAUCCAUUAGAUCUAUUUGAAGAGGGUUCCGUUACUAACAUGUUUACUACCAUUGUAGGUAACGUAUUUGGUCUCAAAGCCCUACGUGCUCUACGUCUGGAGGAUCUAUGAAUUCCCCCUACUUAUUCAAAAACUUUCCAAGGCCCGCCUCACGGUAUCCAAGUGGAAAGAGAUGAGUUGAACAAGUAUGGUCGUCCUUUAUUGGGAUGUACUAUUAAGCCAAAAUUGGGAUUAUCUGCAAAAAAUUACAGUAGAGCAUGUUAUGAGUGUCUACGUGGUGGACUUGAUUUUACCAAAGAUGAUGAAAACGUAAACUCACAACCAUUUAUGCGCUGGAGAGAUCAUUUUGUCUUUUGUGCCGAAGCUAUUUAUAAAUCACAGGCGGAAACCGGUGAAAUCAAGGGGCAUUACUUGAAUGCAACUGUGGGUACAUGUGAAGAAAUGAUGAAGAGAGCUGUUUUUGCGAGAGAAUUAGGUGUUCCUAUUGUAACGCAUGACUACUUAACUGGGGGAUUCACCGCAAAUACUACUUUGGCUCAUUAUUGCCGCGACAAUGGCUUACUUUUUCACAUUCACCGUGCAAUGCAUGCAGUUAUUGAUAGACAAAAAAAUCAUGGUAUGCAUUUCCGUGUAUUAGCUAAAGCAUUGCGUAUGUCUGGGGGAGAUCAUAUCCAUGCCGGUACAGUAGUAGGUAAGUUAGAAGGGGAACGCAAAAUCACUUUAGGUUUUGUUGAUUUAUUGCGCGACGAUUUUAUUGAAAAAGAUCGUGCUCGCGGUAUCUUUUUCACUCAGGACUGGGUAUCCAUGCCAGGUGUUAUACCAGUAGCUUCAGGUGGUAUUCAUGUUUGGCAUAUGCCAGCUCUGACCGAAAUCUUUGGGGAUGAUUCUGUAUUACAAUUUGGUGGAGGAACUUUAGGACAUCCUUGGGGAAAUGCACCUGGUGCAGCAACUAAUCGAGUGGCUUUAGAAGCCUGUGUACAAGCUCGUAACGAAGGGCGCGAUCUUGCUCGUGAAGGUAAUGAAAUUAUCCGAGCAGCUUGCAAAUGGAGUCCUGAACUAGCCGCAGCUUGUGAAGUAUGGAAGGCGAUCAAAUUCAAGUUCGAGCCGGUAGAUACUAUCGAUUAAUAGAUAAAACUAAAUAUGAAGAAGGUCUAAAUAAAAAGAAACAAAAUGAAAAGAGAAAAAAUAAGUUACGAAAUGCAGUAAUUCUUCUUUAUUCUUCUAAUUGACUGCAAUUAAACUCGGCUCAAUCUAGAAAAAAAAGAUUGAGCCGAAUAAAAAUGGAUUAUGAUACGAUCAUGAGACUUCACAAAUCGAGAUUCGCCUAUUCUAUAUAUCUAGAAUAUAUAAAGGUAUAAUAAAUAAAUACAAAUCAAAUAUACUAUUAUCAUAUGAUAAUAGAAUCAAAUACGCAGUAUUUACAGAGAAAAGUCUUCUAUAAAAAAUAUUUAUUUUGCAAACUAAAAAAUACAAUAGUCAAUAUUCCUCAUAAUAGAUAUACUUAAUUAUAUCAUAAGAAUCUUAAGACAUUUUUCGAAUAGAUAGAAAUAGUUAAUUUGAAUUGAGACACCUAUACUAUGACGGAUUUAAACUUACCUUUGAUUUUCGUGCCUUUAGUAGGCUUAGUAUUUCCGGCAAUUGCAAUGGCUUCUUUAUUUCUUUAUGUGCAGAAAAAUAAGAUUGUCUAGUAUUUUUUUAGUGUAAGUAAUAGAAUAUGGUAGGGUAUGUGGCUCUUUCUACACACAAAUGAAAAACGGCUAUGGAUGCGGAUAUAGGCUACAAGCAUAAAUGCAUGAAUAUGCGGAGCCGGGUAUAGCUAUUUUUAUUUUAAUUGAAUCAACGAAUAUUUUUUGAAUAGAAAGUCAGUGUAUCUAACCUAUUAUUUCACAAGAGUACUGGUUGCUGAAGGCGAUUUCAGAAUCAAAAAAAGUAAAGUCAAAAUCAUUUAGCUUAUUCUCUCAAUUUCAAUCGACUGCUGCUGGAUUUAGUAUAUCUAAUAUGAAUUGGCGAUCAGAACACAUAUGGGUAGAACUUCUAAAAGGUUCUCGAAAAAGGGGUAAUUUUUUCUGGGCCUCUAUUCUUUUUCUAGGUUCACUAGGAUUCUUAUCAGUUGGGGUUUCCAGUUAUCUUGGUAAGAAUAUGAUAUCUAUACUUCCAUCUCAACAAAUUAUUUUUUUUCCGCAGGGGGUCGUGAUGUCUUUCUACGGAAUCGCGGGCUUAUUCAUUAGCUCCUACUUGUGGUGUGCUAUUUUGUGAAAUGUAGGUAGUGGUUAUGACCGAUUCGAUAGAAAAGAGGGAAUCGUGUGCAUUUUUCGUUGGGGAUCCCCUGGAAUAAAACGUCGCGUCUUCCUUCGAUUCCUUAUGCGGGAUAUCCAAUCAAUUAGAAUUCAGAUUAAAGAGGGUUUUUAUCCUCGUCAUAUCCUUUAUAUGGAAAUCCGGGGCCAGGGGGUCAUUCCCUUGACUCGUACUGAUGAUAAGUUUUUUACUCCACGAGAAAUUGAACAAAAAGCUACCGAAUUGGCCUAUUUCUUGCGCGUACCAAUUGAAGUAUUUUGAGUAUCCAUUGUAUUUUUUGGAACUGAAUAGAAUGAAGAAGAAUUGGAAGAAGAAAAGUUUUCUCAACAUGGAUUGGAAGUCCCUUCGAAAUUUGAUUUGUUAUUGUAUUGUAAGGGGCUUUUUUAGUAUUUAUCUAAAGGAAGAAACAAACGAGGAUAAGAUAAAAUUGCUUUAAAUUUAUUUGCCCAAGUGGGAUAUAUGGCAUACUAUUCUUUCAUUUUCAUCUUUUUUUCUAUUCCAGUCCAUCUAGAUAUAAGAAAGAACCCAAUGCAAUGAAAUUCCACUAAUAUACAAUACAAAAAAGAAGAAUAGAUACAGGGUCUCAAACCUUGCUAUAGAGUUUUUGCUUCAAAGAAAAAAAAAUCAUCAUAGAGUCAGCGAAUGAAGCGGAUUCAUUAACAACUCAAUUUAUAGAUCAAAAAUGAAAAAAAAGAAAGCAUUGCCUUCUUUACUAUAUCUUGUAUUUAUCGUACUUUUGCCCUGGGGGGCCUCUUUCUCAGUUAACAAAUGUCUGGAACUUUGGAUUAAGAAUUGGUGGAAUACCAGACAAUCUGAAACUCUCUUAACUGAUAUUCAAGAGAAAAGGAUUCUAGAAAGAUUCAUAGAAUUAGAAGAACUUUCUCUCUUGGACGAGAUGAUAAAAGAGAAACCAAAGACACAUGUACAAAAACCUCCUAUAGGAAUACACAAGGAAAUAAUACAAUUGGUCGUCUGACCUUCUGACCCGGGUUAGAGUGGUCACUCGAAAGGAGAUCACCUUGGAAAAUCUGGAGUCGCCUCUUCCCCCCUACGGACCCGACCGAUCGCGUGAAGAGGUGAUUUUAUUUCCGUACUCACCAUUUAUUACUCUGCAAUCUCCAGAUUAGUCUUAUUGAAAGAUUUUACUGUAGGGCCACCAAGAGCUCAUGAGCCAGCCUCCGCUUGAUGAGGGAGUGCCAGUCGACGAUGACGAUCUGGCUGAUUGUUCCAACUCUGACGCCCUUUACGAAGAUGACGUGGAUGAGGACGAGGACGAUCAACAAUCCUGAAAGCGAGGUCGGUCGAGUGAGGCGGAACAGUCGACUGCAGACUCCUAUCAGCACAAGAUGCAUGAGGAGAUGAUUCCUUCGAAUGCCACAGCCGCAUCCGACGAGCCGAAGCUCCAAUCGCCGUCUCUGUCGGAUCCCUUAACCAAAAAGGCCAAAGUUGCUGUCAAACCAAAAGGACGUCUUCGCAUCUUUGAUGUUUCGUCGAGUGGCUCCUCCAGGUACGCUUUGUUAAAAAACGAUCCCUUUUGUUUGUUCGAGUUUCUCUCUUUUGGGUUGACGGGUAAUCGAAAUCCAGAGUGAUGGUGAUGCCACGGCCAAGAACUCUCGUGCCGUUUCUCCAGCCCGGAGUCCUUCGAAACCGAGUGCGUAUUUGGCUCGGUGCGAGGUGCAAGAUUCUUCGCCAGCGAGGAACUCGCCGGCAGGGCUUCCCGAGACACCACAGGCUCCAACGAUCGCGCAGCCGUCAACUUCUGCGUCUCAGCUUCGUAUUGGGUCGUUGGCUCUGGAAAGUCAUGUAAGUAUUCUCCCGAUGGGAGUGCUGAGUGAAAUUUUUCUGCUAAGGGUUUUCACUCAUGCUUCUGUUCAUUGCAGCCUUUUGUCGAAAAGCUGGUGGAUCUUGGCGACCACUAACUGAUAUUAGAGGAGGAGAACCGGCAGCUACGCCUGGAGCUAGACCAAGUGAAGGAGGCCGCUGUUCACGCCAAUGGUAUGAAUUUGUGUUCUUUAGCCAGAUUUAAUCCUUCUCCAUACUGUUUGUAUGGACUGUUGCCUGUGUAGCCACGUCUGCAUUUGUAGGUUUGACUGAACAAACCAACCGACUGCGUGAUGUGGCGGUUGGCAAUAGUCAAGAAUGGCGAUCGAAGUACGAGAAACUAGUUGCCGAUUCCGCCAAGGAAUUGGCGGUUGCUCGUGCCGAGGUGGACGCAGCUGUCAAGCAGUCCAAAUUAGAGGCGCAGGAGAGUCUUGCACUCGAGAGGAAGGAGAUUGCCUCUCGAGACGACAAAUUGAAGUCGCAACUUUCGGCUGCCGUCGACGCACUCACCAGUGAGUUUGACCUUUCUUAGGAAGUUUCCUUUCCCCUUCGAUUACUUCGACUGAUGCGAUUUUUGCGCAGAUUCCCUUGGCUCCUUGGCCGCCCUUCGUGGCAAACACCAAGUGACCGAGCUGAGCGGCAUGGUGGGCUCCGUCGGAGAACUUUGCGAUCACGCGGGUGACAUGCUCGCGAAGGUGACUUCUUCUCUGAGGUCAUUAUUCACGAGUAUGUAUCCAGACGCUGAGGUGCCGGGUUCACUCGACGGCUUGCUGAGUUUCUUCGACGGGGAAGAUCCACUCGAAGAUUUCACUCGAGCGCAGACACAAGCCGGUGCUGAAGCUGCCUUCAUUCUCUCGCUCGCGCAUUCACUCGACCAAGCGGCGCUGCAGAAGGUUACUGAUGGUGCCCCAUCGACUCUGGACGGGCAAGUUGUCAACUUGAAGCGCUAUGCCAAGCGGGGGCGAAAACUAGUGAAGAAAUUUACCGCCGUCAUCGAGCAGCUGAACCCGGCGACUGUCCGGACCGCGCAGGAAGCUAUGGAUGAGGUUGGAGCUCAUCCUUCGUCGUGAUGUUUGUACUUGCCUUUGCCUUCCUGUAAUAGUUCGUAGUAUUGACCCCCAAUCAGAGUCCGAGAGGGUGAAGUCCAAUCAGAGUUCGAGAGGGUGAACUCCCGACUGAGCAGGUUGAAUACUUCGAACAGAUCGUCCUUUUGGUAUGACAGGGACAGGGGCGAGCUUUGACGUUGAUGCAAGAUCGUGUUGACCAGAUUGGGGGUUUUGCCUUCGUCGUGAUGUUUGUACUUGCCUUUGCCUUGCUAUAAUAGUUCGUAGUAUUGACCCCCAAUCCGAGUCCGAGAGUAGCCCCCCGAGUGCGUGUCCAACUGCUUGUAGUUGGGGACUGAAUCAAAGAAAUUCAAUUUGUAUAUGGCCAUUGUAAUGGAUCUGUUAUAUUGAUGGUAUAUGAUAAAUCGAUGUCCUUGUGCUAUACAUCUUAUCCAUAUUCUCUGCUUGGGUUACCGCCGGGUGCGCGGACAGCGCUCCCGAUGGGAGUAGCCCCCGAGUGCGUGGCUAACUGCGCGGAGUUAGGCACGAACUCGAAUAGACUUUGAUAUAGGAAAAUUUCGUCGGGUGCGCGGACAGCGCUCCCGAUGGGAGUAGCCCCCGAGUGCGUGGCUAACUGCGCGGAGUUAGGCAUGGACUCGAACAGACUUUGAUAUAGAAACUUUCGUCGGGUGCGCGGACAGCGCUUCCGAUGGGAGUAGCCCCCGAGUCCAUGGCCGAGUAUUUAUAGUCGGGCUUGGACUCAUUGAUUGAUAUAUCUGGCUAAAUCAACUGCUUCGUUGCUUUCGCUGAGAUGAGUCGCUCCGAUGAGAUCGUGUACCUUCGCAGUCGCGUGAGGGACGCUGAACGUCAGCUCUUGGCACUCCGCGGGGAGGUUGCCGUGUGGAAGUCGAAGGCUCGUGCUGCUGCCACCCGAGAUGAAUUUCUUCUGGGGGAGCUUGUUUCGAUAAGCUCAGAUCUGCACGGUAAGCACUGUUCGUAGUGAUUACUCGUUCUGUAUUGCUUCCUGUGUUUAACAGACUGUCUUGUACUUGCAGAACUUAUCCCCGAAUCUCACAAGGAAGCUGAGCGCGUUCGCCAUUGCCUGAACACUCUUCAACGGGCGGGGCCGACGAUUCCUUCCUUCUGGUUUGACUCCGAUAGGGGGUAUGUAUUAGCGCUUUUGCAGGAUCGGGCUGCCCGGGCCAAAGUUUGUUUGAGCUCGUGCCACCAAAUUAUGACUGAUAUUCAUCGAGCGCUGUUUUCGGACACGCCGGUUCUUGACAAUCUUCGGGGUUUGGUCCGUUUGUUCACGGAUUCGGCUGUCAUCAAGAGUUAUAUACAUGAGCAGCUUGUAACUGGCGCCACUGUUGGCCUGGCCUUUGUUCGGCUUCGAUAUCCCGGCCUGGAUCUGGGGGGAUUGCAUGUUGUGCCGUUUUUUGAAGACGGCGAGAUUAACAUGGAGUAUUACUAUGACAUCGUCGAGUGGCAUGCUCGAGAGCUGGUCAACCUUGUCGAGAUGAUAUAGACUUCUACUGCGUCGUUGAGUUUUAGUACUUUUGGGGGAAACAACCCCCGAGUCUUUUCUUGCAAUUAGGUGUUGAGUAGCACGUGCUUCAUCUCCUUUUGUUAUGUCCUGCAACCAAAACUUUGUUAGUUAAAUAUCUGGAAUACGAACCUUUAUCAGUUGAUCUUUCCCGACGAUGUUGAAUAUCUUGUGUCGUGACGAAGUGCGACAGACUUGCGCAUGAGUGUCGCUUGCGAUAAGAGCGGCGAUCUGAUGGUCCUGAGUCCUCGCCUGGACGGGGAUAAUUGUGGUUUAUGCAAUGUAUAUGUACAACGCUUGCAUUGGCGGGUGUUUCGCGCAGCCCCCGAGUCCUGAUUGACUUUCGGGUGAGUGCCACCCGCGGAGCUUUAACUGCGGCACUGGAGUUGCCCCUCUCUAGCGAUAUUAUAGAUACAUCCCUCAGGUCUUUGGAGAGACGGAGGUGUUUAAUGUAGUAAUUCAGCUCUCCUACGAGGGAAAAAUUAGUAUUUAUUCAAUGAUAUACUGACGAAGAUAAUAUGACUGAAUAGAAACUGAAGACGAUGAAAAGAUAAACUCAGUCUGUUUGUAGAGAAAACUAAGCGUAGAAACUCCGUAACUGUGCGGCGUUCCACGGCGUGCCGAAAUCGAUGCUGGUGGCUGGAUCUUUCAGGAUGUAGGCACCGCCUGGGAUUACUUUGGAUAUGAUGUAAGGCCCCUCCCAUGGCGAUGCCAAUUUGUGAUGACUUUUCGUUUUCAGCCGAAGGAUUAGAUCACCCUCAACGAAUGAGCGACGGCGUAGUCGACGGUCGUGAUAAUUGCGGAGACUCUGUUGGUAAACUGCUGACCGAGCGAGGGCGAUGUCGCAUGCCUCAUCUGUUGCGUCGAGUGAAUCUUCCAUACCUUCUGUGCAAUCUGGUCCGGCGUAUGCUGCGACCAGAGGUGUAUUAUACCUCACCUCAGAUGGCAGCACUGCUUCUGCCCCGUACACCAUAAAGAAAGGGGUGAACUGCCUGGAAGAAUUUGGUGUAGUUCGAAGGCUCCAGAGUACCGAGGGGAGUUCUUCGACCCACGCGCCAGCUGCUCUCCGCAAGGGUGUCAUCAACCUUUUAUGCAUGCCUUCAGUGAGCAGACCAUUGGCCUUUUCGACCUGGUCAUUUGUCUGCGGGUGCGCGACUGCAGCGUAGUUGAUUCGGAUCCCCAUCUGCUCACAGAAGUCUUGAAAGUCAGCUUCCUUGAAGUUGCUUCCAUUGUCUGUGAUGAUGCUGUGAGGAACACCAAAAUGGAAAACGAUGGAUCUGAAGAACUGAAUAGCCGUUGCAGAUGUGGCACUUGCAAUUGGCAUGGCCUCGAUCCACUUCGAAAAUUUCUCAACCGCGACUAGCAGAAAACGAUGUCCUCCAUGACGCGACUUCCUCAACGGGCCUACCAUGUCGAGUCCCCAUUGCACAAAAGGCCAGGCGAUGGGAAUUAUCUUGAGUUCAGAAGCAGGGGCAUGCGGCUUCGUGGCGAACAUCUGACAUGCUUCGCACUUGCUGACGAUAGCCUGAGCAUCGAGUAGGGCCGUGGGCCAGUAGAAUCCGGCUCUGAAGGCUUUGGCGGCGAUUGUUUUGCUUCCGGCGUGGUGCCUGCAUGUGCCCUGAUGGAUAUAUAGAAGGAUAUCAUGUCCUUCUUCUGGUGCAAUACAUCUCUAAAAAAUGCCAGAGACACUGCGUUUGUAAAGCUCGCCGUUGAUUACUUUGAAAGCUUUCGAUCACCGCAUAAUCCUUCUAGCUUCGGUUGUAUCUUCUAGCAACUCCUGCCGGAGCAUGUAUGCGAGUAGUGGCUUCAUCCAUGUUGGUCCAAUUGCCAUGACUUCGACUGCGCCGUCUUCUGCUUGCUCGACUACGGGGCUGUCGGGUGAAACUGUUGAGUCGGUUAGAAGCUCUGAGUUGGACGACUUUUUGACUGAAGCCGUCGUGCUCUUCUCUUUGAUGGAUCGUUGAUGAAUGAUCUCCAGAAAAACUCCAGGCGGAACUGCUGCCCGUGUGGAUCCCAGGUUGGCUAAAUGAUUGGCCUCUUCGUUACUGGCUCGGCUGACAUGCGCGAGCUCACAACGGUCAAAAUUACCCUCCAAUGUGUUGCACAUAUCACGGUAGGCGAUCAUGGUGUCCGAUACUGCGUCACAGGUCUUCAUUGUUUGUUGCACAACCAAGUUGGAGUCACCAUAGAUGAUUAGACGAGUAGCGCCACAUGCUUUUGCCAUCCGCAUGCCAUGCAACAAGGCCUCAUACUCAGCUUCGUUGUUGGAGGCGUUGUGGAAGUGCAUCUGAAAAACAUAGUGCAUCAUGUCCCCUUUUGGCAAGAUCAAUAUUACUCCUGCCCCUGCGCCUUCUGCCCAUUUGGAUCCAUCGAAGUACAUGGUCCAGGCACUCGUCAAAUCGAGCGGGCUUGGAGUCUACAUCUCGGUCCACUCUGCGAUGAAAUCUGGCAGUACUUGCGACUUGAUUGCUUUCCGGCGCUUGUAUGUGAUAUUCCUGGGCAAAAGCUCGAUUCCCCAUUGGGCGACACGUCCUGUUGUCUCUGGGUUAUUGAGAAUGUUGGCGAGUGGAGCCUCACUCACCACGACGAUCGGGUGUUGCUGAAAGUAGUGUUCCGGCUUUCAGGCCGUCAUGAAUACUCUGUAUGCCAGUUUCUGAUAAUGUGGAUAACGUUGCUUCGUGAGAGAUAACACUUCACUAACAUAGUAUAUUGGCCUCUGGACUGGCUGCGCUUUCCCUUCUUCUGCUCUUUCUACUACCAAGGCCGUGUUGACCACCUGAUUUGUGGCGGCGAGGUAGCAAGAGUGGCUCAUUCUCGAGUGGGGCUACAAGGACCAGUGAAGUCGAUAGCAUGCGUUUUAGAUCGGCGAAUGCGUUGCUGGCUUCGGGUGUCCAUGUGAAUUUAUCCCCCUUUUUGAGUAGCUGGUAAAAUGGCGGAGCUUUUUCUCCCAAUCUGCUAAUGAAAUGGUUGAGAGCUGCCACUCUUCCUGUAAGCUGCUAUACCGCAUGGAUGUUUGUUGGUUCCUUCAUUGUCACUAUUGCUCUGAUCUUGUCUGGAUUUGCUUCGAUUCCCCUUGCAGAAAGAAAAUAACCUAGAAGCUGCCCUGCAGGUACUCCGAAAAUGCAUUUCGUCAGGUUAAGCUUGAUCCGAUACUUGUCAAGAUUCUGGAAUGUCUAUCGAAUAUCCUCUAAUAGAGUAUCUUUAGUCUUUAUCUUGAUAAAAAUAUCAUCGAUGUAGACUUGAACAUUUCUGCCAAGCUGCGCCCCAAGACAUGCUUGCAUGCAGCGUUGAUACGUAGCGACUGCGUUUUUCAGUCCGAAAGGCAUAGUUGUGUAGCAGAAAACUCCAUAAGGUGUUGUGAAUGCUGUCUUGUCUUCGCCCUCCUUCUUCAAUCGAAUCUGAUUGUACCCAGAAUAUGCAUCAAGGAAUGACAAUCGAGCACAUCUCGCAGUCGAGUCGACGAUCUGGUCGAUUCGAGGCAAGGGAAAAUGAUCUUUCGGGCAAUGUUUGUUCAGUGAGGUGAAAUCAACGCACAUGCGCAAAACUUUCGUGUUCUUCUUCGGGACAAGCACGGGGUUCGCCACCUAGGUAGCUUGUUUAAUUUCCCAGAUAAACUUUGCGUCGAGCAAGCGAUUGACCUCUUCACCAAUAGCCUUCUACUUGGGUUCUGAAAAUUGUCGCAUCGGUUGCCUAAUGGGCUUGGCAAGCUUGUCCACAUGUAAAGAGUGCUCGGCGAGUUCCCUGGGAAUACCCGGCAUAUCGGAUGGUAACCAGGCAAAAAAAUUCCAAUUCUCGCGCAGGAACUCGACGAGACACCAGCACUAUUUUGCUGGGAUCCGUCGGGUGUACCUGAUGCUCUGUUGUGUCACUCUUCGUGCUGAACUCUAUCUGUGGUGGCGCUUUCUUCGUCAUGGAAAGUACGUCGUUGUCCGUCGUUGCCUUCAAAGAGGCGAGUUCCAUCUGCAUACCGAAUGAUUCGGCAAGUUUAUGGAACUCUCUGUCACAAUUGUCCGAUCAUGUAAAGCUUCCUCGGAUGGUGAUUAUGCCGUAGGGUCCAGGCAUUUUCAGCAUGAGAUAUGCAUAAUGUGGGAUGGCCAUGAAUCUAGCGAGUGCCGGCCGGCCCAAAAGCACAUGGUAUUGCGAUUUCCAGUCGAGUACUUCAAAAUCGAUCCAUUCUUUGCGAAAGUUGGCGAGGUUGCCAAAGACAACGUCGAGGCUAACCUGGCCUAAUGGCACUGCCGGUUUUCCUGGAACAAUUCCGUGAAAAGAUGUGUCUGUAGCUUGGAGAUUCGUUAAUGAUCUGUUCAUCGCCCUUAGUGUAUCCGCAAAUAUGAUGUUAAUGCCACUGCCUCCAUCUAUGAACACCUUGCUCAUCUCAUAGCCUCCUACAUGAGCAUCAAGGACUAGUGCUGACUGUCCUGGCCUCGGAAUCUGAGGUGGGUGAUCCGCCCGCGAGAAUGAAAUGGCGACCUCGGACCAGUCGAGGUACUCAAGGGUGGUGGGUGGUGCGGCCACAGCCAGAUGAACUUGUCGAGUGAUAACUUUUUGAUGUCUGUUGGACGACCUUCCUUUCUGUAUCAUGCAGAUAUUUCCCAAAGGCGCCGGAUACGCGUCGGCUGUGGCUGGUGGUUCUGAUGGCCAUGACGCGGACUGCGUGUGUUGCAUGGAUCCGGCGAAAUUUGGUGGCAGUGGAGGGGGUGGCGGCGCGUUAUGCACGAUCAUCCCAGCUUGAUUGGCGUGUGGAAGAGCCAGAGUGUUGGGAUUAAUUCUCAUUGAUUGCUGACCUGGCCCCGAGGGUAAUUCCUACUUACCGUUGAGUUCUGAAACUGGCUGCAUGUGUCCUGCAACUCGUAGAAACGACGGCACUCGAACAGUGUGUGGAUGCACCUUAUAUUUCCGUCAACAUCCCUGGUACCAUGGAAGGGGCAGGGAGACGACAACUGUUGCGUGAACGACAAAGCAGGUUGCUCAUCUCGCCACAACCUCCGAGGCUGCCACUGCUGGUUCUUGCUGCUGUCUCGGUAGUUACCACGGUUACUUCUAUCCCGAUGUCCUUCAUGAUUUCCUUCACCUCGAACACCGCCAUUACGGUCGAACUCUGCCGCUACAAACUCGGGGGCGUUAGGCUCCUGCUCCUUUCGCUUCUUUCUUCUCUCGGUGUUGCGACCGUGUCCUCGCUCGGUUUCUUCAUCAUCUGGUAGUGCAUUGUGCUCAUUUCAAAUUGAAUCUUCUCCAUCUGCCAUUAUUUGCUAUCUCCAUCAGAUCUGCAACCGUUUUUGGCCUGCUCCGUCCCAGUUCUUCCUUAAAAGUGACACGCUUCAACCCAUGUUUGACGUCGACUGCGCUUUCGUCUUAUAUCUCUUCUGCUGUAUUUUUGAGGGACGUCCAUCGUUGUAUGUACGAUCGAAUGGACUCACUCGACCUCUGAGUGCACGCUCGAAGUUCUUCCAAUGAGACUGGCCUUUUAUACGUUGCCCGAAAUGUGCGGGUGAAAACUUGGUAGAGCUCGUCCCACGAGCCUAUUUCGCCUUCUGGCAGACUAGCCAGCCAUGUGCGAGCGUGCCCCUUGAGCUGCAAAACACUGCAUGGCUGUGUUCUUCGUUCCUCCCUUCAGUCGUACCAUUGUGAGGUAAUCUUCUAACCAAGCUUUCGGCUCCUGGGAGCCGUCAAACUUGAUUGCGCUCGUCGAUACUGAAAAAUUAUCGGGCAUCUUCGAGUUGCGAACGCGACGGCUAAAGCAGGCCGCGCCGCAAGGUUCAUCUUCUUCCUCUGUGAUGCGGCCAGCACGAGCUGACCGCUCGCGAUCGAUUCUCUACUGCGUAAUGAUAUCACGAGCAUCUCCUAGUACGGGGGUGUUGCGGCGGCGAUGAGACUGUUCUUCCAGUCCCCGUCGUGGAGGAGUCGUGUGAUUGUUUUGCCGUGGGGAGCCGCCAUCCCUAUGCCGUCAGGGCUCCAUCUGGUUCAAGUUGGGGCCCAUGAGAGCAUUCCCGAUGAGGCCCAGGCCGGCCAAGACCUGCUUGUGGAUUGCCGCCUUCGGGUCGUCAUCCGGUGGCAUGGCGGAUAGGAGGUACAUGUUUGCAGCGACCACAGCUCCUUGUGGCGUCUGGGGAAGCAACUCUCCCUAGGUAUUGACCGUCAUCAGUUCAUCGUCCAAAUUGCAUGUCAUGCCGAUGCAAUCUCGCUCGGGAAUAUUGUUCAACCGAGAUUGAUAGCGCGGCGCUCUAUAUCUAGGGGGUGCUCCGAGAGCAGGCACUGCAACUCUGUGCUGAGAGCUGUCUGCGAGCACUCGAAGCGUCGGCGACUUCUCUCCGCCGUUGGAGCUCCGCCUGCUCCUCUCGCAGAUGAGCUGCGUAGUGUCUAGCGCAUGGUGGUAUGCCAUCAUCUCGUUGCGCGUGGCGUCUGCUGGUAAAGGGUUGGUGUCGUUAAGAGCGGCCUCGACCCGAGCUUCUUCUUCCGACGUGAGAAUGAUUGUUGGCCGAUCAUUGGUCACGUCUCUUGCGCGUGCCUCGGCGAAGAUGGUUCUGUCGGCACGGUGUCCAUCUCCACUGCUCUCGCCUACUUCCGCUGCGAAGACCUGUGCCAAGGUCAUGCGAGGGAUCACAGUUGCGUCAAUGGGAUUGAUUGCUACACUUGAACAGGUUCUGAUGCUGUAAGGAGUGGAAUCUUCAGCGAACACCGAGUGGUGCAAAUCGCACUCGGUGCAAAAAAAUUUGGCCAAAAUUGGCCCUGUUUGACCCAGCGAACGCAUCGGGGGUGAAGGAUCAGUCGGUGACGCCACCAGAGAAUCGCAAAUCUGUCCUGUCGGUAACAGAUCUGUGAAGCUGAUGAUUCCUUCGCGGCUGACUCGGAGGUCAAAACCUCCGAACGACAGCUCCAAAAGACCGCGAAGGUUGCGGAAGGCUAAGCGCAAUAUCGGCGGGUGAGCUGAGAAAUUCAAGAACCCAAAGCGGAUCGGCUCCUUCAUGGUUGAUGCGUUGUGGAUUGAAAGCGGCAUGGUCAAGAAGAUCGUAGAUCUGAUGCACUUCUUCCCAUGGUCGGCGCCAAUGACGAGGGGCUACCUCGGCAAUACCCUGACUCAAGGGUUUUUGACUGAGGAGAGCACGGGGUGCACCAGCGAUCUCGUCGACUAACAAAGACUAGGAGAGUCGCAAGGUUUACCCAGGUUCGUAGUCCUCGGAAGGUAAUACCCCUGCGUCCUGCUUUUGGUGUAUUGUAUUGAUCGAGAUUACAGAGAAGUUAUGAAGCUAUGGUGCGCAGAUGAAUCUGGCGUAUGUCUAGAGGUUGGCCAUUCCUGAUCCCCCUCCUACCCUUAUAUACUGGUGGCUAAGUUUCGGGCGUGAUAAUCAAGAAGGUUACAAUCAGAUCAGUUCAUUCCGGUAUGAUAAGAUUAUGUUUCUUGGUUUGAACCGCACUUUGAGGGAUUCGAUCUGCAUAUACUUGAUGGGCUUUCGAAUGGAUCCUCUGUUGGACUGCAUCGGGUACAUGAAGAUUGAGUACUCGAAGCCUCGUUCCCUCGUCAUCCGUCAACUGUUGUGCCUGACUGCCCAUCCAGGUGUUGAGAGUUACUCGUUCUUCAUCGACAUUUAAUUCUUUCCCGCGUGCAUAGAGGAGUGGAGCACUCUGGGCUCUGGCGCAUUACCACAUUAAAACUUUUGUUUUUUGAAAAGAUCACAAAUCUAUUACUUCGUAGUAUAAAGAUUUACUAGAUACACAAAGCAUCUCAAACAUAAUGAAACAAUAAAUAAAACUUCAACGUAGUACGCUGCGCCUAAAAGAAGAGGAAAUUAACGUGUUUAUACUUCAUUUGAUCUCUCUUUACAGAAAAGAUUCGUGCAUAGUUUCCAAAGAAACUAACCGACCAGUAACAAUUUCUUAACUAAUUUGAUCCUAGCAAACUGGUCAUUUAAUGCCUUUGACCAAUUAGCGAAAAAAUAACACUUACGUAAGCUACCACUCCCUCCGUCCCAUAUUAAGUGACUCAAAUUUGCUUAAAAUGGAGAUAUUUAUACCAAAAAGUGUCUAGAUACAUGUAAUAUUUCGUCACUUAGUAUGAGACGGAGCAAGACUUAAUAUGGGACGGAGCGAUUACAUGUCAUCUUGUGAUUUUAAUUGUGCCUACUGCAAUUGACUUGGUGUACAUUCUGAGCCAUCGGGGCUAGCUAGGUCGACCUUUUCUCGUACUGGAAUUUUCUAUCACCAAGUCCCCUCCAUAUCCGCAGAACGUGUGACGUUUGAAAAACUCGAGAGCGCGCCAUGCAUGUUACUUAGUGGAACAGAUAUGCCCUUUUUAAAGGAAACUUGAGAAGUCGGAUGACCAUGCAAUGCAAUUAAGUUCUAGCCCACAUCAAGACUGUUUCAAUUCCUUGAUCAGUUGACGUGUCUUGUUUGCUUACAUGCAAGUUCAUGCACAUUUGCUUGACCACAGUGCCACACUAUUUUGCUUGCGCGCCACCUCGGCCCCAUUUGCGGCUAUAUAAGCACAUCCAUCCAGACCUCCAUGGCCACUAAAGCAUCCCCACAAUGGCCUCCUCUUCCUCCUUGUUUCUCCUCGCUGCCCUCCUUGGGCUGGCCUCAUCGAUGGUCACUGCCUUUGAUAAUAGCCCUCUCCAAGACUUCUGCGUUGCCGACAUGAAGUCGAAUGGUAUGUUCUGCUCCGUACUUUGUGAUGUACCUGUAUGCAUGUGUGUCCAUUUUUCUAGCGAUGUCGUAAUGUUCUCUUAGCGCUAUCAUAUCAUUGAUCAUGUGUUCUGCAUGAGGUGCUCACGGUGAGCAAAAUAUUAGUAUUUCUCUUUACUUAAACGGUUAAAUCACACAUUUACUACUUUGUGUUAAACUGUUAAUUUACUUUCUUUAUGCGUGCAGUGCGAGUAAAUGGAUUUCCAUGCAAGGACCCAAUGGCUGUCGUCGCGGACGACUUCUUCAAUAAAGCCAUGCUCGACAAACCUAGGGACACUAUGACCAGCAAGGUCGGUUCCAACGUCACCAACAUCAAUAUAGCAAACUUCCCUGGCCUCAACACCCUCGGCAUCUCUCUGGCACGCAUCGACUACGCACCAUUAGGUGUGAACACGCCACACAUACAUCCACGUGCCACCGAGCUCCUCACCGUACUCGAGGGAACGCUCUACCUUGGAUUUGUCACAUCCAACCCAAACAGGCUCUUCUCAAAGGUGGUCACGAAGGGUGACGUAUUUGUGUUCCCAAAGGCCAUGAUCCACUUCCAAAUGAACCUAGCGCAUGACAAGCCAGCAGCCGCGCUGUCAUCGCUCAACAGCCAGAACCCUGGGGUUAUCACUAUCGCCAACGCGGUGUUUGGAUCCAAGCCACCGAUCUCAGAUGACGUUUUGGCCAAGGCGUUCCAGGUGGAAAAAGAUCUGAUAAAGUGGCUCAAAUCUCAGUUCUGGGAGAACAACCACUACUGAUCAUUAUUCUCCUUUGUUUGCACCCAUGAAAUAGUUACAGUAUGCUAUAUAAAUAAAUGGCACACAAUACUUGUGCGUGCCUGCGAGCUGUAAGUUUCGUUUUCUUCUCAACCGUGACAAGAUAUAUGUUUGUCGCCGGAUUGAUGUCAUAGUAUGCUGGUGAUGUUUGUACAUGUUUUCUCUGUUUGACAAAUGAAAUUUGGAAGUUGGUAUACACUGGUGUCUUUUUUAUGGAUCGAAGGAAAUAUUGUCUUACUGAAAUACGACUAGAAAACUCCACGAAGUGAUCGCACGUGCACGUACGCUAUCUCAGUUGUAUGUACGUACAUGAAGCUCAGUUUCUGCCUCUGACAAGGUGAUUCGUUUGAUCGUUGGAACCAAAGAGCGAAGCAGACUAGCUAGUGGUCCCGUGGCAAGAGGAAGGGACCGUUUGUUAUCGUAUAAAACUGAGCGAAACUGCCUUGCGUACGAUCAAAUCGAGUACGAUCCGCGUACUAGCAGACUGAGAAGCAAUGUGCACAGACGGCCCCACAUGCUGACCGUGAAUUAAUUUGAGUCUAAUCGUACCAAGCUAUCUUACAAAUAGCGUCGUACGUAUAGCAUAGUUGAAAACUGAGUAAAUAACUGACGCCGAUUCCCUCGUCCCCCACGACUCCAGGUAACGCGCUGAGCAACCGCCAGCCCGGGAAGACGUACUACGAGCGAGAGAUACAUAUCCAUCUGACCGAGGAACGAGAGGGAGAGCCACACGGGAGCACACCAUGAGAGGCGGGACGAAGCGGCGGCUCUGCGCGCUGCUGCUGGCGCUCAUCUGCUUGGCCGCGCGCUUCCAAGGAAUCGUCUGCCCCGGCGGCGGGAGGGGCGGCGGCGAAGGAGCGGAGGGCGGCGGUGCCGGAGGAGGUGAGGCGGGCGGCGGUGCCGGCGAAGGCGAGGCCGGCGGCGGUGGAUCAGGCGGGAGGAACGCUGGCGGAUGGUGGUGGGCCGUAAAUAAUGCGAGCGACAGUCUAGUUACCCGGGCGUUGGAUGCAUGUGUGGUGUUAACAAUAGGAGUGUAUGAUUUAUUAUGGAUUUAGUGGGCAAUGCACACUUGCUGCUUAUUAGCCAUUCUACUACCUAGCUGAUUAGCAUGUAGAUCCAGCAUUUCCCUUUGUUCCUUAGCGUGUGUAGACCAUCAUUCGAGCUACUAGCACUUCCAUUGUGAUUUAGUACAUCCCAGAUAUGAUCAUUGAACUUAUUCCACGUGUUAUUCAGAGCUGGUACGUAUACUGAGUUGUUUGCUUUAACUUUGACCCGGGGAGUUGAAAUCCGAGCAGAUCACCUGGAAGGACUGCUGGAGUACUGAAGUUUUCUGCAUGAGUUUAACUGAAGACAUGCACGAGUUAGAACACAUGUACAGUAAAUUGGUAAUCGAUGUGUAAGCCGGCCGUUUAACUUGGGUACAAGCAUAGAAAAUUAGAAAUCCACGAGUGCCAGAAACAGCAGUGUGCACAAGUUUAAGUUGUUGUGCGAGCUGAGCAGUGUUCGUUCUUCUUCGAACGCCGAUCCAUGUCCAAUGGCCGUAACAAAAUGCCAGUGCCAUCGCUGAUCUCGGCUCGUCGUGAACCUGCUAUGUUCCUCUCAAACCGACUUCAGAAGGAUAGAUGUACAUUUCAGAUGCAAGUGUGUAAACACGUAAAAAAAUUGUCAUAUAGUGUUCAUACAAUUACAUGGAUAAUGUUUGCAUGUCAACAUCAAUGUUUCUGCUCUAGCAGUCUAGCUGUUUGGACGUUCACGCAUAAUUUUUGUUGACAAUAAUACAUUUUCGCGGUUAAUCCUAAGAAAAUCGGUGGAAGAGCAGUUUACUCACAUGGAUAAAUGGUACUUAGUCAACAUUAGUCGAGUUCUCUUUUCAACCGGCAAGCAGAACAAGCAACGCAGGGUGAUACCUUCUCGUGCCGUCCCUUCCGGGCUCCGGGCUCCGGCCUCCUUCCCCGCGGCCGCUUGCUUGCCAUGGAGCCGCGCGAGAUCGCCGCUGCCGCGCGGAGCUUCUCGGCCAUGGCACGGAUCGUCGGUCCGGUCAGUUUCUCACUUCCCACCUCCUCUCCUCUUCCUCUCCCCGUAACAUCUUCUCGCGAGAUUUCUCGCUAAAGCGCCACGCUCCCUCUCUGCUUCCUCCAGGACCCCAAGGCCGUGAAGAUGCGCCGCCACGCCUUCCACCUCCACCAGUUCGGCAACCGCUCCCCUCCCCUUCCCCUCCCGAUUCCUCAAUCUCCUCGCGGAAUUUGAGCUUAAUCGCGACUUGGUUCGGUUCCAGGUCGGGGUCCACCACGCUCUCGGCGUCGGCUGUCCUCCUGCCCCCGGGCGCCCUGGCGGAGCCGCCGCCGCCGCUUCUAGGUCGUGUCUGCGCGGCUCAUGGCCACACCGGGGGCGUCGCGCUUACGUCCGCGUCUCUCGUGGAGCCGUUCCUGGUUGCGGAGCAGCGCGAUAGCGCCAGCGAGGUUGGUUGCGUCGUCUCGUGCUCGCAACUGUGUAAUUGAGGCGAUUCCGGUGCUGAGGUUUUGCUUGCUUGAUGGGAUGCCUGCAGGAACUACAGCCAAGGUUACUACCGGAGACGUGUCUUGAUGUGCUGGUUGAGGUGAGGAACAUUUUUGGCCUUUGGGUUAUUAUGACUUCAGAAUUCAGAUCAAUGGGGCAGUAUUAUAAGGGGCUGUAGCAUUAGAGCACCAAAUAUCGGGUGCUCAGUUCUGAGAUUACAAGAAAUACAAUGUGAGAGUUUAGUAAGAGUUUCCUGAAAGCCUGAACUUCUCCUGGCAUAUGCAGCAUGAGGAAUUAGGGAACAUCAUAGAUGGAGAUUCUGGAGCUCCACAGUGGCUUUCAGCUCAGUUACUUGCCAUGGUGGGUUUUUCUUUUCCCAAUCAAAACAUAUGUUCAUUACCAGUACCAGUAUUUCUAUUUUCUUUACCCAGAUUCUAGUGCUGCUUAGUUGGGACUCUUACCAUGAAGUAAUUUAAAACUCCCUAAAUGUGCUAUAUGAAUGACCAGUGCUUGUGCUGUUUUUCACCAAAGGAAGUGCUACUUAGUAACACGAUAGGUGUAAAAUGUCUGGUCAUACAUGACAAUAAAUACACACAAUGACUGUUUUGAGUUCUUUGGAUUUGAAAGAUGUUCUUGGAGCUCAGAAAAAAACAAUGUGAACUUAGACCUUGUAAUUUAAAAUCAGAACUGCAUUUAUUUUGGUAAUACUUCUGCAAGGUUCUAGAUAUUUAUAUAGUAUGUCACUAUAAAUGAAAAAUAUAUGAUUCAUCAUCAACUCAGCACCUCAGUUUCCUUUUUUUAGGUCGAUGUUGCAGCAUCAGCUGAAUCUAUAUUAUCCUUAUUAACACAUGAUGGUUCAGUGUUUGGAAGCUCAUCAUGGGAUGUUGGCUGGCCAUUGGCCGAUGUCAAUCAGAAGCAGGUUGUCUAUUCAUCAAGCUAAAGUUGCCUUUCCUGAUUUUAUAGCAAUCAGAGACUUACCACUAUCAGUCAUUAUCAGGUUGAAAAUGGCGUCAGGUCUUCUCUUGAGUCUAACAGGAAGAAUGCAUAUGCUGAGUCAAUUGAACCAUCAAUGUUAGCCAAGUCCGCCACAAGAAUUGCUAUACUAGGAGUUUCAUCCUUAACAUCAAGUGUAAGAUUCAUUUUCUCAAAUUAAUUUUCAUUUCAUUGAUCUUUAGCACCUCCAGAAUUAAAAUGUGGACUUAUUGAGUUGAUGAUCUUGCCAAUGGUGACCAGAAUGAAAUACAUAUCAAUGUUUCACCGGCGCCACAGCGAGGAGACUCUUUGCUGGUAGUAGGGUCUCCCUUUGGCAUCCUGUCACCAUUCCAUUUCUUCAACAGGUAAUUUUUAUUCUACUGCUUUAAUUUCAUUUGUAAACAUAUACACCUAGUGCUCUUUCGUAGAUUCAAUCAGUUAGUUUCAAUUAAAUUCUUAGUUUAUGCUAUUAAUCAAUGUAACAUGAAACUCCAAACAGUUGAAAACUUGAUGUCAUUACAUAUCUGGUUAUGGAAAUAAUAAUAAAUUCUGAAGUGUUGCUCUUUGUAUUCUAUCUGUGCAUCCUCCCUCACUAAAGCUAAACAGUAGCACAGCCUAAUUUUGUUCAGGGCAUGCUUAGGAACCUGUAAAGGCUCAUUCAUUGUCAAAUAGCUGUUGUAGUUUGUGACAUGGGAAAGACAUGCAUGCUAUCAUCCACUAUAUUGUGCCACAUUUAUUUGAAAACAAAGAGGUGCUGACAGAAUAAUCCAUAUUAUUAUCAUUGUUCUUUGAGCAGUAUAUCAGUUGGUGCUGUUGCAAAUUGCCUACCUCCAGGCGCUGUCAGGAGCUCGCUGCUGAUGGCCGAUAUCCACUGUCUUCCUGGUAUAAAUAUCACUCUCCCUUUGAACAUGAAUUAUUACAUCAGCUGCUAACAAAUUUUCAAAUAUUCUAAGGUAUGGAAGGUGCUCCUGUGUUUGACAAAAAUUCUUGUCUUGUGGGGAUGCUGAUGAAGCCAUUAAGACAAAGAGGUAGCAGCAUACAAGUUCAGGUGAGUUUACUGGUACCAGUGUUAUGCUUUGCACAUAUAACCGAUAUCAAGCUUAGAUAUCUGCAUGACAGCUUGUGAUUACAUGGGAUGGAAUAUGCACUGCAUGGAGCAGCAACAAACUGGAAGGAAUUGAGCAAGCCUCAAAUGAUCUACUUGAUGACAAAAAUGCAGAUAGUAAAAUGGUGGAAUCAUGUGCCAUGGAUAACUAUAGGAGGUCCGUCUCUAUUUCAGCCAAUCAUCAUAAUCAGUAUAGAAUUCCAGCUUCACUCAAAGAGGCUAUAUCCUCGGUUGUUCUUGUCAAGGUUGGUGAUACAUCUUGGGCUUCAGGUAUUGUCCUCAACAAGAAUGGCUUAAUUCUGACAAAUGCUCAUCUUUUGGAGCCUUGGAGAUUUGGGAGAACUUCGCCUUUAGGUUUACAAAAUGAAAUCACCUCACUUACUGGAGAACAUGUCCGUGAAGUUGAAAAUAAACUAUUGCAGUCACAAGAAUGCAAAAUGUCCAACCAAGAUGCUGUUAAGCAUGAGGCUCCAUUGUUUAAUUUGGGUUUCAAAAGAGAGAAGAGAAUAUCGGUUCGUUUGGAUCAUGGGAAAAGACAGACCUGGUGCAGUGCUAGCGUGGUCUUUAUCUCCAAGGGGCCGCUUGAUGUUGCCUUGCUUCAACUGGAAAUGGUUGCAAUUGAACUUUGUGCAAUUAGACCAGAAUUCAUUUGUCCAACAGCAGGCUCUUCUGUAUAUGUUGUUGGGCAUGGCCUUCUUGGACCUCGAUCAGGUAACAAACCUGAUAAGUAAGAAUCAUAGUUUUCAAAAUAGUGCUCAAUUUAUGACAUUUGUAUCUUGAUUGUUUUAUUAUUAUAUUGUUAAUAUUUGAGUAUUUGGCUGUAGGUCUAUGUUCCUCUCUUUCCUCUGGGGUUGUCUCAAAAAUUGUCAAAAUCCCAUCAGCUCAACAUUCUCAUCUAUCUAGCAGUUUGGAGGCUGAAACUAUGGACACACCAGUAAUGCUGCAGACAACAGCGGCAGUUCAUCCAGGGGCUAGUGGUGGUGUUCUUAUUAAUUCCCAUGGUCGAAUGGUUGGGCUAAUAACAAGGUAUUAACAUUAAGUUUUAUGUGAUUUGUAUCAACAUUACCAACUAUUGUGGUGGAUAUGCGAUAGUCAAAAACUAACUUUACAGUCAUCUUAGUUUUCCUUCUUCACUCAUGCAGUGAUCUGAUUCUGCUAUGACCUUGAUUCUAGACUUUAAAACUGGAUUUGCAGUCAUCUUAGUUCUCUUUGAUUCUAGCAAGGUCCUUAACCUUUUUCAGCAACUUAUUUCUGUUGUUACCAUAUCCAGCAAUGCAAAGCAUGGUGGUGGGACCACAAUACCUCGUCUGAAUUUCAGCAUCCCCUGCAACUCUUUGGAAAUGGUCUUCAAGUAUUCAGGUGCUACCUAACUUUGUUCAAAUCAUUUCUCUUUAGUCAUCACAGUGCCUCCCAAUGCUAUAUAGGAGCAUUUUUGUCAACCUUGUCCCCUUUUUGAGCAGCAAAUGAAGAUUCCACAAUUUUAGAGCAGUUGGACAAACCCAAUGAAUUGCUUUCAUCAGUGUGGGCAUUGGCACAAACCCCAGCAUCGCUCCCAUUUCUCAGUAGUUCCCCUGGAAAAAGCGGAGAGGGUAAAGUGUUGAAGUUCUCAAAGUUUCUCGCCGAUCAGCAAGAAGGUUUGAAAUCUAGAACUGAUAUAGAGGCAUUUCUUAGACACAAGAUUCCUAGUAAAAUUUAAGGAAUUGUUUCUGCAAAGCACCGAUUGAUAGUACCGGCACCCUUGACAUAUAGGAGAGGAGGAAAAUGAAAAAUCAAGGGAUUCAGAUUGAGCGACAAAAUGACAGACUGUCUAUUUCCGCCAUGGAAAUGCCAUGCUCUCUUUUUUCCUCGAACACACCUUGCUGCAUGUCAUUUCCACCAUGGAAAUGCUAGACUCUCUUUUUUCCUCGAACACACCUUGCAACAUGUCAUUUUCAUUAAGAAGGGGGCGCAAGAAGCGCAAGUGCAGACAGCAAUACAAAGGCAAGAGCCAAAAAGAACAAAGAAAGAAGAAAAGAGAAGAAGAAAGAAAUGCUAGGCUCUUGACUGAAACGUUCUAUAAGAUCGGCACAAACUUUCAUGGCAUACUUUAGAUUGAUUCAUACAAAGUUUCUUUCAUGAAAGAUACUUCAUGUGUUGGUUUAUAUAUAGUUUGUUUCCGGGUAUAAGGGUCGCGCAUUGAGCUUGUUUUCAGAAAGUUGAGACAUCUUCAGCGAUUGCUUAUAUACAGGAAGCAAUACAGUUUAUACUAACUGACAACGACAACAAAACUGUGUACCAUUUGUCAUAAUGACCCCGUGAAUUGUACUAACAAUGCUGUUUGGACUAAGAAUACUGUUUGUAGCAUCUGCAGCUGUCUGAAAACUUUCUUUAAAGCAUGUUAGUCUGAAACUAGGUUUCCCUAUUCAUCCUGUCAAAGCCUUUGAAUCCAUCAUGGAAAGGAUUUUUAAAAGGAUUUUUUUUAAACAGAUCGUCCAUAAAAAAAAAUUAAAAGUAUUUUUUUUCUCUUGUAAGUUCAUAAAUGGUGGGCAUAUAGAAACUCCUCCGGACCGUAGCAGAGCUAGGGCUCGCCUUAAACGAGACGACACCCAUGCUCUCCAUCCACCAAAUUCCAUCUUUAAAAAAAGAAGAGAAUGACAAAUCCUAUCUGGGCUAGCUGAGGAGGGAUGGCCAAUAGCCCAAUACCCAGUAGUUGGUUUUGCAGAAGCCGAAGGCCAGCACUGAUGGCCGAUGAUACGGCCGGACGCGCAAUGAGCUUGUGCAUCCCACUGCCACUGUCCUCGGAGCAGGAGGAGAUUGUGGCUGACGCUAUCAUGGAUGGAUCAAGAGGAAGAUGAAAAUGACAAGCUCGUCCCCACCACGAAUUCAAUUCGUUCCUAGCCAAGUUGGAAGAAAAACACAAGUAUUGUCGAGACGAACUAUUUGCUGGCUUUUUUUUUUGCGCAAAACUAUUUGCUGGCUUAAGAAACUGUAAGAGCAUAUUAUCCUGCUGAUCAGAAUUCAGAAGGACGAUGAGUUCGUUAUAUGCCGAGGAUGAGGCUUUCUCUGGAGUCCAGUUGAGAUGAGGAUUCCACUAAUUUGUUGUGCUACUGCUACCUAGCUGUCUAUAUAUGUAUUGAGUAAGAAAAGUAGAGCAAACUCUACAAAAUGUCUAUAUGUGUAGUUGAGUAAGAAAAGUAGAACAAACUUUACAAAUCACUCAUAAUUAAAUUGUGCAAGAAAAGUAGAACAAACUUUAUAAAUCAAUUAACACUACACAACGCGUGAGCAUGCAGAAUAAUAGGAUGUUUGAUGAGACCAAACGAACAAUGCACCAGCAAUUUCAUACCUACAAACUGAAGUGCCUUUCAUUCAAAGACUAAAAAUCAAUAAAUCGUAUAAUAUGCAUAUAUCUAGGCCCAACAUAUAUAGACUGAACUACAUGUGUUACAGCCCGGGAAGAGGUGUGAAACAGUUGUGAGUCACACCUCACAAAGGCAUUGUGAAACAUGCAUUAGAAUACUGUGCAGUGUAGUUCUACAAUAUUCAAAUAAUCCUACCAAAAUGAGCAGAGCAGUUAAACUAGGAUUUUUACUUUUCUGAAGACAUGUUCUCGAAAAACUUUACCGAGGUCAAGAAUUUCUCUUAAUAGUCACGAAAAAAGUAUGGUCAAUCUGCCUUUACAAUUGGAGAAAAAGAAAAUCACAAUUCUACAUUCUCCUAAUUCCCUGAAGACAGGCCCAUCCAUCCAUUUCAGAUACUAAUAUGUUGUCCAAGUACCUGGAGUAAGCUUUUUCAACCUUUGCAACCUGUAUUAGAUGACACAUAACUCAGGGGGUACAGAAGCAUCACAAUUAAGAAAACAAAAACGGUAUAUGACAUUUUAAAUUUUGAAAUAAUCUAUUCCUUUACCUGCUCACUCAAUAUCCCUGAAACAGCAAUCGUUCCACCAAUUUUUGCAUAACCAACUAUGUCCUCGACCAGCUCUAGCAAGGGAUUCAGGAGUAUAUUUGCUGCAACAAUGUCAUAUGUCCCUCUUGAGGACUUCAACUCAGGGUUAUAGGUGGGUUUGUUCUCUUCUGAUUUGUCAAUGCUACUUGAGAAGGAUGAAGGCUCAGCAUCAGUCGGUACCAAAUACACUAGCAUUUUGUUGGAAUCCAAACCAUUCAGCAACAUGUUCUCACAAGCGGAUGUUACAGCUUGAGGGUCUAUGUCUAUCCCUGUGGAUAGAGCAGCACCCAUCUGCAUUCGUAAGCCAACAAUGAGCGCAUGGGUAUUACUGCUGUCUUUUCGUGAAAAUUGUUGUAGUGAACAAUAAGAGCACCAAGACAUACCUUCAGAGCCGCAAUACCCAAUACCCCAGUGCCUGUUCCAUAGUCCAAGACAUGUUCACCCCCCUUAAUAACUUCCCUUAGAAAUAAAAGGCACAACUUAGUUGUGGGAUGCUCCCCAGUUCCAAAAGCCAAACCUGGAUUGAUAAUUAUAUUUGUGGCAUGUGGAUCCUGUCAUUGUGGAAAAAGAUGAACAUGAUGCAUGAAGUAAUUCUCAGUUGAAGUACUUAAGUAGAUGCUGAGUCAAACGUAACAUCAGUAAAAGAUCAUUCUGUGAAGACAUUAAAAGGAAACAGCAUGAUAUUUGCACAAUGCAGACAUACAGGGGGGGUUCUCCAUUUAGGAAUAAUCCAAAGGUCAUCGAUAACUUGAGUAGACUCGUACGUUUCCUGCAGACAUAACAGUAAUCUUUUCAAGUAUCUGCCAAGCAAAAUCACUGUAUCUGUGAAUGCAGUACAGCAGCGAAGUGAGAUUUGCAGCUGGUAUGAGAAUUCGAGAGCAAAUGAGUACAACAAUGGACUUCACAGAUCAUGUAUAUGAAAAUCGUAGAGCAUAGAGUGAUAGAGAUCCCAAGUCGUAACCUGCACAACUGCCACCCAAUCGCACUGUUUUCCUACAGAGGUUUCAUACACUGGGGUGUAAUCCAGACCAGCUGAGCUUGCAGCAUUUGAAACGCUCGAUCCCACGUUUUCCCCGUAUGCAAAUGUGGAGGUUAUGGAGAUCUGCACAGCAAAUGAUUGUGUCUAUAACUUUCAAGGAAUGAACAAUAAGCCCAAAUUUUCUUCAGCCCGAAUUGGCCAGACCAUGACUGAAUUAAACAAUGCACGGAGGAAGAAACUCACUUCUUCAAGAUUUGCAGCGUCUUCAACGUCAUCCACGGUGACGGAGCUAGCACCAAAGCACAGGAGAGACUCGGAGAGCAGUUCCUGGAUGCCGUUUUUUUUUUUUGUCAGGGGAAACACUUGUAGAGGCUAGAAACUGCUCACAUUAAAAAGAGCAACAUUGCAAUAGGUAAAAGCAUGGAAUGGAAGGGCCGGGUACUGACAGCAUCCUCCUUGCGGCAGCGAAUGCGGACGGAGAGGUAAGGCGAGGACAAGUCGUAGCCGCCGCCGCCGCCGGAGCUGGAGCUGGGGGGCGCCUCGUCGUCCACACUAACCGCGCGGGAGCCCAUGCCCCGCCAGGAGUCUCCGCCCGCUGCCGCCCUCGAGGCCGUGGAGCCCUCUCCGACGCGGAAGGGGCGAGCGGAGAGCAUCAGGAGAAGGGGCGCGACACCUCCGCCGCUGACGGUGUAAGGGGAGCAUCGCGGCGAGGAGAGCAGGAGGCGGCGGAGAGGAGCGCGGCCGACGGCGCGCACCAGCGGCAGCAUAGAUCUCUCGGCCAGCCGGCGGCUGCGCCGUCCGCGCAGCACCUUGCGCCGGAACGAACGGUUUCAGUCUUUCAGUACGGACCGUGGAGCUCUGGAGCUCGAAUUUGUUUGUAAAUGCAAUGCAACCUGUGGUUUCAGUGACUACAGUACAAGUGUACAACCAGCGUCUGUUCCAUUCAUUUUUGCAGGGCUGUUUGCAGCGUUUUCGGAUCGAAAACCUCUUCCCCAGUCUCGUUCUUGCGAUGCUCCUAUGCAAUAAGCUAGGCAGCUUCGAUCAUGCACAAUCGAGGAAUGAAUGCAAUGUCGCGAGCACAAACGGAGUUUCUAAGAGCAAGGUACAACCAACUGCUGGCUAUAAACAUGUUGUCAGUGUGGUCUAUAUAGCUUAUAACUAGUCUAACAUUCAGCAUGUCUAAUAAUUAGCUAUAAACAUGAGUACUCCCUCCUAUCCAUAAUAAGUGUCUCAAAUUUUGUAUACUAACUGCUCCAGUACUUUCUCCGAUCCAAAAGUUAAUCUACUAAUAUACUCUCUCCAUUUCAUAAAGAAUGGCGUCCACGCUUUUCGAGGUCGAACUUUGACCAACGAUUAGAUCAAUUGUAUGUAGAUUAUAUGUUACAAAUUUUAUAUCGUUGGAAAGGUUUUGGAAAUACGAAUCCAAUGAUAUAAUUUUUGUAACACAUAAGUCUCAAAUUAUUAGUCUAAUUAUUGGUCAAAGCAAAAUCUUGAAAUGCGUGCGUACCAUUCUUUGUGAAAUGGAGGGAAUAUAUUUUUUGUUAAAUAAAAUUGAUAUCAUUGUAUUUGUAUUCAAAAGUACUUGUUUAUGGUCAUGAUUUGUAUCAGAUAAGUCACAGGUUGAUACAGUAACCCUUGGUCAAAGGGUCGGUCAAAAAAAUACGCCAUUCCGACAAAUUUGUUAAAUAACUACAGCUGUAUGUGCUUGGUAAUGUGCCAAGUGCCAACCACCAUCUCUCUCAUUUUUAAUUCUUCCACCUCCAAUGAGCUAAGUGCAUGAAGAAAGUGUAACAAGAGAGAAAUAUUUUUUUCUUAGUCUAAAGUGCUUUGAAAAGUGAGAAGUAUAUUUUUUUUGGACAAAUCUUAAAACUUAUUUGUGGAUGGAGGGAAUACUUUAGAUACAACAUUAAUUAAUAGACAAUGCAUUAAAAGAUGCUUAAGUAAAACACAUUGAGAGGGGUGUAUCAAUAUGCAUAUUUAAUGUGGUUAGUACGUAUCUAUCUUAACCCUCCAUUCCUUAAAAGAUGUCAUAUUAGCUCUUAACCCUCCAUUCCUUAAAAGAUGGCAUAUUAGCUUAAGGCAAGAUUUUGACCACAGAUUACUAUGUCAAUGCGUGGUUUAUAUGACAUGAAAUUAGUAUCGCUAGAUUCGUUAUCAAAAAUACUUCAUACUACUUGUGGUUUCAUGUCAUAUAAACCACACUUCAUCACAUUAAUUUGUAGUCAAAACUUUGUCUCAAUAAAAGCUAAUUUGACAUUUUUUAAGGAACUGAGGGAGUAUACAUUUAGACUUCCAAAGGCUAAUUAAUCAUUAUGCUCUUAUUUUUCCUAUGCAAAUAAUGUUAAUGGUAACAUCCUAUUGGAUGAAGGAAUGUUGUACCAAGUAGUAGAAAUUAGGGAAAAACUGAAUAUCUCAUGCAAUUAAUUGCAUGUGAAUAUGAAAAUGAAUGCCAAGUGGUAUUUUAGAAAGAAAGAAACAGAGCGCGUCACGUUUACACUGCAUGAAUUUUCAUGCAACCUCUUCGGUAACCGUGGAGUACAUGCAGCUUCUCACUGGUACCAAAAGUCCAAAACAGACACACGGCGACAUCGGAGCUCCGACGAUAUUCCAUCCGGCAUUUCCCUUUUCCAAUCCAAUUCUCUCCCCUGAGAGAUUCCAUUGGUCGUUUCCUCCCUAGGUGGCCAGGCUAGGCCGCCAGAAGCAUCUCCCUGAAUGGACGAACCAUAACUAGCUCGGCCUAGGAGUCAGCUGGUGCCAGCCGUUUAACCGCGGCGCGGAGACUGGGCCCUCCUCGUUCAAGCCUAGCGGUUGGAGAACCUGCGCGUCCCGGGUUGACGAAACGCGUGUCCGGCAGAGGCUAGUGUCUGGUGGGAUCCCUCGCUCCAGCAUGCAGCUGCAACACAGCGUCACAGCCCCAGUCAACUUGGCGGAGGGUCAAAACAACGACCGGACCAGCGUCUACACGGUUCUUCGCUCUUCCACUCCGCCAAGCUGACGCAGUGCCCAUGAGUGACUCGAGAAGAGAUGGUCAAACUGGCAGAGAGGCAGAACCGGACGACGUCCGUUGCUGAUUUUUCAACGGCCGUCUGCAGGCCCGUGCAGUCGUCACCCGUAAUUAACACGAGCUAGCUUCUUCUGGUUUUUGAAAUCGUCACAGUAACAACUUAACACGAUCUGGUUGAACGCGGAAGGGAAAAUGGAAAGACUGCGUAAAGACUCAUGCCGUUCUGUUCUAAAAUGUAAAAUUUCCUCGCAAACAAAGAGAAAGUAAAAUUGCUGUCGAUGAAACCGUUGGAUCAUCUGUUUUUUUCUUUCACCGGUCAUUUAUUCUUCUCAACAGUCAUCCAGUCUCCAGACACCACUUCCGCACCGUCGCCGGCUUCGACUCGUCUCCAACGGGCCUCUGGCGCGUGCAGAAAGCCAGAAACCCCUGACUCUGCCAUGGUCUUCGCCUUCCGCUGCGCUUUAAACAGGAGACUGGAGUAAACGGUAGCAGUUACAGCAUCCGCAGCAACAGAGCUGCCGGGUUAAAAUCAGCUCAGGGUUUAAUAUUAGACAGACAUCACGCAAGAAUCACGCUGCAUGCGCGGCAGCAUCAAUUACAUCGAAGGAUGGAACCAGGUACCUUUGAUUAGCCAGUUUUACACUUCUACUCAGUUUAACCAGUCAAUUUUAUGGUUUUAAACCAACGAAGAACCAGGUAUACUUCACAAGAUAACACAAUUAAGUCAAAUAAAUAAGACACGAUCAUCAAGAAACGCUAACUUUGUCCCCAUUUUUGCUAUAUUGAAUGACCUAUGUACAGGCUUUUCACCGCAUGUACAUCCCUGCAGGCCAUGGUAUCAAGCGGUGAUUCGUCAAGUACUGCAGGAGGGAGCUGGUGCCACAGAUUUGAUCUAGCCUUGAGUUCUCAGAGCGUACAUCAGUUCCUGGGGGUGUUAGGAAAAGGAUACAGAUCAUCAGAAAGCAGCAUUAGUGAAACAAGCAGUUAGACAGCCAUUUAGAGAGAGAAUUACCAGGUCCCCCUGACGAGAGGCAAACGCAGGGUAUAGUUCUGCAAGUGAUUCCUCUUCCUUCAAUCUUUCUAAGCCAUUGAACAGAUCCAGCUUUUCCUCGGCUGCAUCGGUGUCUUUCAUUGCAAAGCAUUUGUUUCCGGGGUUCUUCCUAAUGUAUAUCUCAACUUCUUUGGCUUGCCGUGACAACUGAAGAGCAACAAACUGAAAAUAUGCAGAAGCGUACUCUUUGCUUAAUAAUUUGGAUCCAUGUCAACAGAAACUGCAUUAAAAAAAGAAAGCAUGUAGAAGCAAGUGACAAGUGAUCACCUGGCAUAGAUGGCUAACAGAGAAUGUAGAAUGACAACUGAGAUAGGGCUUCUCCAAUUUAGGCAUAUUUUGUCCAUCAAGUGGACUUAGAACAAGAUACAACUGCACAAAAGAGACACAAAAAGAUCAGCAGAUCUAAUAGAUACAAGUCAUGGAUUUCUUGUACAAGAUUUAACUUAGCGGAGAGUAGCAUGUAUGUGCUUGUGUUGAUGUGUGUAUUGCCUAUGCGACACUAAAAAACACAGAGGAACACGUACAACAAGCUGAACAGAGGGAUGGAUGCAUCAGAUGUGCAAAAAACCAGAAAGGCAAAAAUGCCAUCAGAGGCUAUUCCCCGUUGCUUUUAGUCUGUUUAUAGUACUCUCCCUCUAUUCCCUAAAAGAGUGCAUGUUAGUUUUGUCCUAAGUAACUUUUUAAAGUUUGACUUGUUUAUUGAUAUAAAUAUCAACAUCUACAAUAUACCAAAUAAAUACACUAUGAAACAUAUUUCAUGGUAGCUUUAGAUGUUAAUAUUUUAUCUAUAAACUUGGCUAGCUAAAGUUAGAAAAUGUUUGACAAAGGAAACUGAUAUACUAUCCAGAAUGGAGGGAGUAUUAUGAAAUCCCCAAAGCAUAAGUAGGAAACAGUAACUGUAGUUUCUUUGGAGAGGAACAAAAAAAAUUAAACUAUUUGCAUCCCAUGGUCUGUUUUUACCUUACUAUCAGAUUCAUCGGCAUUACGGAGAUGGUCCACCAUCUUGGCAACACGCCCACUCUUUACCAUUCUUCCACUGGAACCGCCAGAAUUGCCAUGUCUACUAGUUUGACUGCGGGUGCCAUUUUUGCCCCAGGCAGGCAUCUCUCCCCUUAGUGGAGAAGUAGUCAAGAUAUCUCUGACACCUCCCAGAUCAUCGUUACCCUCAUAGGUACCAUCGAUACUGCCAAUAGUCUUCGAAGGGGAUGGGCGUGGCACAGGCCACCUCCGAGCUCUUUUUACCUUUACAUCUGGAGAACGAUCAUCGACAGAAGACGACUCUUUGCUGCCAUCAUUGCCAUUUUCUUCUUUAUCCUCGUCAUCAAUAUCAGAUGUGACAAUAUCAGGUGAACUAGUUCGUCCUCUCCUCUUUGCCCGCAGAUUCCCCCGAGUCUUUCUUGAAGAAGCAAUUGCUUUUGCAGUGGAACGCUUCUUCACAAGUGCUUCCGUUUGUCGUCGAAACGUUUCGGCAAUGGAUUCUUGAAUCUUCCAUGAGGAAUGAAACAAAUGUCAAUAACAAAAAGAACCCAAAUAAGAAAUGGCCAGGGCAAAUAAUUUAUCUCCAUGCGUAAAUGCAUCAAUGCUUGGCAUCCAAAUAAACCCACCUUUUUGUUGCGAGUCUUCUCCUCUUCACCAAAAGCGAGUUCCUGUCAAUGUCAAGGCUAAUUAGAGUCACUAGCAUAGGUACUACAAAAAAACUAGUAAAAAAGAGUUACAUGAACUAAGUGUAACAACUGGAGUACUUAUGCAUCACCUCUUCCUCAUACUUGUCAAUAUCUGGAUAUAAAGCCAAAAUUAAAGCAUCAAAAUUAGGAUCAUCCCUCAAGGAACGUCUGCUCUUGCAAUGAGUGCGGCAUGCUGGGCAUUCAUUAUUUCUGCAAAAAGCACUGCAUCACUUAUAUUGUCAUUGAAAUAAAGUACUAUGUUGUUGGAUUUUUCAAACCCCAACCAGGUUGGAACUCCACCAUUUUUAAAAAUACGACAAUGAGAGAAGACAAUUAAGACAAAUAAAACAAGAGUCAUACCCAAGCCGCAUUGACUUAUCUAUGCAAUCCCUACAAAACCGGUGCAAACACUCCAUAACAGUUCUUGUUUUCCGGAUAAUGCCUGCAACAUAGGACCAUAAGACAAGAAAAUUGUAAGAUAUGACAGUUUGCACGACAAUGCUACUUAGUUUCACAUACUAAAAGCUUAUUCAACCUAGCUUCUAAUAUGUGCAAAGCUAGUUGCACUUGUACAAACUUCUGUGUGUGAGGAUCAUAAGCUUUGCUGUGUGACUUUUUUAAACGAAAACGAGGCACAUAUUCCCUAGACACCUUAUUAAUCUGAGAACAGUACGAGUAUGCAUACUUGCAUAAUAGAAACAUGUGGACCUUGAAUUUGCUAGUUUCAACAUUUUUAGUGAAUAGUACUCCAUCUGUCCGGAAAUAAGUGACUUGGAUUUGUAUAGAUUCUUAUACAAAUCCAAGUCACUUAUUUCCAGACGGAGGGAGUAGUAAAAACCUGAGAUCUAUAGAAUAACAUCAUCCAAUUGUAAUUACAAGUAACACUACCAUGACAGAAAUUGCGCAAAGCAAAAAAGAAUUCACAUCUAUGAACCUGGAAGCGAGUUGGCAAUGGAAAGGCAUAUCCUUACCUAAGCAUAUAGGGCACUGCACUUCCUUCCGUAUGUCCAUUAGUUUCACUACUAUAAACCUGCAUGAGAAAACAAUAUUGUUUAUCUACCAGUUUCAGGCUUCAACACCAAAAUCAAAUAUUCCAGUAUCCAUAGGCACAUCAAUUACUGAGAACAAUAACUGAGAAUGUAUUCCAUAAUAGGAUUACAGGAAACAGCAGGAAAAAUGGAACUAUUGGCACCUGAGCAGUAAUUGAACAUUGGAAACUCAAAUUUGACAAGUGGAAGCAGAGCCGAUUGGAUUCAAUUAACCAGCUGACGGUUCUAAGCAGUACCAAAGAAGUCCAAAAGAUACACAAUAGGAGGUCUACGAAGACUGCACCUAUGUAAUUAUCUGUAUCAAAUGUAACAAGGUAUGUGUGCCGAAAUCUGACAACAGAGUUUAUGUAAUGAACAAAUUGUUUUCCUACUACGAAAAUGCACUGACCCCCAACAGUAACACGAUGAGGAGAGUUGCAACUAGAAGCUAGUAUUAACUACAGUGACACAUGUAGACAAUAGAGAAGCUCUCGCAAAAAAAGAAAAAAGACACAAAAGAACUCUGAUCUACAAUGUUCGAUUCCUGAAUUUCAGUUGCGAGGACAUAUUCAUAAACACAGCUGUGAGUUUCAGCACUGAGGAAAGAUUCUUGAAGACAGCUGAUGGAAGGCAUAAUCAUAAGCUAUCACAAGAAUAAGAAAUUCAUGUGCACUAAACUGAGUUAAGACACCUAAACAGGGUAAGAACUAUCGCAAUCAUGGAGGUCAGGAUAGCAACAGUAGAACCAGAGAGCAGAUAUUCAGAGCACGACAGCACAAUUCAUGACCAAGAAAUUCGCAGUCUCUUCCAAUGCACUACAGGGAACACGAAGAAGAGGUCCCAGUACAGAAGAAGGUGACACCUGCUACGAAACUGAUAACCCACUGGGAGAUCUUAUAUGGGAUGGAUGAGCUUGAAUGAUGUUUGCCACUAGAGCAUGGCGUCUCCACAGAACCAUUCAACAUGAUGAACAGGUUGUAGGGCGGCCAUGCUGGCCUGGCCAGGGAGCUCACACGGGCGAGUAAGCAUAAGCAUAGUAAGAUUAUUGCGAUCCAGCAGGUCAGGCUAGCAGCGACGAGCCAGGACGGAAGUGUUGGCCGUGGCUGCACAAGAAUCAGGAGGAAGAAAAACAGUGAACAGAUGAGCCACGACGAAUAGAACUGCCAAUUCAGAUGUGGCUGGCGGUUCCAGCGUAACAGCUUCAGCGUGCGGCGAUCCAUCCUGGACGACGCCGCAGGCAUUUGCCGUCACGAGCACUGCGCCUCCGGGGAGCCGUAUGACGGAAGCAUGCAUGCUACAGAAGAUCCCAUCCCGUGCCUCGGCGGUGACGGGAGGGCUGGCGCCGGCGCGGCACGAACGAAGCGGCCAGCACCUGUGCCGCCGGCUCCCACCGCCUAACAAGAAGGACUCGAGGGGGCCCGCCGCCGCCGCCGCCACGACAAAACCCAAGCCAGCAUACGGGGCACGACGCCACGAAGAUCCCUUGCCUCAGAGGCUGCAGGAGAGUUCGAGUCGUCGAGGUAAGACGAAGCGGCCGCCGGCCAGGCCAGACUCCUCCCGACGGUGGCCUCCGGACCUCGGUACCACCCCGAGAAAACCGAAGCUGCCGUAGUACGGGGACGCGGCGCGACGAAGACGGCAAAUCACAACGGAGGGCAGAGGAGGCGGAGGAGAAGGAGAUGGUAAGGGGUGGAGGAGGGAGGAGAGUCGUUCACGGGUCCACUUACUCGUCCAUGUCGCCUUCGCUCUCCGACGACUCGCUGUCGUCGUCGUCGCGUUCUUCGUCGUCGACCCCGCCGCCGACGCCGCCUUCCACCUGCUGCAGCGCCUCCUCCGCCGCAUCGGAAUCUGCCAAGCCCAUCAGACACGCAAGCCGGUUAGCGACCCCAACGCAGGAACAGCGAACGCGAUGCGUAGCGCACGCGUACGCAUCGCGCGAAGGAAAAGAGAGGAGAGGCUGCGUCGGCGUCGGGAGGGACGUCGUGGAAGAGCUCACCACCGUCGCGGCGCUCCUUGGCCAGCUCCGCGGGGCCGGCUCCGUUGGCGGCCACCACCUUCGGGGAGCGCGCUCCGCCUCCGCCUCCGCCGCCGCCGGCCUCGGUGCCAGAAACAGCGGCGCCGUGAGCUUCCUCCUCGACGUGGUUGCCGUCCUGGUCGCCGCCAGCGGACGGCGGGAGCGGGCGCUUCUGCGCAGGCAUUCCGGCCCACCCCGCGCUGCGCUCGUCUCGGAGGAGAGGGGCGAGUGAGAAGGAGGAGGGGGAGGUGGGUGGAAGAAGCGGCUCGAGUCGAGGAGGAGAGGGGGAAGGCGAGGCGGAGAGCGAGAGGAAAAGAAAGGCAAGGCAAGGCAAAGGCAAAGGCAGGCAGGGGACGGGUGCCCCUCUGCUAUGUAGUACUCCUGUGUCGCGUGUAACUUUGGGUUGGUGCCUGCCGCUGCGUCGACCCGGCCCGGCGUGGGAUGGCUUCGUUGGCUCGCGUCUGCCGUGACCGCGAGGCGCGGCGCAUGCAGGGGCGCCCGGCCGCCGCCAAACCCGCGCGCGGCUACUCUGCGGUUUCCCAAUCUUUCCAGCCGUUGGAUAUUCGAUGGGAGAGUUCUCGUCCCCUCGAGCAAAAUCCGAAGCCGCUGGCGAAUAGUGUUCAGGGGGUGGUGAUCGCUACGGGCAAAAAUUAACUCCAGUCGAGUUGUUCCGAGGCAAAAUAGACCGGCAGAAAAGAAAUGCUCGUCGCCGUCUCGGAGCCGGUAAGUGUCGUCGGUGAAUUUCUUAGGUCAACGGGAACCACAGCCCCUGCAUCUGCUAAAACAGAUCGUCCCAUCGCAGACUCGAUUUUCAAAAGGCUUGUCAAUCAUGGUAGAGUUCUCACUGCGGCGUUAAUUAAGUGCUUUGGAGGUAUUAAGUGGAUCUAGCAUGCAUGAAUAUUUCUCAUAAAGUUUUCAUAAGAUAUGUGUGUGUUGCGAAAGAAAUGUCAUCGAGUAAGAUUUGAGAACAAUUUGGUACUGUAUACAAGAUAGGUAAAAAAAGUUGGUAACCUGUGUGUGAAAUUUAAUUAGGUUGGGGUGGCGUGUGUGAUACGACAAUGUGCGCAAAAAACGCGUGAUUAUUUAGUCUAAAGUUAAUACCUGCAAAUAGCGCCGAACAAGCGGGCCUCGACAAAACGUGGCACAUGAGGUUACCGUCUGUAUCGACAGUCCGUCACGCGUAUAUGUGGCCGGCAUACCCGCAUUGCUCUUACUUUAACCACCAACAUUGAUAUUUCCUUAACAGCUUUUUUCGUUGUUAUGAUUUCAGUUUCCACUUUUGAAGGUCUUUGGAAAAAAUGAAUGUGAUUGCUAAUGUGAUUCUUGUUUUGUUGCAUCGGCUCCACGUUUCCCUAUUUGUGUUUAGUACGUCCAUCGCUAUUCACUCUGUUUCAAGAUAUUUGGUGAUCGGAGACUCGAUUUUCACAAUAGGUGUCGAUCAUUGUAGUGUUUUCAUUGGGGCCUUAUUAAGUGCUUCGAAGAUAUCAAGCGGAUCUAGCAUGCAUGGAUAACUUUCAUUAAUUUUCCAUAAGAUUUGUAAGUUGCUAAAGAAAUGUCGUCAAGUAAAAAGUAAAAAGUGAGGACAGUUUAGCACACAAUAUAUCUUCGAAAUUUGGUAAAUCUGCUUGUGCCCUUUUUCCUCCUGCCUUUUUUUAUUAUUUUCCUUGUGUUUCUUUAUGUAUUAUUGGGGUCAAUCUCGUAUCGAUCCUCUUGGCAAUAAAUAACGGGUUGUGUUGCUCCGUAAAAAAUGGUAACCUGUGUAUGAAUCUUAAUUUGGUUGCUGGAUGGCGUGUGUGAUACAACUUUGUGAGCAAAAACGGUUGGUUGGUAAAAAAUAAUUCCUAGAAAUAGGGCCGAAAGAGCCGGCCUCGACAAACGUGGCACAUGAGGUUAUCGUCUAUAUCGACCAUCCAUCACGCGUAUAUGUGGCCGGCAUACCCGCAUCGCUCUUUCUUUAACCGCCAACAUUGCUAUUUCCUUAACAUCUUUUGUCGUUGUUAUGAUUUCAGUUUCCACUUUGAAGGUCUUCGAAAAAGAUGAAUGUGAUUGCUAUUGCCAGGAAGAAUGUGAUUCCUUUUUUGUUGCAUCGGCUGCACGUUUCCCUAGUUGUGUUUAGUACGUCCGUCGCUAUUUACUCCGUUUCAAGAUAUUUGGUGAUCGGAGACUCGAUUUUCACAAUAGUUGUCGAUCAUUGUAGUGUUUUCAUUUGGGCCUUAUUAAGUGCUUCGAAGAUAUCAAGUGGAUCUAGCAUGCAUGGAUAUUUUUCAUUAAAUUUACAUAAGAUUUGUAAGUUGCUAAAGAAAUGUCGUCAAGUAAAAAGCGAGGACAUUUUAGUACACAAUAUAUCUACGGUUUUUGGUAAAUAUGCUCAUGCCCUUUUUCUUCCUACCUUUUUUUUUAUUAUUUUUACUGUGUUUCUUUACAUAUUCUCGGGGUCAAUCUCGUAUCAAUCCUCUUGGCACUAAAUAACGGGUUGUGUUGUUUCCGUAAAAAAAAAUGGUAACCUGCAUAUGAACCUUAAUUAGGAUGCUGGAUUGCGUGUGUGAUACAACUUUGUGAGCAAAAAAGGUUGAUUGGUCAAAAUUAAUUCCUAGAAAUAGGGCCGAAAGAGCCGGACUCGACAAAACGUGGCACAUGAGGCUGUCACCUUCUAUAUCGAUGGUCCAUCACGUGUAUGUGUUGUCUGCAUACCCGAAUCGCCCUUUCUGUAACCACUUUUGUCACCGUUUAAAAUCUUUGGACUUUGUUGUCAUUUUCUUUUGAGUUAUGUUUCCACUUUUGGAGGUCUUCGAGAAAAAUGAAUUCUAUUUUUUGGCAUCUAAGGCAUGAAUACUCUCCUCAAUGAAAAUGCCAAAUUCAAAAUCUCACCAAGCCCGGGCACGUUAAGCCCCGUGGGCCCACCGAAGCCCGCCACAACACAUGGGCCAGAUCAGUGAAAAAAUGGAAAAAAAAGUUGGGUGGGCCAGAUUAGAGAAAAAAAUGGAAAAAAAAGGUUGAGAUGGAACAAACAAGAAGGGAUGGGCUAAAAGAAAAAAAAUGGUGGGUUGGGCCAGAAUUAAGAAGGUUAAUGAACUAAUGUUUUAAUCCCGAGAAAAAAAUAUAAACGGUCUGAGGACGAAGCGCAGGCGGGCCGGCCCGGCCCGAUUAGUUCGGGCCUGGCACACUCGGGCCUAGCUCGCUGGGCUUUCGAUCUUUUGAAAAAAGCACAGCCCGAUGGCAUCUAUACCCCAACCCCGUCGCCCUCGAGCGAGCGCCGCCACCCUUCCUCCCCAUCCCGCUGCCGAGAGCCCCAACCCCCUCGCUCCGUCGCGAGUAUUCCUCCUCGCGCGAGCGCCUCCACCGCCGGUAUCUAUCUCCCCUUCGAUUCUCUCGCUCCCGACCGUUUCUCCUCCCAUCACCCCACGAACUGAUCCCGCCCUUUGGCUCCCCAUUUCAGCUCCUUCAUCUUCCCCAAUUCGUAACCGAGGCAAAAAUCAAGGUAGGGCGGCCGCCCUACCUUGUCCUACCGGGUCCUCCGCCCUUGGUGGUGGCAGCAGUAGCCCAGCCGCCGGUCGCCACCAUGUGCGGUAUCCUCGCUGUCCUCGGCGUCGCUGACGUCUCCCUCGCCAAGCGUUCCCGCAUCAUCGAGCUCUCCCGCCGGUAAUACGCCCGGCCGUCUCAUCCCCUACUGUUUCCGUUUGUCCCUGAAUUGCUAGAAAUUUGGUGGUGCAUUUGUGUGGUUGGGAAUCGUCGUCCUGCCGACAUGUACAUGUGGGACAACUCUGAUGAUGUCGAGCUCGCUUUAUGUUAACUACUCUUAGUUAUUUUACCUACAGUGUGAAGCUAUUCUUGAGGAUUUUGGAAAUUGAGUAUAAUGUACAGUAUGUCGGCGUAGAUUUGGCGAAGUACAGAACAUUGAAGUGUUCAUUUGGAAAGUAUGGACAGUUUUAUUGAAGUGUUCAUUUGGAAAGUAUCGGCAGUUUUUUUAAUCUGAGGAGAUGUUCCUCUUGCAUGCUGAUAAAAUUUCAAACUAUUUACUUCAAAUUGCUUAAAAUGUAGUUUCUGUAGUGAUGCGUCCAUUUUAUUGGAUCUUGCGUUUGUGGUGACAAGCAUGGAUUUUUGUAUUGGUAUGGUGUGCUGUAAUUUGACUCAAUCUGUCAAGGCAUGGGAAGUUAAUGCCUGUGAAUGUGCAUGUUGUCCUUGGCGUGUGACAAUACGCCAGAACGAUGUUUGGGAUGUUAAGAAUUAUGGUAAAAGGCAGUUUACACACAAGCUGUGGAAAAUUUCACUUCUGUGUGUAAAAAAAAAUCUUUUACGGUUAUGCUCGGAGAGUAUGAUUUCAAAUGUUGGCAAGGCAUAAUUUGCUACGUCAUCCUGUUCGCCUUUUCCAUCUUUAGAUUAGAGCGAUUUAAAUAAAGUAGUGUUACAUUAAAUUUGGAAUUAGAUCCAGAUGCAGAUGUUCUGUACUGUAGUGACUAAAAUUUAUGUGCGCCAUUUGCUAGUUAAUUUUUUUGGGCAAGAUAUGGCAGUACGGCACAUUAUAUGAAUUGCUUAUGUACCACUGAAUUGAAUUUUGCCAAAAAAAAUUGUAGGUUACGGCACAGAGGCCCUGAUUGGAGUGGCAUACACACAUAUCAGGAUUGCUACCUUGCACACCAGCGGUUGGCUAUUGUUGAUCCCACAUCUGGAGACCAGCCAUUGUACAAUGAGGACAAAUCAGUUGUUGUCACUGUAUGUAUCUGGAUUUAUAAUGAAAUUUCACUGUUUUCAUACAUACUCCCUCCAUUUCACAAAGGUUGGCGUAUUUUAUUUCGUUAAGACAAGGCUUUGACCAUUAAAACUCUAUUGAUAUGUUUUUCUCAUACAUGAAAUUAAUAUCAACGGAUUCGUCUUUAAAAGUUCUUGCUAAUGAUCAUGGUAUCAUAUAACUUACAUAUUAGUAUAGUAAUUAUUGGUCAACGGCUUGUCUUAACGAAACCAAAUACGCCAACCUUUGUGAAAAGGAGGGAGUAUUGUUGUGCUCAUAGUGGCUCAUUUUUCAACCUAUAACAUAUGAUAUGUCUUACUGUUCUUCUUUUGGCAAUUCUUAUGUCUCUGUAUGAUUUUGCCAUGGGAUUUAUAUGUGUUGUCAUUGGGCUCUGCUCAUCGCAUCUUUUGGCACGACUUUAAUCAAUGGUUUGUUCUUUUUGAUAGUUUUUGUUACCUUUUGGUUGACAUUUCAGGUGAACGGAGAGAUCUAUAACCAUGAAGAACUGAAAGCUAAUCUGAAAUCUCACCAGUUCCAAACUGGUAGUGAUUGUGAAGUUAUUGCUCACUUAGUAAGUCAUCUACUAUAUGUCCAUUUUGCAAAUUCUGUUGGUGUCAUCUCGUGUAGCUUUUGCCAACACUUUUUGAUAUCUUCAUCUAAACAUCACCUUCCACUACACACAUUUGUUAACAUCUGCAUGUAUUUUUUUUCACAGUAUGAGGAAUAUGGGGAAGAAUUUGUUGACAUGUUGGAUGGCAUGUUCUCUUUUGUGCUUCUCGACACGCGUGAUAAAAGCUUUAUCGCUGCUCGUGAUGCAAUUGGCAUCUGUCCUUUAUACAUGGGCUGGGGUCUUGAUGGUAUGUAAAGAACCGGUUCUUUUAGCUAUUUGUCCUUUUGAACAAAACAAGGAAGGUUAGGUCAUAAUUUUUUUUUCCUGAUCUGGACCCUUGGCAGGGUUUGCUUGUUUAUACCACUGUUUUAGUGGUUGUUCCAUGUAUCAAGUUGUUCAAUUUGGUUACCUACGGGUGGAGAAAAACUGGUUGUGUCUAUGUUCAUUUAAGUUCAGAUUAAGAUCAAACAAAUGCCUAUUUGAUUACAGUAGAAUGGAAUAAGACCAACUAAUUUGCAGAAAAGAGCAAAAAAUCCUAUAUCUAUCAUAGCCAUAAAUCCCACAAAACAAUUUGUAGUGGUAUUCGUAAAAAUAAUAUAAAAUAUUGGAUUUGUAUCUCAUCAUCUGGACUUUGAUAACUCGAAUGUAGAAGUGUUAUCUAGGUUGCGAUAUCUUGCAGUUUGAAUGUGUGACAGGGAAUAUGUAGAUUGCCAUCCGGGAUAUACACAAGAAUUGCCAAGUUAACAGCUAAUUCAGUAUAUGGAUAGUUAUGCAAAGAUGCUGAGUUCUUCGUAUUGUCAAAAAACACGGUUGACUGUAUGUGCAAAUACAGCAAACGCAAAGUUUAAAUUGCAUGCAAAGUCAACUGGCUUAAUGCCGGCUCCCCCUGUUGCCUAUCUCUUCUUUUGUUUAAUACUGACCAGUCCACCAGGCUGAUCUUGCUGAAUCUAAUAUUUGGAAACCUGUCUCUAGGCAAUGCUGUUGCCCAACAACAAAAGAAGUGCUCAUUUUGAUAUACACAAGUAAAAAAAUUCCUUGGAAUCUGGAACAACUGCACAGUGUAGUGUCAGCACCUAUCACAGUUGUCACAAUCUUAUCGAUUUAAUUGGUUUCUACUAAGGAUUAAUUUGUAUAUUUAUUGGUUUUCAGGGUCAGUUUGGUUUUCUUCAGAGAUGAAGGCAUUGAGCGAUGAUUGCGAACGCUUCAUAUCCUUCCCCCCUGGCCACUUGUACUCGAGCAAAACAGGUUUACUUUUCUUUUUACAUUUGUGACAAAUUGGCAAUUUCAUUCUGCAUGAUACCAGAAAUGUAAAUUUUUAAACCCUGAAGGCAAUAAUGGUUUGAGCUAGUACUAUUUAUGCUGCAAGUAUCCUUUUGUUUUGCCUGCUAAUCUGUUUUCUAACAUCCGUUCUAGGUGACCUAAGGAGGUGGUACAACCCACCAUGGUUCUCAGAAAGCAUUCCCUCAACUCCUUACAAUCCUCUUCUCAUCCGAGAGAGUUUUGAGAAGGUUGUGCCUUUCCAUUUCCUCUCUGUUACAUUUUCGUACCAUGGAUAAAGUAUAUUUGAUUUGUUGAUGUAGGUUUAUCAAUAAGCCCACUCCCCUCUCCCCUGUCUCAGUUGCCCCCUCAAACCAUUUUUGGGCUAUCAUAUCUAGAGCUCCUGUCUGAUUUUUGGAGGACGAUAUCGUUUUGUAAAGUAAAAAACAUAAUUGCAGCCUGUGGUGUGAAGUAUAUGCGUGUAUAUUUUGGUUUACAAAUAUGAAAAGUUUGUGACCUGUGGAAAAGCAAGCAACAUAUGCAUGUUUUUGGCACAGGUGGCAGAUUGUCAUAUUUUUUUAACCAAAAGUUGUAUGUGUAUACUCCACCCCAGAAACUACAUGUACUCCCUCCGUCCAACCAAAGAUGUCUCAAGUUUGUCAAAAUUUGAAUGUAUCUAGACAUGAUUCAGUGUAUAGAUGCAUUCAAAUUUAAUCAAAGUUGAGACAUCCUUUGUUGGACGGAGGGAGUAUGAUUUAUUGAUUUUAGAAAUAUUAUGUAUGGUUUAUCCUUCCAUAGACUGGAUAGUGGGUUAAAAACUUAAAAUGGUCCAGAUAUGAUUUGAUGCUGAUAUGAUGUAUUGAUGCCUCUGGUUAGGCAAUGUUUGUUCGAAAUAUCCCGCUUGGUAUUUCAUGAGUAAUAGGUUAUUGCAGCACCCUGCAACCACAGUGAUGUUUCAGUGUGUCCAUUUCUAUAUUAAGAUCUUACAUACAUGACGUGUCGUUCUAAACCAUGCUGAUUGUAUGUGUAACUAAAUGGGAGUGUAAAUACAAUUUCUUAACUUCAGUGUUUUACCUAUACCAUCUACUAUAUUUUCUUAUAUAACUUACAAAUGCUGCAGGCUGUUAUUAAGAGGCUGAUGACUGAUGUGCCAUUUGGUGUUCUCUUGUCUGGUGGACUUGAUUCUUCAUUGGUGGCUUCUGUUGUUUCACGGCACUUGGCAGAAACAAAAGUUGCCAGGCAGUGGGGAAACCAACUCCAUACCUUUUGCAUUGGUUUGAAGGUACAUUUCUUAAUAUUGUGUGCUGGUGUAUCAUGUCAGGUCUUUUUUUAAAUCUAGUUGUUCUCUUGCUGUUAUGAGUAUUCUUAGCAGAAAAGAGGAAACUUUCUAUGGAGUAUCAACAGAUGACAGACAGUAUCAUUCUGCUUUGCAUUUUUGUAGGGUUCUCCUGAUCUUAAAGCUGCUAAGGAAGUUGCUGACUACCUUGGCACAGUGCACCACGAAUUACACUUCACAGUGCAGGUUCAUUAUCGGGUUUUUUUCCUUUGCAUGUAAGAAGAGACAUUUUGAAGUUCUUAUUCGUUGCUAUCAAUAAAAUACCAGGAGGGCAUUGAUGCACUGGAAGAAGUUAUUUACCAUAUUGAGACAUAUGAUGUAACGACAAUAAGAGCAAGUACCCCAAUGUUCUUAAUGUCUCGUAAAAUCAAAUCGUUGGGUGUGAAGAUGGUUCUUUCAGGAGAAGGUUCAGAUGAAAUAUUUGGUGGUUACCUUUACUUUCAUAAGGCACCAAACAAGAAGGAAUUCCACGAGGAAACAUGCCGGAAGGUAAUUAAAGAUCAGUGUUAGUACCGUUAAAUUGCGAUUGCUCUUUUUGAUUUAUAUACUACCUUUGUUCCAUAAUUCUUGUCUCAAAUUUGCCAAAAAAAUGGAUGUAUCUAUUCCUAAAAAGCAUCUAGAUACAUGUAAUAUUUCGACAAGAAUUAUGGAACGGAGGGAGUAUAUGCUAAGUUGUUCAGAUGGUGCAUGUGCACAGCAUGGCUAGCUGAUGAACUUAUGGGAGUUGUUUCGCCUGACCUUUAGAUAAAAGCUCUCCAUUUAUAUGAUUGUCUGAGAGCGAACAAAUCAACUUCUGCCUGGGGUCUUGAGGCUCGUGUUCCUUUCCUUGACAAAAACUUCAUCAAUGUAGCAAUGGAUAUUGAUCCCGAAUAUAAGAUGGUAUGUAAUUUGUUAUAACAUUGUAGUGCAUGUAAUUUCAAUCUAUCUAUGUUUCGUUUAUUCUUACCUGCAUUAUGACUUAUAAUUAUCAUUUUGAAAAUAAUAAUAGAUAAGACGUGACCUUGGCCGGAUUGAGAAAUGGGUUCUACGCAAUGCAUUUGAUGAUGAUGAGAAGCCCUAUUUACCUAAGGUUGGAGAAGUUAACUUUUGUUGUGUUCUAUUUACUCUGUUAUUUGCACAGACUUGACGAUUUAUUUUCUGCGAGCAGCAUAUUCUUUACAGGCAAAAGGAACAAUUCAGCGAUGGUGUUGGGUACAGUUGGAUUGAUGGAUUGAAGGACCAUGCUAGUGAACAUGUACACCAUCUUUUCUUUGUCAAACUAUUCAUAACUUCACAGUAUAUUAAUUCAACUUGCAAUGUUUUUACCACUUUUAUCCCCUCUUCAGAACUCAGUUUUUCUGUUCAUUGUUCAGGUGUCGGAUUCCAUGAUGAUGAAUGCUAGCUUUGUUUACCCUGAAAACACACCCACAACAAAAGAAGCUUACUAUUAUAGGACAGUAUUCGAGAAAUUCUAUCCCAAGGUCUGGAAGCUAUUUACUCUUAUCAUGAUAUUCUCAGAUGUUUCAUUUGCAUAAAAAAAAGUCAGCAUGCUCUCGAUUUGACGAACCUGUCAAUUAUGCAGAAUGCUGCUAGGUCAACUGUACCAGGAGGCCCGAGUGUGGCAUGCAGCACUGCUAAAGCUGUUGAAUGGGAUGCCGCCUGGUCCAAACACCUUGACCCCUCCGGUCGUGCUGCUCUCGGUGUGCAUGAUGCAGCUUAUGAAGAUUCUCUAGAAAAGGCUCCUGCAUCCGCAGAUCCCGUCUCAGAAAGCGUUUUCCGUCCAGCCCAUGGGGAAAGCCUAGCCAAAACCGUUGCUCCAGCCGCUGCUGUUUGAGCUCCAUGGUCCCAUAAAAUGCUUUAAAAAAAUGUUGUUUAGUUUUGUUCCAGCUUAAUCAGCAGCUUGUAGUCAGUUCCUUAAGUCAUGCAGUGUAGAAAUUGACUUGUUUUCCUUGAUGCUUGCCAUAAUGUUUCGGUUCCAUAUGCACUAAGUUCGUUUAUGGGCUGAGCAUCGCAUUGUAAAUACAUCUCAGUGAUUGAUAUUCUUCAGUUGGUUAAUUUCAAAGUUUCAUUAGACUCCUACAUUGCUUUCUUGUUUGGGUGAUAAUAUCGACAUCCGGAAUGAACAAUAUCGAGGACAUAUCCACCACUAUAAAGCCACGGUUUGUCCAUUCUAUUUUUUGUGUGCUUUCUGAGUUCAUUGUUCAGGCCGUCGCCGGGUUACCUGUGCCAACGCCGAACAAACAGGGGUGCCGAGCAUCCCUGCUGUUGGGGUUUCAGGCACAGACAUUUGGCGCGUCAUGCAGGGGAAGGAAUAGAGGGGACUAUCCCAGUUUUCUCUCAUAAAAUAUUUCAUUUUUUAUCAAUUAAAAACACUUCUCACACUAGUAUUUUAAAAAACACUAGUGUUUUGAAAUGAAAGGUUUUUUUUUAGUAUUGGGUGAAUACCCAAUCCCCUCAUAUAUCAAUACACUAAUCACUAAAAAAAUACACUAGUGACAAACGAGACCUUUGUUAUUUUUUAUGUUUUUGGUGGUAGCUGAUGCAACACAUUGUGUUACCUUAUAUUGAUAAGGAUGGUUCGAUCUUCUCGGAGAGUAACGAGGAUAACUUGUAUGAUUCUACAAAUCUUCCGGCUGUUCACCCGUCUCCGCACAAUGAACUUGCAACCCAAUGGAAAUUCGCAACACCACACACUUGCGCAGUAGUCUGCCGAUCACAAGCGGUUUCACAAUCUUCCAAUUCCUAGCGGAACGACAGAUUACGCUCGAACUUUCAGUAUAUAAAACACCCCAUCGAAACGAAUAUGGUGUAGGUAGAAUUCCUGAUCGAAACAAAGAGGAAUUAUAUACUUUCAGAUGAAUGCUUGGAGCAAUUCAACAAAAGGUUCUGAAUAAGCUAAAAUGUGGCGAGGAGUAGCCAAAACUCAAUACAGACUCCGACUCAAACUCAAACUAGAAUUCGACUCAGACUCAAACUAGAACUAGAAUUCGACUCAGACUCAAACAUGGACUCGCAGAUUUGGGCGCUCCUUAGAUGUGUCGGACUCGUCGUAAGCUGUCCUGGUGCGCCUCAUAUUCGUACACGACUUGUGGUGCAUCCUGAGCAUAUCAUCCUUGUCAUUGGCUGCCCCUUGCACACAAGACAUUCUUCUAACUUGUAUCCUUCAUCUUCACUUUUGGUGCGUCUGCCUCCCUCUCCUUCCUCGCGCAUAUCUUGAUGUCGGAUAUCAGCGCUUAAAGAUCCGUACCCUCAUUAUCCUCCCCCUUCUUCAAAAAGCGUUGUCCUCAACGCUGAAAGGUCUUUUCCAGCGGGUGGAGUCAGAUCAGCAACAUCGCCACACUCCAUCUUCAAACCUCGCCGGUCUGCCACACCACGUCCUCCCUCUCGGCUAGCUUGGCCUGCCCUCGACGCCACUUCCGUUGUCGGCGCCACCAAUCUGAUUGAGACAUAAAGCAUCCUCCGAAUGUAAUGAAGCACACCUCGCAUAUCACCCCGAACAAACAGGACAAAUUCCUGUACGCUAAGAGUCCAAAUAAGCUGAGUACACCCGUAUGUGCAAUCUGAUUGGAAACCAAUGUCUCUUUUUCCUUUUAUUCCUUUCCUUGUUGUCCUUGUGAAGCCAGAAACUUCCCAGAAUUCAGAACUUGCAGGGGAAACUUGCCGGAACUUGCCGGGGAAACUUGCUGGAACUUGUCGGGACUUGUCGGGACGUGCCGUGAAGUUGGAUCUGAAUUUCUUGGCUACACGUGCACCCACAAAUCUCCUCUUGCCUUUUUUUUCGUAGCGCUCUGAUACCAAGAUGAUAAGGGGUGGCCCGAUCUUCUCAGAGAGCAACGAGGAUAACUUGUAUGAUUCUACAAAUCUUCCGGCUGUUCACCCGUCGCCGCACGACGAACUUGAAACCCAAUGGAAAUUCGCAACACCACACACUUGCGCAGUAGUCCGCCGACCACAAGCGGUUUCGCAAUCUUUCAAUUCCCAGCGGAACGACAGAUUACGCUCAAACUUUCAGUAUAUAAAACACCCUAUCGAAGCGAAUAUGGUGUAGGUAAAAUUCCUGAUCGAAACAAAGAGGAAUUAUAUACUUUCAGAUGAAUGAUUCAACAAAAGGUUCUAAAUAAGCUAAAACGUGGUCUCCCCUAAACCUAGGCGUACUCCUUGUUUAUAUAGACGAGAAGUAGCCAAAACUCAAUACAGACUCCAACUCAAACUCAAACUAGAAUUCGACUCAGACUCAAAUAUGGACUCACAAAUCCGGGCGCUCCUUAGACGUGUCGGACACGACUUGUGGUGCAUCCUGAGCAUAUCAUUCUCGUCGUUGGCUGCCCCUUGCACACAAGUCAUUUUUCUAACUUGUAUCCUUCAUCUUCACUUUUGAUGCGUCUGACUUCCUCUCCUCCCUCGCGCAUAUCUUGAUGUUGUUACAGUUGAGGAUCCGUGCCCUCAUCAUAUAUGCUCUUGAUCAAGUUUGAGAAGUUUGCUUCGUCUGUGAUCCAUUAUGGAGUUGUAAACUGAAACUACCUAUUAUCGUUGAAGUGACGUGACAAACAGUCCAUGCGACAAUUCAAGAUGACGGGAUCGGAUUGGGCUCGCUCUCCGUAAGCACUGGAUAUGCGAGCAUUUUUCUUGUGCCACUCUGUUAUGUGAGGCAUCUUUUUUUUUAAAACAACUCUCUCUAUGUGAGGCAUUUUGUGCUUUUUUUUUUUAGAAUAGACAGCUUGUGCUAUGUAUGGUGUUUCAGGUUGUGCGAGCCCAAUUUGCCAUAGUUGGGCCGUGGGGUUUGAUCAGGGUGCUGCUGGCACGGGCCGGGCUAAGACAUCGUUGGCGAGAGUACUUAUUUCGGAUCCAUGUACUUAUUUCAGAUCCUCUAAAAAAAUGUACUUCUUUCAGAUCCACAUGCAUGUCUUACCAAAUCUCACAAAAACCUGCAAUCGCUUACCGAAUUAUCCAUGCAUUUUAAUUCCUUGUUGGCCACCGAAUUUGAGGUGAUGUGACCAUUAGGUACAAAUAUUACAUCUUGCGGUUUUCAUCAGCUUCCAUGACCAUGCAGCGCGAGGAGGAAUCACGCAGCCGAUGAGGCCACUGCAAUGUCGCCGGCAGCACCUGGAUUCCGGAUAUCAGCUACGCGCUCUAGCGAGAUACAGUACUACUUGAUUGAGUACAUCACCUUUUGGAUUGCAGUACUGGAAUCACACUACUCGACACACGCACCGCUAAGGCCAGUGAUGAGAUUGCAUGGAAUGGAAAUGGAGCACCACUUCGUGUUAAUCCUAGUGUGUAGUCAGGCGAGAGAACCAAUUGCUCCCCGCUGAAAUACAAUGAUCCUUGUAUAGUCUUCUAGUAUGUUCGUCUUGUAGAUAUUUGCAUACAGGUAGCAUUGCAAGCAGAGCCACUUUCUGCAUGCGAACUCAUCACGCUGAUUUACCAUGGUAACGGUAGCUUUUGUGCAUAAGCAUGGCAGGAGAGAAAUCGAUAAAGAUCAGGGACGGUACUCCGGAACACAAGGCCUUUCCUAUAACAGACGCAAAAGCUCCGCACUUUCGAGCACCCACCAGGCAAGAACCGGAAAAAGAACCGCACCGAACAAACCAAACCACCAUCCAUCACCGAUCGAGGUGCCGUGCGUAUCCGCCGAAAUCUGAAACGUCAUGGGAUGGGAUGGCAGCCGCGCGCGUCCACAAGGCGCUCUCGCGUCACCGAGGAGGGCGGACACAUCCAGAAUCCACCUCACUCACGAUCGAUUUCCAUCGUGCGUCCCCACAGGCGCAGCACACGACGCCGUUGUCACAGUCUCCCUCCGGCAGUUGGCCGUAGCUCAGCUCGCCCAUCUGAUAAGUAAUUCAAUAUACUGAUAUUUUGGGCAGCGUCCACACGAUGACACGGAUUUCACCUACUACUGCUACACGGAGUACGGUCAACGAAAGUCACAAGGAGACAAAAGAAGCCGGGGGGAUCAGGAUUCAGGAGCACGACUACUACCACUCCGUGACAUGUGUAAUCCAUGGUCUUCUUCCUUCCGGAGUGAUCUCAGCUAGACACGACGCGUACGGCUAACGACCGGGAUGGAUUAAAAGCAGAUUAAUUAACCCAACGCGCGCACAGGCACACGCUGUCGCUGACUCGUGGAACGGGAAUCUGGAACGCAGACGCCCUGGCAACGACCCGAAAAGAGUAGUAGUAGCAGCGGCCGCGAAGACGAUCCGGCGAAUCUGCGAGGGUCAUGCGAUCCACGAGCGUUGCCGGACCCCGCCACGGCGCCUCCCGAAUCUCGCGUACGUAUAUCAUCAGAAAACAGACAAACCACCCGAACGGGGCAGGUCGAUCGAUCCAUCGGCAAAGCCGGGCGGGCCACUCCUUGCACGGCACCAAACCGCGUGGAGAGACGAGACGAGAGGACUUUGCUGGCCGGCCGGCUACAGUUGGGACGCUGCAGCACUAGCAGUACGCCUCUUUGCAUACGGAGACGUCUCACUGACUCCGAGGGCUGGGCAAGGAUGAGAAAUGAAAAGGUUAAAGGCGCGCGGCGCCGGCCGGGCACGUCGUAAGCUCCACGUCUCUUCCGCGGUGGGCACGGACACGGGCGGACGGGCCCCAGGCGGCGGCGGUAAUGCGGACAGCGACCACGGGGACGCGGGCACGUACGUGCGCUUUGCGACGCGGGAUGCAUGCCGCCGGGUCGCUGGGGCUCGCUGUCUCUUUCCGUCCCGGAGGAGGGGGGUCCCCCCUUCCACCUUUCUUUUCUUCGCCCACGGCUCACGCGAAUUAUUCCCCGCCGCGACCAGAUCCGCCGUAGCGUAAUCCGCCAACUAUGCCACCCAGCCGCCGGCCGGGACCCACGCUACAGCAGGAGGUGUGAUCUCCGGCUAGAAGUUGCUGUGUAGUAGUGUGUUUUAUAAAGCAAGUGUGUCGGCCGAGGUUGUUUUAGCAUCUAAUCUAAUCUGGGGGAAAAAGAGUGCGGCGACCGACCUGCGUGGUGCACGAGGGAGGGGAGCAGGCUUCUCCCGGGACAACUGUCUCUCGGUUAGCAGCCGGUGGAGACGCGAGUAAAAUUCAAGGCGGCGAGUCGACUCUACCUCUACGCGAGUGUUUAGAGAAAACCAAUUGGCCACGUCGUUCACCAUCCAUGCGAAUUUUCUUUUCCUUCGAUGCAAAAGCAGAGUAUGUACAAACAGGAUGACAUGGUUUUUAGCCGAACACAUCGAAAGGACACAAGAAAUUUUGACUGCUCCCCCAAAAGCAAGCUCUGUUAAUACUAUUCUCUCCGUUUCACAAAGGUUGGCGUAUUUUGUUUCGUUAAGACAAACUUUUGAGCAAAAAUUAAUUUAUUAAUAUGUAAAUUAUAUGAUACGAAAUCAUGAUCAUUAGCAAGUACUUUUAAAGAUGAAUCCAUUGAUAUAAAUUUCAUGUAUGAAAAAACACAUAUGAAUAGAGUUUUCAUCGGUCAAAACCUUGUCUUAACGAAACAAAAUACGUCAACCUUUGUGAAAUGGAGGGAGUAGUAUACGGAUAUUUGAUUAGAAAGUAGGGACUGGUUUUGGCAAGAAGGGAGUGGAGGAUUAUUAUGCAAAAAAAAAUCUUCUUCAUUUAACCAAGCUGAAAUUCCUUGGCCCAAUUAAUAAAUAACACUGCUAGAAUGUGACUUCAUAUCGUAUUGCACUUCUUAGUAUGGAUGAAAUAUUUUGUACUUUUGAAGCAAUCACAGGGGACGGUGAGGAUCCCCACAAUCCGACAGUGACUUUACCCAGAGGAUGUGAUAAUCGAUGAUGUAUACAAGAAUGGCGUGAGCCUGAGCCGUGAUCGAUUCUGCCCAAAUCUUCCACAAGAUGGCAAGAAUAUUGGAGGGCCAUAUCGUACGUCGGGGGAGCAGGAGGUAAGAAUACCAGAUUCUUUCAUACGGAGUAUUUGAAUUAUAUAUUUUUCACGUAGGGAGAAAUACAUGUGCGGACCAUGGUUACAACGGCCUAUUUGUCCGUGUCUGUUAGCUUCACCCAGACGUGACUUCACUAUCGGGUACCUUUCGUUUUUCUUCCCCACACGUGCAUCACGUGCAAUUAAUUAUUCUGUGGCUCUUAACUAAUCUAUCGACUAGUGACCUAGUGGCGUCUAUCGAAUAGAUUCAAUCACGGCCAUACGUACAUGUUAGCACCACCGAACAUCCUCCCUAGGACGCAUGGUUCAAGAUCCAUACGCAUGGUAACAGUAUAUGUGAGCAUGGACAGUUGGAGACAGCGUCGAUCCAGUCAUGAGUAUCAUGUUGGCUUUCUACGCAUGGUAACAGUAUAUGUGGCUCCCAUUAGAUGCGGCGGUAUUGAUCUCCAGGUUGUCCUUAAUAGUUUCCCCGCUGUGCGUACGACCUUUCUGAUGAGAUGUCUUGGUCCCGACUGUGCGUACGAGCUUUCCGAUGAGAUAUCUUAGCCUGCCGCUCUCCAUCCGUCGCCUCAGGAGGAUUGACUUCAUGCAUCUUGAGGAUAAGAUUGCAAGCAAACUUGUCACUUGGCAAGGAAAAAAUAUCACAGCGGCGGGCCGUGCCACUUUGGUCAAGUCGGUCAUCACCUCUCAAGCAAUUUAUCAUCUCACCCCGCUGAUUCUUCUCCAAGGUGUCAACACAAGCAUAGACAAAAUUAGAAGAGCUUUCCUAUGGUUAGGGACAGAUAGUGUCUGGAAGCAAAUGUAAAGUAAAUUGGAAGAUGGUGUGCAGGCCAAAGUUUUUUGGGGGCCUUGUGAUCCUUGACCUGGAAAAAUCCUCAAGGGCCUUACGCCUUCGUUGGCCUUGGCUUAAAUGGAAAGAUUCAGAUCGGGUUUGGGUUGGAACGGGAAACCCGUGCGAUGUUGCGGACAUGGACCUGUUCUAUGCCGCGACAAAAAUAACUAUCGAUGAUGGUCGCACGGCAAAAUUUUGGCAUGCUCCUUGGUUGGAUGGACAGAAGCCUAAAGAUAUCGCUCCUUUAAUUUUUGGGAUCUCCAAGAAGAGGGGCGUGACCAUUAGCAAUGUUCUUCAUGACCAGAACUGGAUCUCACAGAUUGACAUUUUCCCAAGGUCUCACUGUGCAACAUAUUCAUGAAUUUCUCUCCCUUGGAACUACACUCGCCUAGAUUCAACUUACCGAGGGAUCCCCGGAUGGCAUCGCUUGGAAAUUCUCAAAUUCUGGCGCCUACACUGCGGCAUCGGCUUACCGGAUCCAGUUCGAGGGUCUCACGCGGAGUCAAAUGAAGCCGGUGGUUUGGAAUAAUUGGGCGCCUCCGAAGUGCAAAUUUUUCGCGUGGCUCAUUAUCAACAAUAGGGUGUGGACAGCGGAUCGCCUUGAAAAAAGAGGUUGGCCCAACUGUGGGCUAUGCUCGUUGUGCAAAAGAGAGCCUGAGUCCGCCGCUCACAUGCUAUUUCGUUGUAAAUUCUCGACCCGUAUUUGGAACAUGAUCAAAGAUUGGAUGAGGUCAACGGAGAUCGAGCCAGCGACCUGGGUGCAUAUGCGGUCGGUUGAGCAGUGGUGGACAAGCAUCAUCCUUGCCCAUGGCCAUCGGAAGAAGGCCAUCGCAUCGAUGGCCAUGCUCGUCGCUGGGAGCUUUGGAAAGAAAGAAACGCGAGAGUUUUCCGAAAUGUGGCAACCAUGCUAACGAUUAUCAUGGACAAAAUCAAAAUUGAGACAACAAAUUGGACGAGUGCGGGCGCUCAUCAUUUGGGUAGCAUAAUGUCCGGAGAUUAGACUCUUCUGAUAGUGUUGCCGCUUUGCGGCUUUGUAAAUACAAAUUUCUGUAAAGCUUUCCCUUAAUUAAUAAGAUGAGGCAAAGCUUUUGUCCCGUUUUUAAAAAAAAUGUUGGCUUUAUCCACGUCAAGAGGCAGCCAAUUUAAAAUUACACUCCUCUCUGAGUGUCAUGCACUUGAUUUGGUAGAACUAUACAUAUAUCGCUGUGCGGCCAAAGAAAUAAAAUUCCAAGGUUGACACUUGACAAGACACGGCAUGGCAUCAAUAUAUCCCACGGCACGAUAAGGAAAAGUUUUAUCGAUGUGACACGGAAACGCGUGUGCCCUUGCUCUUACGUUUCAUAAAACAAGAUUAUGUAUUGCCGGCAGCCUGAAAAGAGCUUUCGAUCCUCGUACUACUAAGCUCGCAAGAUGUGAACGCCUCCCGAUCUUGCAUCAACGAUCAUUCGGUCCGACGUGGUUUAGCAGAAGUACACCGACAGUUUUCGUCCUUUGCCAGAAAAAUUCAAACACGCACUGAUACCCCUCACGGAACCCAGCACAGGGCCGAUGCUUCCACCGUGCCAGUGUUUGUACCCCGAGCACUAGUUUUCCGGAUCGGGAGCCACAAAGACAACCGGCCAGACUGCAUCUUUCUCAAGCGAGAGCGCGGAGUCUCGUGGUUUAGGCGCCUGGGCACCCGACAACGUUUACUGCCCGUCCUGAGACCCACCUGGAAUUGCGUCCUUCCGUUCCGUACCGCAUACGCACCUACGUACGGGCGGCGGUGGUAGAGUACGCGGCGUAUACGGGGUACUAGUAGUACGUGGUACGUGCACCGCCCGCCCAUCGCCCGUGGUCCUUGGCGGAGGAAAAGGAAAGGCUGGCAACGCCGCAAGCGUGCGGUGUGGGGCGGCGUCCGGUCCAGGCGCUCGUCACGCACGCACGCAGCCCAGCUCGUAUGUUAGCGAAACCGACGCGUGCCGGUCAAUCCGCGCGGGGCGCGCUAGGAGGGGCCCGGGAGAGAGCUGUCGGUCGGUCCACGCCGCGCCUCCCACCGCUUUCAACGCGUGGGGAGCGGGGAAAACGGUUGGUGGCUGCUGCCGCGCCCUCACGCCGCUCGCCAUCUUGUGAUCCAGGCAGCAGCAGCGGCAGGAGACCGCGGGCGACGCGCUCUCUCUCUCUCUCGCACUCGCACGCAGGUGGGAGCCGGCCGAUGCCGACACUUGGCGCGCGCCUCGCUUCGAAACGACCCGAUCCGGCUACCGCCUAACGUGCUGCCGUCACCUGUCCCUCUCGCCGUUUUGUUUACUUUACUUUACUUUUACGUGGUGGCUACGGGCGGGCGGCGGCUUGGCGGAUCGCGAUCCCGUGCCCGCGCGUGCGACGUCACGCAUCCAUGCCAUGCGCGCCGACGAUGCGGUUGGAGAGCGGCAGGGAGGAGGACCUGAUAAAAGUAAUCUUUAAUCUGACGACGUGAGGCGCGGGGCAGCGGACGGACGCAGCGAGGCGUGGGAUCAGGAGAAGCAGCCGCGUGUGUGUGCACGCACAGGGUGUGAUGGCCGGCAACUCGCAGCAGCGGAGCCAGCCACGUGCAUGUACGCCCCCACGCGGGCGGCGAGUUUCGGUGUACGCCGACCGACCCGGGCCGCGGCUCGGGAUGCACGGAUCGUGAUUCCGCCGCGCGCCUCCUGUCGUCCUUGACGUGGGGCCGCCCCACCCCACCAGGGAAGAGGGCCCGUGACGUGCUGCCACAACGUGCCGCCCGACGCACCGCUGGGAGGGACCCACAUGCGGCGGCUUUGAUGCCUUUUGUUUAUGCGACGGACUCGGCUCGUGUUUUUGCACUCUGGUGCCCCGUAACAUGGUCUUGUUUUGUUUUGGUCCAAAACGCUAGGCGUCUCGUUGGGGGCUAAGAAAAGCAAAGACUUGUGUUGCGUGGGAAAAGGGAACUUGUAAAAGAACAUCAUGUUUUUAAGAAAAAUUAUACUCACUCCAUCCAACAAAACAACUCAUAUACUCCUUCCGUCUCAUAUUAAGUGAUUCAAAUUAAGUGAUGCAAAAACACUCCAUCUCAUUUUUAACAAAAUUUGCCCAAAUAUGAGUGUAUCUAUGUCUAAAAAACAUCUAUAUACAUGUAUAGAAAGUCACUUAAUAUGGGCGGAGGGAGUAUUUUUCUUUUCAUUUGUUCUACAAUAUACCUCAUUUUUCUCUCAGUUCCUGCACCCUGAUAAUACUUACUCACAUCUGAUCCAUCUACUCUUAAUCCAAUAAUAGUAGCCACCCGCUAGAAAGAGAGCUUUCUUGAUACAAAUGCACAAAUCUAUAUUAAUUGUUUUGUGGAAGGGAUGAGUGCUUAAGUGGUAAUGUCAAAAUCAGGCAUGCUUAGGGAGCACUUUAGCUCGUGCAAAAAUGUAACAGCUUUCCAGGUUAUAUUACGUACAGGCACAAAGGUCUUCUCACAUAAAGAUAUCCGAUUUGGCUGGCUCUUGAAUCCAUAAUUUAGGAUGUCACCUUAAUUAUGUCAUUGAGAUUGAAAUGCAGUUAUAAUAAAAUAGACGCCGGCAUGUGGCAUAGCUAUUUCUCUUCACUUUUGUAAAACUGUUGCCCUUAAAAUUAUAGUGAAAAAAAUCAUGCAAAGAGGUAUAAUUGUACACAAAUCUUAACUAUGACUGCUAAACAAUUAAAUGAAAAGGUGUGCACUAAAAUCAUCCAUCUAUGUUCAACAUUCAUCUAGAAACUUAGAGCCACGCUCACCUCGACAAUCAAAGUUACAUAUGAGAAAAGGAGAGAUCAUUGAAAUCAUUCCAUGGUAGUAAUGCCCGGACCAGUAUCCUUUAUGCUUAGGGCAUCUCCAAUCCUUAUGCUUCCGAGAGACCAUUAGCUGGGCCCAGGCAGAAAAAAUUAAGCGUGCAAUGCUUUAGGCAUGUUUAGGAAUUCCAUCGAACUCGCUUCUAGAUAUGGCGAUCUUCUUGUGCUUUUAGAGAGGCAAUAUCUUCACCAUCUUGGUGGUCGUCCUCACUGAGAACCAGCAGGCGUCUUCGUCAACACAGUUUUCGCCCCUCACAAUAUUACACAUGCGACGACGAAGACACGAGGUGAUGUGCACCCCAUGUGAAAUGUCAUGGUUGUGGACUUGUGGCGCAAUGGAGACACGGCUUGAAGUCGUAUCUGGCGAGAUAUCGUGGUUACGACGCUAACCUCGAGGACUUUGGGGAGGAGCGAGAGGAGAGAAUUGAGUUUUUUUUGUUUCUUUAUUUCCUGUGAACGAGACAUAAGCCAACGGGUGGCCCAAAGACAGAGGUUGACCUAAAGUGUCCAACUUGUUUUCACAAGACCUUUAGAGUUUUGUGGCCGGCCUUGUUUCUACAUUGGAGCUGUUCUUAGUAAAUGCUCGAGAAAAAACGACAUGACACUAAUUGCAACAAAGUGAAAAAAAACUAUUGUUGAACUAUAACGUCAUCCAUUUAGGUUUAUCGUUGCUCUAGAUUUGGAUCUAUCGUCGCCUCAUGUGCUUUCCAAAUACAGUCGAAGAUGCAUUCGACAAAAAAAAAGUAGAAUUGCGAAUAUUUAUACCGAACAAGAAAUUUUAUUUUAUGUUGGGCAUUCUUGUAAAUUUAGAGCUAUCGUCGGCUGACGUACUGGCCAGCACAAUUGAAGAUGCAUAAGACAAAAGAAUAGACUAUGUUUGCAAUUCUCAGAAGUUAAUCCUUUGCCCUAAAAAAAUGCCCUAGAAGAAAACACCAAAUUUACGGAAAAAAGGCAACCGGGAAGAAAGAAAAAAAAUGAAAAAUACAGUCGAACCCCACUUUUAACUAACAUUUCGUGCAUGUACACUGAUCAGUUGCUUAAUUUGCCAGAAUUUACACUGAACAGAAAGAAAAUUUCCUUUUCCAUCGCCUACACCUGAGACGCCGCCCGAGCAACGCGUGGCCAAGGACAAAUCCCACUGGCGACGGUAACCGUCCGGCAGGCUGCGGAAUUUGUGCUCAUCCUGAGGGCUCCGACGAAAAAGCGGCAACUAAAUUAUGCCGCCACGCUAAAGACGAGGGGCGGCGGCGCGGACAGUCAAACCGCUCCCUGACUGCGCCGAGUUUUAUUCCUUCUUGCCGCUCCACCACUCGCUCCCCCAUUUCCACCCUUUUUAACCAGCCGCUCCCCCCUAUAAUAAGCCCCCCCCUUCCUCCUCCCUCUUCCUCCCUCCCUCCCCCGGAUCCUGCACCCCCAUCCAUACACACACAUUGAUCCAUACUCCAUCCACAACACCACCACAAAGAAAAGAAAAGGAAGCCAUGGCGCCGAGAACAUCGGACAAGACGGCGACGCCUGCUGCUGCGGCGGCGGGGACCGGACUGGCGCUCGGCGUCGGCGGCGGCGGCGCUGCCGUCGGGCCACACUACAGAGGCGUGCGGAAGCGUCCGUGGGGCCGGUACGCGGCGGAGAUCCGCGACCCGGCCAAGAAGAGCCGCGUGUGGCUCGGCACCUACGACACGGCCGAGGAGGCCGCCCGCGCCUACGACGCCGCGGCGCGGGAGUACCGCGGCAACAAGGCCAAGACCAACUUCCCCUUCCCCUCCGCCGCCGUCACCGGAGGCGGCGGCAGCAGCAACAGCAGCACCGUCGAGUCCUUGGGCGGAGACGUUCAGGAUCAGGCGCCCAUGCAGGCCAUCCCGCUUCCGCCGCCUUCCCUCGAGCUCGACCUCUUCCACCGCGCCGCCGCCGCCGCCGCCGGCCCCGGUGGCAUGCGCGGCUUCCCUUUCACCAGCUACCCUCUGUCGCAUCCCUACUACUUCUUCGGGCAGGCGGCCGCGGCCGCCGCCGCCGCGGGCUGCCACGCGCUCAAGCUGUCGCCGCCGGUGACCGUGGUGGCCACCGUGUCCCCGAGCGACUCCGGCUCCUCGUCGGUCGUGGAUCUGGCGCCGUCGCCGCCCGCCGUGUCGGCAAAGAAGGCCGUCGUCGUUUUUGAUCUCGAUCUGAACUGCCCGCCGCCGGCCGAGUCCUGAUCGAUCCCCGGAGUUUAAUUAGCUGAUUAUAACCGCUAGUCGUUCCUUCCUUCGCCUUUUUUCCCUUAGAAGAAGAAAUUCCAUGUACCUUCAUGCCUAGCCUAGGCCGCCCCUCUUGCGUAACGGAGGCAAGGGCAAUUCUGUAAAUACGAUUUUUUUUUCGCCAGAGACUUUUGUGGCUUGAGAGGAAGACCAAAGAUGUAUUGUCACCCAAGAGGCCAAGACAGGUCCUGCCGGCGUUGUUACGGACCGAAUUAUAUCGAGUUAUUACUACUUUAACAGCCUCGAGAAACUACUUGCAAUUCAAUAAUUGAACAGUUUAUUAUAUUUUUGGAUCUCUGCUCCGCUCCAAUUACUACCAGUUCUUCGUUGAAACGGAAGUGAGAUGAAUGAAUAGGGAGAAGCGUAUGAGUUGUGCUACUACUCCAGGCGCGUUUGCACCCGUCUCAUCCGGCGUCUUGCUUCCGACCCAUGCAACAUCGUCAUUAUUGGUCGGUUUGAAGAAAGUUGAGUCAUCUCCUCAUCCUGCACGGAUCAGGACUAGGCGUUCUACGUGUCGAAUUUACUGCUACUUACUUCCAUGUCGCGUUCACGAUCACCCUAAAAAAACGGUGUUACUAGUAGGAAGAAAAAAAGUAAUUUUCCUCUUCCGAAUAUUUUAACCUGGGCAGCACAAGUGGGCGCAUUGUUCCCAGAUCUACGCGUGUAAACAAGAUAAAAAUCCUCCCUCCCAGGCGCAGCCGCCGUGCCGACGGAGAAAAUUGUAUUCUACUCCUGCUUUGCCCUGGCGCAGCACUAUAUCGAACUGUCCGGUGUCAGAGAGCAAGAGAAAAUCAAUCAAUUAAUUAAAUUAACAACGGUCCGACGUGUUGGCCAUUCCAGGCUGUACGUACUAGCAGAGACGACGUAGGCGAGGCAUGUGGAUAACGAACGAGGUAGCAGCAGGAGCGUAAGCGUCAAAUGCAAUAAACAAUUAAUAAAGCGGACGGGGGGCGCGGCGGCCAGCAGUGCGGUGCGGCGCGGCGCCCACACUGGCUGGCUGUGGGUGGUGGGGCGGAUGGAUCUUUCGUUUCUCGCAGCCCCGUCGGUGUGGCCCCGUACGGCCCGGAUCGCGACCGUGCGCGGCGGGCGUGGUGGUUGGUUGUCUUUGGCUCCUUUCUUCCUUUCUUUUCCUCCGCUCGUGACCUUGGGAGUAACGUGAGCGUGUGGGCGACGGUCGCCCACACACGGGCCACGUGUGCCGCCGCUGCCGGCCACUCCCUGCCGGCCGGACCCCGGAUCCCCGCUGCGGCUCUCCACUCUGUCACACCAUCUGUGGCCAUGCUGGUGCGCUCGCUGAGUGGCGGAUUUUGGUGGUGCGUGUACGCGGGCGGAGCAGCGGGCUUUCGCGAGGAGACCUGGCGUGGUCGCGGGGGCAGGCAGGCAGGCAGACAAGCAGGGCCCCGACACGCGGGAGCGGCGGGCAUCGUCGAGCCAGCUACUACUAGCUGCAGUGAUUCGCGCAGCGGCAGUUUCUUUCGCGAUGCCCGGGCCCGCAUGGCAGGUGGUGGGGCCCGGCUGCGCGCCGGCCUGUGUGCGCGAGCGGCGCGGCGCCUGAUCUGGCCACACGUACACGCGCAGGCGAUGACAGCCGGGGGGAAAUGGGAUGGCCGCCCGCCGGUUUCGUCGCGGCUCGCUGUUCCUCGGUGGGUAUUCUAUUGCUUUCCUCGUGCGGCGGCAUUCUUUUCUUUUUUUUCCGUUUUCUCUUUUGUUUCGUUCGUAGCGUACGUGUUGGCGAGCGGCGGGGGAGUCCGGGGAAAUUUGGUUGCGCCCACAACUGGAAACCGGCGGUAUGCUACUCGUGAAUUUUCGUCGACAGUUCCGUUCGAAAGCAACGCGCGGGUCGUCUGGCGGCAAUUCGUCCCACUGCGCGGGGUGUUCCGCCUCGUACAGUACCAAAAUUUGCUUGCGUGUAAAAGGAAAUAUCUGAGUUCUCUCUUAAAAUUUGAUUUGUGGCGUCAAUUCGUCCCACUGAAUACUACGGACCGAAUGAGGCUCAUAGGGUGUGUUUGGUUGGGCGGGUUGGGGCCAACCACUUUUUUCUGGUUGGAUCCAACCACCUGAGUGUUUGGUUGUGUGGGUGGAGUGAACCCAAAUUCGUGUUUGGUUGUCUUAGUCAGACUGAAUGGGUCGGCCCAGUUUGACAUUUGGUUGUCUAGUUUUUUUUCGUGUGGCUCUUCUUCCUCCUCUGUCGUAACUCCAUUAGCCCACCUCCACCAUCAUCGCUUUAUCUCCCCUUCGAUUCUCAGACUACCGGCGGUCUUUCCUCAAAUUGAAGCCCUGGAAUUAUGCUCUAUCAUUCUACGAAUCAAUUUUGCGUUUUAUCUCCUUAAUCUUUCUUAUUUUCGGAUCAAAAUUGUUAGGUUAGCAAGUCAAUAACUUCUGGUCUUUCUUAUCCCUGCAUACAUGUCGAGGGGGAGGGGGCAGAGGGAGAACACGGAGGGAGCAGCGGAAGGGCUCGCGCUGGAGGCGACUAGAGGAAGGGUCGAAGGCGAGCAAGGGGCCUGCGCGGCUGCGCCGAAGGCGGCCGGAGGAAGGACAAGAUACGUCCAUGUCAGGAUUGAAGAGGAAGGGGGCAGAGGAAGAAGAGGGAGGGGUAGAGGAAGUCGAGCUCAGCGGCGGGAGCGCGCCGGCGGCGAGCAGCGGGUCUGCCGUCACCACGACCUCCACCAGCCGCCCCUUCUCAGGCAGCGAGGGGUCAGGAGACGGCGGAGGGGACGGCAGCGGCGGCGUCGGGGCUCGCGACGACGGCAGGCUCCUCGUGGACGGCGGCGGCGGGGGGGGCUCGCAGGAGACGGCAACGAGGUCGGAGCAGCAACUGCGUGAAGUCGAGACGAGCGAGAGAGAAGAAGACGAGCAAGAGAAAGCGCGUGAGGAAGAAGACGAACGAGAGAAAGGACACUUCGCGUGGAUGAGAAGAGGUCGCCCCACUCGUGAGCCGCGUGAGUCGACCGAUUUGGCCGGCUCACACGGACCAGCAUUUUGGGCCUUUUUUCGGUCCAAGCCGACCACGCCCCUAAGCCAAACACGAGAAAAAAAUUGUUUUGGGCCAGUUAGCACUGCGCGGGGCGGCCCGACCCUGUGAACCAAACACACCCUAAAGGAGACUGGUGAUUAUGCAUUGCACUAAUAUGUGACCUAUCAUUUGAUUUGGUUCUUCAUGCAUAUUGUGAUUGUUAGAUGGGCAUGAAAAAGUGAAAAUGGGGGGAGUUCUAACCUUUCGGUCAACAUCCAUGGCUAUCUCAUCCAUUUAUACUUGCACAAUCUCAACUUUCAGUCAUGGUGUUUCUUAUUGUUGACUUACAAAUAGUUAUCCCUCCGAUCCAUAAUAAGUUACUUAAACUUAGUAUAACUCGGUACUAACUUUGUACCAAAUUGAAGACACUUAUUAUGGAGCGUAGGGAGUAUUUUUUUAAUCGUUGGGAAAAUAGGAAGAUUGUUUUCCAAAUGAGCUCAUUCGAAACCACAUGGCACCGACCGCACACCGAAUGUAAGCACGAUAUGUACAUUUUUAUCUCGAUAUUGUUACUCGACAAGUACAUGUUGUUCAUUACCAAUGUUGUCAAUCUUUAUACUCAUUUGGCAGACGAUAAUGUUUGAAUGUCCAAGCCUGCAAGGUCGAUGAAACAUAUAAUUUGGACUUUGUUGUUGACAAAGUUUUAUCAAAUUUAUAGCAAAAGAUGUCAACAACUACAAUGCCAUAUAUCAAGACAUUAGAUCCAUCAUGAAAUAUGUUUUUGUUGUAUUGAUUUGAUUUAGUAAAGUUUCAUAUAUCUUUCGCCAUAAGCUUGAUGAAUCUUUAGAAACUUUGACGGUCAACAAUAAUAUACACAUUAUAUUUUUGGAAAGGAGAAAGUGUAUAAGAAGUGGCGCACUAUAGCUCCAUAGUUCGCUAAAGUGUGAUCAUCAAGUUAAUGGGACGUAUGGACUCAUUCCAAAUAGGUUGAGAGCAACAUAGCGCCUUCAAAACUUAAACCCUAUUUGUCCAAUAAACCGGUGCAGACCUCACAAAGACCGCCGCCUCCUUUUAAGAUACACGUAUCUCAGAUCUACAUCAUCGUUAUGCUUUGUGCUUCAUUGUCAUCUCAAAGCAAGUAACGGCACAUAGGGCUAGACUAAAAGCUCGUGGCUCGCAAGCUUAAGGAGCGCUCGGUAGCUUGACUUGUUUAGCUCGUGCUCAUUAAUUCCUUAAUACUAGCAAGCAUAACAUGCUAGCUUAGCCCAUCUGGCGAUCCCUUUUCCUAUUCCAAUUCUUGUUCGUCUCAUCACUCGUCACGAAGUCACGAGGUUCACACGGAGUUAAGAACAAAAGUAUGGUUAGAAUAUUUCAUGUUUUGUCUUAACGAGUUCCCGAGGACAGUCACGAACUUAAUGGUUUCUUAAGGAACCGAGCCGAUCAAGAUUUCCAGCUCGUUAUCUUAAAGGGCUUAACGAUUACGUGCUAAACGAUCACAAGCUUAACGAACGUGAGAUUACUGAGCCUAGCGACUUGUCAGUCCAGCCCAAUCGGCACAUCACGAUUGACAGACGUUCGACUACCAGUGACACUGACAUAUGUUUGGUCCAACCAUGGUGCUCCGUGGAACACCAGCCUGAGCAGUACUAUUGUUUAUUCUUAGAAAUGGUUCGUUUGAAAACGGUUUUGUAAGUAAAAGUGGAGCCAGACACUAGUCAUAAAAAAUAAAAAUAAAAAUCAUCAAAAUAGGCCCCUGGUUAUCUUGUCCCAUCAGAAGUCCACGGUCCACGGAUCAUGCGCACCAAGUGGAGUGCAUUUCUUUAGGAAACCGGAGUGAAGUGCAAUGCCCGACGUACAGGAUACUGCUUUGUUAUCACGUAGAGUAGCCACUAGGCCUUUAGCCCAUAAACUUUGAGUUGGGCUGCCGAUCACAAGCAGACCAUGGAAAAGGGAGGCGCACGGUCCAAAAGUUUCCCGGCUGCUGCAUCGCUUUUGCUACUCAUCUACCCCAAUCGUGCUAUGGAAAGAAAAGCAAAAUCAUCUAUCGGUGCCCCAACAGGGCGCUGGCUAUUAUUUUCUGUAGGCAAACAAUUUUGAUGAUGCAUUCCUAGUAUUGCCUACUACUAGCACGGAGUCGUAUUCGGUGCGAGGAGAAAUGGAGAAUGAUUCAAUAAUUGCAUAGAUAUACAAAUACUACCAGCAGUAUUGAGAAACAGCGAAAGUACAUAGUUUCUCGUGAUUAAAUUCAAAACAGACUAGCUGUUUGAAUUAAAAGUUUUUUUGAUAGAGUCCACACGCUCGGGUCCGGUUCCACGUACUACGACAAAGCCGCAGCUGCACAAACACCCGCACGAGCGGGCCUCUCACAUGGGCAAAUCGAUGCGCACGCUCGGUUCCUCUGCGGGCCACGCUCUCCCUGCACGGCACGCAACGCCUAACCCAGUAGCUAGCUUAGCCGCAGCAGCAGCCUGCAGCUACGCCUCCUCUACCUCCGCCUUUCGUGGUCACCUGUCUACGCGCUAGGCGUCACGACCCGUGUGAGACCGUGCCCAUCUACAAUACACCUGCUGUAGCUCCCUUACAGUAGUGCUCUAUCCCUGCUAGCCUCCUAAUCCCUAGUUCUACCCUGCUAGCCUGCUGCUGCUCGUACUACACUAUUUUCUGCGUUGAUUCCUUUGUACGGUCUCACCUUUGGUCUUCGCUUCCGUCACACGAUCGUCUGCGUCUGCAUCUGCAUGGAUCGGUGGAUCCGAGCGGUAAUAAUAAAAAGUUGCAGGGGUUGGCCGCCGCGCGCCGCAUGGUCAGAUCAUGCGGUAGUAGUACGUCCGGUGUAUAGCAGCUGCUGCACGGCAACCGCUGCUGCCUUUUUUCAGGAGACGGGCGUGAAGAACUGACGGGGGUGGGUCGUAAGCUGAUGUCAAGCCAUCAUCCUGUGAGGUCGUGCCAUGCAGUUAAUGAUCAUAGGAGCUUUUUUCCUUCGUUCCUGCUGAGCGGUUCGUACUCGUAUCCACUGGCGAAUCUCAGCCUCAUCGAAGGCCGGCAGCGCGAGUAGGUAUUUGCCUAAUCGAAAAUACUCCUACUAGAGGAGUUUAUCCACUAAUUAUCGAAGCGCCUUCCCAAAUCUAAAACGGGGACGUCCACAGGGAAGACCGGAUGAUCGACCGGGCGUGUACCAGAAAGCAGGGGGCUUCUAGCAUGAAAUCCGGUUCCGGCUGGGCGGCUGGCUGCAGUCCACCGGCCAAUAGGACUCUGCACCGCGGUCAAAAAGGCCAAAGCCGACGAGACGGUACUAGUAGUCUUUUCCGUGCCAAAAAAUUCACGAUCCAGUGUGCGCCGGGCCGACCUUGCCCCCAUCACGGUGACACCACAUCUCCCCCUGCCUCUCCCACGUGCGGCUAGCUCCGCCGCAUCUCUCUCUCCUUCUCACCCAAAUCGUCGCCGCUCCCGUCAUGGAGCCACAAUCCCCGUCCGCCUCUGCCUAGUCGACACGUCACACGUGCCGACCUGCCUAGCUAUGCAUGCUAGCUAGCGCUCGUCCGUCGGACCCAAUAUUGAUGGUGCAUAUGCGUAGUUGAUUGAUGUACUCCUAGCAGCUGCAGCUCUCUCGUGGCGAUGCCUCGACCUUUCUCUGUGUCUGCUUUUUUCGUGGUGUAGUUAAGGCGUAUGUGUUUCCCCUGUUCCUUUCUCUCGUGCGGCGCUUUGAUGGCGGUCGAUGGAUGGAUCCAUCGUGAUCGUGUCGCGAGGCUGUGAAAGAAAAAGUUGCACGGUUCGCGCGCCUGUGUGGACUGUGCUCGGUGGAGCCGGAUACGGCAAAAGCACUGAUCUUCAAGGCGAAGGAAGCAACAAGGAUCAGCCGGGGCCACGGAGCGGCGCACGGCGUUUCCUUUGGCAGCGGCGGUGGGAAGGGGCGUCAGAGAGACAGACGGACGGACGGCAUCGGGAAAGGAAAUUAUUGUUGUGGGGGGGGCACGGAUGGGGGGGGGGAACCGCAUGCACGGCCCGGACGGACCGGAAUCCCGCCGCGCAGCUAAGCUAGCGCCAGAAGUGCAUCCAGGCAGCACGGCGCGGGGCAGGCCAGGCCAAGCGUGUACGUGGGUACUGUACUGUGUGUGUACGUAAUACUCUCUCUCGUACGUGUGGUGGGCGUCACCGGACAAGACCGGUCAGGGCGUCCGUCUUUGGUAGAGCUGGUGCUACUACUACUAGGAGGUGGUAGGCACGGACGGGACGGGCGUAGAGUCUUCAAAGGGUUUGGUACUUAUCAUUCGUACACGUACUGAUACUGAAAAGCCGUAGCGUAAGGUUGCGUGUGAGAGGCAGUUGGGGGGGGCACGGUUUGGUUCAUGCUAAAUAUUGUGGUGUGCUUGUGCACGGCCGGAGAUGUUAAAACGUUUGACAUUGGCGUUUAUGGUAUCAUUCGUACUUAUGACACCCGUAGUUUGGCGAGGGAGGGAGGGAGGACAUUGCUCAACAUCUAUUAUUAUCACAUCUUAGGGGAUUAUGAUGUCGCGUGCAUUGUUUAGUGCCCAUGCUUUUAUUUUAUUUUUCUUACUUUGUAUAAACAGUCUUCUCAAGAAGAAAAUAAGCUUUUGCAUCACCCUUUAAGUCAUCUUGUAAUCUCUACUCCCAUCUCCCAUCAUCCAAUGGGAGCACUUGUAAAAAAAAAAUACUAUCUCCAUUUUUUUUUAAUCGUAUGCAUGUACAUCCAGAUUUCCAAAGCAUAAUGGAUUGUUCUACUAUUGCUUAUUGUAGAUAAAAAAGGUUUAACGCUAACACCACAUUGGGUUAGGAUUUAAGAGAGAGUAGAAAUUGGAGAAAGAUCGAAUGUGUCGUUCAAUUAACUCACCAACUAGCACCUUGUCAUCGAGCUUAUUUUGUAUUAAGAAAAAUUGCAUUUACAAGUAAAACAAAUUGGAUGGAUUAAGAUUAUACUCCUUACUUUUCACAAAGGUUGGUGCACUGAGACCAAAUACGGCACCUUUGUUUUUGAAAAGGCUUUGGAAAAAAUAAUUCUGAAAUAAGAUGUGUUUUUUCAUACUACAUGAAAUUUAUACCAAAAGAUUCGUCUUCGAAGUUCUUGCUAAAAAAAUGAGUUGCGUUGUUUUAUAAUCUGCUGUAAAAAAUAAUCCAUACAUAUAAAUGUACAAUAGUUGGUUAGCGAAUCAAAAACAGGAAACAAAACAGACCAGAAAAAGAGCAUCAGUACCAUAAUUUUUCCGAGUCUAAAUCGUCCGGUCCCUAGAGAAUCCAGUGCGAGGCAAAAUCAUGAAUUCCAAGGGUGCAUUGCGGUGAAAAACUGGCAAGCUGUUUUUCAAAUCAAGAAUUCAAGGCGGGCGAAACACAUUGAAACCUGGACGAAGUAAUUAUGGAGCGUACCAGUAGUCAUACUCCACGCAGGAGCCAUACAUCGGUAGUCAGUGUCAGCAGUGAAAACUUAACUCGACGGUGGAUACCCCAGCGAAACCAACCAUUUUCAUCUACUGUACUCGGUGUGCUGUGCCGUGCCGGUGUGCACGGAACGAUUUUGGCACGUAUUGAAUGUACGCCUCUUUCCAAGGCAGCGAGGACACGACAGGCUUGCCACUGUCUCGCCCGGCGCGGCAGCAGCCGCAGCCAGAAGGCAGGAUGGCAGUCAAGGUGGCUACGUUAGGCUAGCUCGCGCGUUCCCAAGGCGAUCGAUGGCCAUCUGCUACCGCGGCAGCAGCAGCGGACGGGGUCGCCUUGCAUGCAUGCCCGUUCCCGAAAAACGUCUCGCAAAAUGAAUGCCCCCGCCCCCUCCCCCCCACGCCGGGCCCGGCCGACCGGAGCCUUCGCUGCGCCCGAGAAACGAAUCGGGCAACCACGCCCACGCCCUUGUGUGGCUCGUACGGGCGCGCGCUCACCCCCGGGCCCCGCCGGCCUUUUGGUGCUGAGCGGCGCCGCACGCACGCGACCCCUCUGCCCACCCCAGCAACCGUAGUCCGUGCUGCCUCCUGACCCACGACACGCCAGCCGCACGGCGCACCCCGCGAAUCGUUUCCUGGCACGUGAACCCUUGUACGUACCAAUAGCCAAUAGGCUGCAGAAGGGCGCGUGUGUACGUACACGUAGCACUGGCGCGCUGCGUGACACAACGUAACGGGGCAGGGGGGGUGGUUCAGGCCUUUUUUGCCCGCCGACGCACGGCAGAGUACAGUAGUCCGUGCUGUGCUGGUUCAAUGAGAGCGGCUGCUGAAUCUGAACGGGACGGGACGGGGAAGGAUGUGGUAGGGCUGGCGUCACGGUGCGAAGGAAGAGGAGGCUGCAGCGCGGGGGGGCCGCGGGACGUCAAAUCGCGCGGCGGCUGAGGCAGCGCACGAGGCCGCGGCCUGGUCAGCGACAGCCUCAAAUACCCCAAAGCCUACGCCCACCGAGCCCCAGAAACCUACUUCUACACUGCCUCCCUAUCUCCCUCUCCCUCUAGUAGCUCACGAGGGCGCCCUGCAUAGAGAGAAACCCAUCAUCGCGCGCUCCGUAUAAGACCAACGACUCCUGCGUUAAGAGUUUUCCAUAUAUUGGCACUUGUCACCGGCAACGCAGGCAGGCAAAGGCAACAACAAGCCGUGAAGUUAGGGUGUGCGGGGGAGCUUAAUUAAGCCAGGCAAUGCAGGAGAUGAUGAGAGGCGGAGAUCAGCGGAGCCGCUGUGGCGGCGCCGGCGGUGGUCGGGGGGGAGUCGUGGCGAGCGGCGGCGGGGGAGCGGGAGCCGAGGGAGGGCGGCCGUACCGAGGGGUGAGGAAGCGGCCGUGGGGCCGGUACGCGGCGGAGAUCCGGGACCCGUGGAAGAAGACGCGGGUGUGGCUCGGCACCUACGACACCCCCGUCGACGCCGCGCUCGCCUACGACCGCGCCGCCGUCGCGCUCCGCGGCUCCAAGGCCAGGACCAACUUCGGCUCCGGCUCCGGCACCGGCCUCGGCCUCCUCCACCAGCAGCAGCAGCCUCCGCGUCCGGUGGCGCACGUUCCGGCGGCGACGACCUUCGGCGGGCUCGACGUCACCCACCCCUCUCCAUGGCAUUUCGUCUACUUCCCGUCGAGGCUUCAGGACUUCCUGACGCAGGCGCCGGGCCCGGUCGUGGCGCGGGAGUUGGUUGCGCCGUCGCUGCCGUCCACGGUGCUGGAGCUCCGUACGGGGCCGAGUGCUACUCCCACGUUCGACCUCAACGAGCCCCCGUCGAUGCUGUUCGGAUCGUGAGCAAUCUCAUCCUGCCGGUCGCGGGAUCGUAGAGUAGAGUUGUAAGGGUAGGAUCAUCAGAUCAUGGUAGAGACUAGAGAGCGGAGAAGGUGAGUGGAGAAACACUGGUCCCUAUGUACAUAUACCUAGUUAAGCAAAGUUUGGCCUUCGUGAUCCAUCUCCUUUGCUGUGUCCUGUGUCCAUCUUUUCCUCCGUUACCCCCUGGUAUACUUUGCUUUGAUCUUCUUGGGCAUCUCUAAAACGGUUUUGAUUGGAGACUGGCAAAAUGCGGAGAGAAGGGAAAUAGCGUUACUUCCGGCGUUUUGCUGCAUCUGAGUUUAUGUUUGCGCAGUCUCCAUCUAACACGGUACGUCGCAUCUGCUGCAGGGGCUCACGCUGAGCGUACACAUUCGUUUGGGUGCGCCAGGGUCUGCUGCAGGGGCUCACGCCGAGUAGUUGCUAACCGCUGCAUAAACAUUCGUUUUAUUGUUUUGCGUUCUGGUGUUUAUCGGCACAAUGAAGCUUGAACGGAAUACGCUUAUAAAGUACGAUGCCAGCAGAACGCGUUCUUGAUGCUACUUCCAUUUUUGUUUUGACAAUGUUAGUGCUUUGCUCGCAGCGCCAAAACAUAUACAUCUACCAUUGCCGAUAACACACGUAUGGGUGUAAGCUCAAACUGAUAUGGAGAACAAAAGGGUUCCUUCGGAACUUAGAUAGCAUGGUAACAAGUACUUCUCCUUCUGAUUCUAAAUUCUUCGCUCAGAUUUGCCCAAAUAUGAAUAUAUCUAUUUUUAAAACACGUUUAGAUACAUGAAAUAUUUCGUCAACAAUUUAGAAUCGAAGGGAGUAACUCCAUGGUACGUAAUAACAGUCAGGGCAUUCAUGUAUUUACACGACAUAAAACUACCUUAGUAUUAAUAAAAAGCCUGAUGCGCGCCUAAGACUACUCAUAGUGAGAGCAACUUAGGUAGUAAAAUAAGAUGCCAACUAGGCAUUUUCGUGACAUGGCAUGUUAUUAAAUGAAGAAAAGAGGAAGGUGGUAAUUAGAUAUGUUACCUAAGAUGAGUAAAUUUCACGGAACCACAGGUUUUGAGGCAGCCUUCUCACGGAGCACUGGUAGAUGCUAAUCUGUCCACAGAACCACAACUUUUGUAUCCAAUUGUCUCCGUCCACCCAAAACACGGAUUUAAUCUCGUUUGACAUUAUUUCUUACAGGUGAGGCCCACACGUCAGGCGUCACAUCUUUUUCAUGAGACCCCUUGUCUUUUUCUUUUUUUUUCCUCAUUGCUCUUCUACGGUCAGAGUUUUCUCGAACUGGCCAUGGAAAUUGACCCGAACGCUGCUGCCUUGCCACCACGCCGCCCUGUUGCCCGCCGCGCGCCCGCCCCCACCGCCGCCGCCCCGCCGCCUGCUGCCUCGCCCGCCCGCCCGCCGUGCUUCCCUGCUGCCCCGCUGCCUCGCCGCCUUGCUGCCCGCCGCACGCCCACCCCCACCGCCACCUGCCGUCUGCUGCCACGCCCGGCCACCUCACGCCCGCCCCCACCGCCGCCCGCCCCGCUGGCCUGCUAAAAAUCCUCCUCUCAACUUAUCGGUACUCUUGUUGGAUAGUUUGCCUUAGAUUCUGCAAUAAAAAAGAUUACUAUACUGCAAAAUCAUUAUUUUUUGGCACAAAAGAUGGACAGUGGGUUGGAUAAUAAAAAAAACUCCCACCGCAUAAGAAGAAGAGUGAGGAAAAAAAAGAAAAAGACAAGGGGUCUCAUGAAAAAGACGUGAUGCCUGACUUGCAGGCCCCACCUGUAAGAAAUAGUGUCAAACGAGUUUAAACCCGUGUUUUGGGUGGACCGAGACAAUUGGACACAAAAGUUGUGGUUCUGUAAACAGAUUAGCAUCUAACAGUGCUCCGUGAAAAGGCUGCCUCAAAACCUGUGGUUCUAUGAAAUUUACUCCCAUAAAAUCACACAAAUCAAGGCAGGACGAGUUUACAACCUAAUAAAUGAUAUAAUGCAUAACACCACAUACAUAUUACUACCCACCAUGAAGGUAGUAAUUUAGACUAGUAAUAUAUCCAGCCGCAAUUCCACUAUGACCAGCCUAAGGAACCUCGGUUCCAAGAGGACACCAAAGACUACUGCAUCCAGCCGCAAUUCCACAGUACAGACUAAACUACUUGCAUGCUCUCGGCGAAGCUUCCAGGGUUGAUGGUUAUACUCUUCGUGCAAUUAUCUGUCUUGUAGAUGCCAACCAGCCUAUCAGCUAGUUCAAACAUGUUGUUUCUGAGGCUGCAAACAAGCGACAAAAGUGAGUUUAUGUGAUUCAUCAAACACAAAGAGUAAAAAAGAAAAACACUGUGCCUCCAUACAAUCCUUCAGAUAUGUUAUUUUGUGCACUUCUGUAGAUUAAAUCUGGACUGUAAAGGGUGUUUGGUAAUUACACUGCACAGUUGGUCUACUCGUGUAUAUCUCGGAGCUAAAUGUUUUUUCUUUAGAUUUGCUUGAUAGACAAGGACUUAGAUCAGUUUCUAGUCGUAUCCAAAGGGUCUGUGCCCAAUUAGAGCGCACUCAAACAAGCUCUAAAAGGAUUGUGCAGCUUGAACAUAUGUUAUGGGGGCAAAGCCUACAAAAAAGUAAGAUAUGAAAAAAAGACUUACCUAAUAAUAAUGAACUGGGCAUCUUUUGUUCGGUCUUUCACAUAAUGUCCAACGAUGGAUACAUUCUUAAAAUCUGUAAAAAGCUGCUUCAUUAAUCCAUAAAAUUGAAAUGUCAGAUAAUACUAGCAAAAGAAAAAGGUCACAAGACUUACCCAAGGCUGCAUCUAUCUCAUCCAUAACAUACAAAGGAGUUGGUUUGUAAUGGUGAAGAGCAAAUACUAGGGCCAGGGAGCUAAGCGUCUGUAAGACAGCAAAUGUUUAAAUUAGUAUAUCCCUAAAAGAGUAAUACUAGGAUGACAAAUAUUUAGUAGUCCAUGUAACACACGAACAUUGCAGAGCAAAGGAGUAAAGGUGAAGUAUUUUGCAUUAUAAGAUCAAACAUGCAAAAUCGAGCAACAUAUUUGAAGUACAUGCAAGCAGCAUGAAGAUCUUGCGCCAAGAUAUUUUAUGCUGUUGAAGCAGUCAACAAGAUAUAUAACCGAUUAAUUCAGAGGGGAAAACAUACACAUGUAUAAAAUAAGCAAAAGAUAGAUGUGUCUAGCAUAUUAGAACCUGUGCAGUGGCUUUUCUCAUGUGUGUCGCAUUGGGCUGAUAUAUGUGGGAUCAUAAAUGCUCAUUUCAGGUUCUGAAUAGUUGAGUUUCACUGUAAAAUCAGCUGUACCUUCAGUACAUACAGCAAUUUUAACAAGACCCGACCAAUGCCUUGUAUCAAGAUUAAUUACAUACCAGAUCUUUACAUACCCAUCUUGAAAACCUUAUAUAUUUUCAUGCGAAAUGUCACAUCAAGAAAGUGUUUUCAUUCCCAAAUGUGCAAUUAACCAGCAGCUUGGGUGGUCAGCCAAGCGAGGUAUGCUGGCUGCCCACCAGGGUUUGACCCCCGAGGGCCCCAUUCUGGUGCCUCACCUUGUGAAAAUUAAUAUAUGUAUCUAUAUACUGUCAGAUUGCUAUCGUGAAUAUCUUACAGUUUAAAUUCAAAAAUAAAUAAAGCAGUACAACGUUUCUGAUAAUAUCGGAUGUUAUGUUCUCAAUUUUUCAAGGGACAUCAUUUGUGGAGCCCAUUUUAUAGAUUAGAGAACAAACACAAACAUGAAAUGGUUUUCGCUCUUAGGAUUAUAUGCACCUUCUAUUGGUUUGAAGUAAAACUGUAAACUUCCAUUGAAAUGACCAGUUGCGAUAAAGGGAUAAUGGCUUUCUGCGUGUCAUCUUUCUCCAUAAAAUGGUACGAACUUUGUAAUACAUCUAGAAGUGUGGAAAAUGAUACCUUCUCACCGCCAGAUAGAUUGGCAAUGUUCUUCCAGCUUUUCUUGGGAGGUCUUACACUGAAAACAACACCCUCCGAAAACGGGUCCAAUGAAUCAACUAGUUCCAGCUCUGCAUCACCUCCAAGAGUAAUCAUCUGAAACCAAACGUAAUUAUUUUUUAUCAUUUCACAAUCUCUACGAAAAUAGAUAUCUUUUGAGCAAGAAGCUUUUUUCUUUUUCUUCUUGUACUUGAUAUGAUCGGUCAACAUUUUCACUACCUUUCCCCCUGUUAUUUCUUGAAAUCAUGUUUUAAGAGUUAAUAUCAACAACUUGCACGACAAAUAAGGGCAAUGCUAUCACAUCAUUGCUGCAGUGAUGAGCAAAGUCUUUCUUUCGUGUAAUAUCCCUUCAGAAUUGCAGUCUUACAACAAAUGUGUAAGAACAAACCAUGAAAGCUGCCAAGAAUUUGAGUCGACCCUCAGUUACUAGGCGGUAAGCACAGUCUAAUGAGAUUACAAUGAUGCCUUGAUCUGUCACACGGUGACGGGGUGGUUGGACUUAAAUUGUGAAAGGAUGAGUAUCAAAUUAGAAGCCCGAUAUGUGUAUUCAUACCUGGUACAUCUCUUUCAGUUUCAGAGAAAUGAUGUUGAAUCCUGCCAUGAAUUCAUCUAACCUGCAAUUAUGUAUAUUUGUAUGUAAGGAGGUAAAUCAACCAACAGAAACAUAAUAUUGAAAAUAAGGAGAUACCUUCUUUUCCUCAGCCCAUCAUAUAGCUUCUUAAGAUCAUCACGCUCCUGAGUGGUAGCAUUUAGCUCAUCAACACGCUCGCCAUAUAAACGAGCCUUCAUGUGAUACCUGAUUCAACCAAGAGAAGUAAGGAAAUUGUUAAUGAAAAACAGGUUUUGUCAAUAGGUGGAUCUCAUCAACCCAUACUCUGCAAUUGAAUCCAGGUUUGGACUCAAGUCUUUAAGCUGAGCUUCCAACAAUGCGACCAUCUCCAUUGCUUUUUUCAGGUCAAAUAUUGCACUGAGAUUCUUAUCACACAGUGUUUCUUUGAGUUUCUCAGGAUCAAUAGCGUCCUUCUGGAUUCUGAUGAAGAAAUCACAAUUAGUCUUUGAAACUGUACAGAAAACAUGCAUGAUUCACAAUGUAAUUGAAAAUUAACAUGUGGACAUACUGAUCCAUGUGUUUAACAAGAUUAGUCUGAAUGUCAGCAAGCCUUUUCCUAAAUGCCUUCAGCUUCAUUUCCCACUCCUUGGCAAGCUUUUUUGUAUCUUGCAGUUUGUACUCUGCAUCAACCUGUUUUUAUGCACAAGCAGUUCAUAUUAUUUUGGUUCAAAAACAAGUUCAAGUCAUAUGGUGGAAAUAAUUAUGAUAUUAGCAAGAUAAAGUCACAGAAGAUACCUCAGAGGCUCUUAGUUCAUCCAUCACUUUCUUUGUUUUAUUGUAGUCUUCCUUUGUUUUGUCAAGCUCAUCUUUAUGGCUGUCUAUCAUCUACAAGUUAACCCGAUUAUCAUUACCCUUCCAAACAUGCAACAACCCAGUUAGGGUCCAAACCAUAGACCAACAUAACUAAACUACCUCCUGGUUUUUCUUGUAAUCUUCUUGAACAAGAAAAGCCUUCUUCUCUAUCUCUUUGAAUACAGACAUCAACUUCUCCUUUUGAGCUAGAAGAUUCUCGUUUUCUUUUUUGGCCUCUUCGAUGCCCUUGGUCAACUUUUUCAGCAACUUCUCGCAUGUAGUAAUUUUAACUUUGUGGCGGUUGAUAUCCGAGCUUGUUUUGUCAAAUUCCUGACAUUUGAAGCACGAAAUAUAAACAUCAGAAUGAGACACCAAAGCAUCUUUAGUUCUCAUAAAGAUCUGGGUUAGUGACGGUGCAUUCACCCUCACUGAGAUUACCUCUUAAGUUGCCAACAAAACAAUUAAACAUGCUAUAGUACAAAUAUGUACCACGAUUUUUUGAUUAGUUUCUUUUUUUGCGAGGAAAGUGAGCUUUAUUAAUCAUGAAUAGGAUUACAAUCAGCAGCAACCGCUACAGAAACACACGGAUGAGGUUGAUUCAACAGGCAAUCUGAUCCUCGAACCUCCCGCGCAAAGUUUGCUAACAAAUCUGCAACCCUAUUUUGUGUAUGACUAUAGUUGAUUCUAUUUAUUUAUAUUUUGAGAUAAUUUUUUGUUCUGCACAAAGUUAAAGACUGUGAUGACACACGUUUAAACAACUAUGCAAUAAGAAAUUUCCAUGGCAAUAAAGAGCACUUAUGUAGUGUACUUACAGAUUGGAUUUUUGCAACUUUGGCCUUCUGAUCCUUUAGCACCUUCCCCCCUGCAUUUUCAAUUUUCUGUUGAAGUUCUGAUGCCUGUUUAAUGUUGCAGCAAACAUAAGUUAAGGCUGCGUAGGAAAGGUACUUGUAACAACAGUGCUUCAACAGCUUUAGUAGAGUAGACACAAGCAUUCGAGAGGUCUGAAUGUUUGAUUAUUUGCAAAAAAAAAAAUCCUGAAUUGAAGUUGAUGCUGACAAAACCAGAUUGACUUGGCUUCAGGUUGAAAUGAGUAUAGGCACUUGCCUGAUCAUUGAGCUUGCUGGAACACUUUGCAAGUCUAUUUAGUUCAUCUUGCUCAGUAGAUAUGAUGCCAUCCAGCUCUUUCAUUCUGCCAACCUCAUCUUCUUUGGGAUGUGCUGCAGCUUUCAGUGAAUCUAGUCGCUUUUCAUUGUAACUGUAGUGUGCCUUCAUACUCUCAACCUUUUACAUGAGGAAAAGGUCAGGUGAUCUCAACAUAACAAACAACUACAAGGACAAGAAGAAUGCACAUGGUUUAGCUACCUCCUUUUUAGCUUUUGCCAGUUCCAUCUCGAGACGGGAUUUAGCUUCCUCCAGGGACCGGUAGCGUUUUUUUGCGUCAUUAAUAUUUUCACGUAACCCGUUGAGUUGGUCAACAAGUUUUUUUAGAUCAUUUUCAGCAUUUAUAACCGCCUCUUCUGGAACACUUUCUCGGAUGGAUGUGCCCAUCUUGCCACCCCGUGGUUUGCUACCACCACCGCUCAUGGUCCCGGACUUCUCAAAAAGUGCACCGUCAAGGGUAACUACCCGACGGAAUUCAUUAUCUGCAGUAUAUGCAAUUCGGGUAGCCUGACAAAAUAGAUGGUAACAGUUGUCAAAAGGUUCCAUGCAAACAGAAUAUUAUAUGUCCUGAAUAAAGUAGUUCUCUGAACUAAUGACAGUUCCCCAAGGCUCGCAGUUCGAUGAAAAUGCUAGCUGGAUAAUUGGGUACUUAGUUGAGAAAGAAAGAUAUAAGGCACGUGAUAACUGCAAACAGUUAGAAGUUAAAAUAGUGUGAUUAAGGUUUUACCUGAUCAAGAUCGUUUGCAACAACAGUAUUGCCCAAGGUAGCAAAGAAAGCCAACUUCAGCUUCUCAUCUUUAACCUUUACAAGAUCAAAGAGACGUGGAACUCCUUCAGGCGUUUUUACUUUCUGUUGUAGCUUAUGAAGAUGAUGUGUUUGCUUUUCCUGUAAAGGUAAAUACAAAAAUCAUGCCUACAGCAAUAAAUCCAAUAGGGGGCUGAGUUUGUGUAUAAAUAAACAGGAAAGCACUAACAACAUAAAAGAGCAUUACCAGUAUCAUAAAAGUAGCAAUCCCAAGAUUUCUUCUGCGUAAUAGUUCAACACAGGCUUGGGCUGAGUUUGUUGUUUCAACAACAAUAUAAUCAAGUCCAUGGCAUGCUGUUGAUAUGGCAACAUCAUAUUUCGCUGCAAGGUAGAAUAGCUAAUAAUGUUACCUAGAUAGAUGCAACAAGGAAGAUAAAAUCAUGAUGAGGUUCCCACUCACCAAUAUUGUCCAAUGGUGUAUAAUGGCACCCCCAGAUCAUAAUAGAUAUAGAAAUAAUGUAAUUUUAAUCUUGACAAAUUCACUUAGGGGAGUUGACAAACUUAGCACCCUGCAUUUUGAAAUGAGGCUGUCGGGGCUUUCUGGCUAGUAACAAGAAAAUAUUGAGCAGCUGGAGAAGCCUCUACCUAACCCAAGCAUACAUCAAGAGAAACUAUUGUUGUUGUUUUUUCGAAUAAAGGUUGUAUCUUUGACCAAGCCUGAACCCAAUAUAAAUUCUUAACCUGGAAUGCUUGGCAAAAAGAGCCUGAAAUUUUGUAGCAUAUUUAAACUAACAAUAUACACACACAAUAAUAAUACUAUCAAAAAUUUAUUUAUUGUACUUUGGUUCAACGGUAAGAAUCAUAUUCGUCUAAGUAUAAGCAUUCAACUCUAAGGCUUGAGUGUGAGGAGGGUCCACAUCAUCCGUCAUCUUGAGAGGGUAUAAGCAGACACAGUUUCAGUAAAAUACAAGCAGAGAAUUUACCAAGAGCAAAUUUUCACCUCCAAUAAAGAAUUUACAAUUUUAUCUCCAGAGUCUACAGUAGCUAUUAGAAUUCAAUAUUAAUAUGUUGCAAUCUAUUUGUUUUUUAAUGUGCAAGUGCGACAUGAAAAAAAUUCUAUGGCAAGUUUACUCAUCACAUCAUAUGUUCAAUCAGAUAUCAUUGGUCAAAAGAUAUACUCCCUCCGUCCCAUAUUAAGUGCCGAAAUAUUACAUGUAUCUAAACGUAUUUUAGUAUAUAGAUACGUCCAUAUUUAGACAAAAUUUUGAGUCACUUAAUAUUGGACGGAGGGAGUAGUAAGUAUAGGGAUGGGUUCCCAUCCUAGUGGGGGUGUGUGGCUGUGUGGGUGCAUCACCCCUAUGGCUCUGGUUCAUGUCAAAGCAAACGAGAAUUUAUUUCCUGAGCAACAAAUCAAGAUGUGAUCCCACGUACCAAAUAAAGCGAGAAAAAACAUUAGAAACAUCAGCAGCCACAUGUGUAGAAAAUCAAAAGUCCUAUAAAGAGUCGGAGUAGUUUAACUGCAUUGCAUUCUAGGAUGUCAUUGUUUUGUAGCUAUCGAUUGCUCCCUCCAUCUCAAUUUAUAAGUCGUUUUAGGUGUAUCUCGAAUACCAAGGAAGUGAUGAGCUGGCCAAGUUAGCAACUGUUUUAACCACGCCGAAGGCAGAAAGCCAGAAAAUUAAAUCAGUUUGCAUGCAGACAUGUGGGAGCCAGUGCAUGCUGAUGUAUGCAACUCGAGAGCCUCUUUCUGGGGGCUUAAUUAGCGCUGAGCAGCCUUUAAUUGGUUGGUCGGCCUUGGUUACUCUUUCUUUUGUGGGAAAAGUAGGAAAAACUAAAAUGACCAUUUUUUGGGAUGGAGGGAGUAUAUCUUACCAUCAAUUGCACCAAGAUCUCCAAGUCUGCCAUAAAUACCAUCUAUUUCCUUUGAUUCCUUAGCUUGUAAAAUUGCUUUCAAAACAGUGCCUUGAUUCUUCUCAGAAUCCCUUGUAGAUUUAAUCUCCGCAACCUUCUGCCUAGCUGCUUGUUCAAGAGGAAUUAGGGACUCCUCCUGUUUUAGGCAUUCCUGUUACGAAUCCCAAGUUGUUAGGAAAUUCAGGAUCCUCAACCCAAAAAUAUUGACCAACUUAAUGGUCCCAAGGAGAAGAUAACAAAUAAAUACGGAAGUGAUUUACCUGUUCAACUUUGCGAGCUUCAGAUGCUUCACUCUGGUGUUUUUCUAUCUGUUCUUGAAGCUCCAUAAUAUGAGUAUCCUUCGUUUUGAUCUUCUCCUUAAUGCUUUCCAUCUGGUUUUGAGCAUCAGUUAAUUCUGCUCGAGCUCCAUCUUGCUGAAAACAGGUAAUGAGGUCAAAAGGUAAAUUAACAAAAGCCAGAACUUUACAUGUCACUAUUGCUUUACCCAAAAAAAAAAACUAGGCAGUUGUUACAGGACUUCGUGUGCCUUUAGCAGAACAGAUGUCCAGAACUGGCAGCCAAGUGAUUCAUAUCUUGGCAGAAACAUAUUGAAGGAAAUUGAUGAUGGGAUCAUUUUGUGUUCACAUUUUAAAAAGAACGAAAGGCAAGGAUGCUAACCUUUUCUUUCAUCAAUUCUUUCUCCGCGGAUGCAACAUCCAGCCUUCCUUUAUGAUCAAUAAUUUGUUUGUCCCAUGGUUCAAGCUCAGUCCUUACCUGCGUAAGUUCAGCACGUAGUUUCUCUGUUUCCUCUGUAAUUAAAAGAAAAUUGGCUAUCAGACAACAGUUAUAUGUGAAAGGGAGAAAUAAGCAACUAAAAAAAUCACCUCGAGAGCUUUCUUUAAUUCGCUCCAACACCUUCUCUUCUUGGUUAAAUUCGUGUUGUAAUUUUGGUAUCUCUCCCUCAAGCUGUGGAAUGAGAUUGGAUGAUUCUUCAAUCUCUUUUGUUGAUUCCUCGAUUUUUGACAUAUCCUGGAUCAAGGUAUAGGACAAAUUUUAGACUUGAUUGCUUGAACUACAUCUGAAAUCAUUUAAACUCACCUUUUCAGUUUUGUCCUCUAGCUUCUUGAUCUUCUGCUUAAGGUGCUUUAAAUCUUCCCUAUAUUUAACAUCUUUCCGCUCAAACUCCUUAAAUUUAUCCUUGCAAGCCUUCAUGUUAUUCUCAAGGUCCUGAAUAUAUAAGAGAGGGUAAAUAAAGAGGCAUUAUAAUAUGUAAUAAUAGUUUAAAACUAGCACAUCAGUCACUAAGAUAUAUGUAAUUAUAAUUCAGCUUUGCAUUCAUGGUGAUUGAGGUUCCAGAAAAUGAAAUUUAAGAACAUACCUCUUGCCUUUUGACACGUUUGUUGUAAGCAGACUCCAUUUCCUUCAGAGCUUCAGAAUUCUGUUGAAUUCUUUCCCUGGAUUGGAAAACAAUCAGCUCUAAACUCAUGAAUGGAGAAUUCAUGUAUAACCAUGCCAAUGAAUCACCUUUCAGAGGCAAGGUUUUUUUCUAGGUCUGUAACAUUGUCUUGGAGCUGGGUAACAUGUGAGGCAGCAUCUUCAGAAGCCAUUGUGGUUGCCUUUUCUUGACAUUUCAAAAGCAACAGUUCCUUCAGCAUGUAAGUUUCAGCUUCAUUUUUCGCAUUCUACAGGAAGUUAACCCCAUCAGUAGUGUUAAUUGACCAAAAGAAUCAAUUCUAUGACAACCCAAUCAGCACCUCUAAACUGUCCCUUUCCUUCUCAGCCAAUUUCAGCAUCUGUACUGAUGCAGUUCUCUUUUCAUUCAGCACUUCCAGUCUAAAGGUAUCAGAAAAUGAGAAAUGAUUAGAUUGCACAAAAAUGGACAGAAAACACUCAUCAUGACAACAUGCGUUAAAAAGGUUCUUAAGAAACUCACUGUUUGUUAGCUUCUUCAAUUUUCUCUACAUAUUGGUUUGUCCCAAUGAUGUCUUCUAGAUAUUCUAGAAACCCCUCGUCAUGUGGACUUUGGGAUUUUGGUUUCAUCAGGGAGAUUUGCUCAACCUCACCCUGUACAGUGCCAAGCACAGAAGUUAUGCAGUUGUAAUAAUACCAAUAAAAUGCACUUAGCGCGUCAUAAUGCCUACCAAAUUCCAUGUAAAACUUGAACCACGAAAUAAGCAACUGUUGGAAAAAAUUUGAAGUCUCGGUACUCAAUCAAUCUAGGAGUUAUCUAACCAAACAAAACAUAAAGAAACAGUUCUGUUCACAUGUAAAUAGGGGAAAGUGCACAAAACCUGAAGGAUCAGAAAGCGAUUAUUAUUAAGAUCCACUCCUUUGCCCUUCAACAGCUUAGUUACUUCGGUAAAACUGCUUCCACGUUCAUUUAUGUAAUAUUUAGAAUUGUUGUCACGGGAAGCAACUCUUGAUAUGGUAAAAUCACUGCCCUCAACUGCCUCGUAGUUGCCAUCAUCCUGCAUAUGUCCACAGAGAGGAAUAAAGAAAAAAAGGAUUAUGGCACCAAUAAAGCACUAAGAAAUUAUAGGUACUUGGCUCAAGCAAUACCAGAUCAAUGAUUUCUUGAAAAUGGACAGAAACCCCAGCGCUGUCUAGGUUCUGGUGGUUGGAAGAGUUGUGUAUGAGCUCUGACACCUUGUUGAGGCGCAUCUGCAGUUAUGGCAUGAACUAAUCAGAAACAAUAUGAAAUGCAAAACAACUAAAUAAAUAUAUUGUUCUGAGUUAAGAUAACAUGUAGUGAAUGGAUAAGGUCAUCUUUCAUGGGCUUGAGAUACUUAAGAACUUCAAAUUGUUAAUCCGAACAUCUAAAUAAAUCUUUGCAGGAAAUGACGAACGAAAAACGGGAAGACAAUACUUGUAAAGAAGGAUCCCACCAUGCCCAACUAAUAAACACAUCUUGCUUAGCCACCAGAAGAUUGGUAGUACCAAAGUACAAAUAUGUUAGAUUAUAUAACACCUUUAGGCAAAGACUUAUAUGCUUACUUUUGUCUGUUAUUCAAAACCACUAACUCGGAAGAAUGGUAGGUUGUUGCCCUCAACCUUUUAAAUCAUUGGGGAACUUAGACUGAAAUGCUGUCUCUGGCAUUUUGGAUCUAACAAUUGGAUAGGUGAAAUUAAAUGAUAUGAUUCACCGAGAUGUAAAUGGAUUGGAAUGCACUAGCAGAUUGAACAAACAAAUAUCAUGAUGAAACAAGAAUAUUUACAAUUUGGAGCAUUAGUGUUCACCUUAUUUGCACGCUUCCCAAACACAAACAGCAUGGCAUCAAUGACGUUGCUCUUCCCACUGCCAUUUGGCCCAACAACAGCUGAGAAGCUCUGGAACCGAUAUAAAAAUUAUCAGAUUUCCUUUGGUCUCCAUGAAUCAUCACUUGAUGAGCAUCUUUAGAGUUUAGAAAAAAAACAUGCAAUAGAAAUAACUCGAUUGUGCCAUCCUAACUGCAGCAUGGAAGUUCUGUGUUCGGAAAAUCUGUAAGGCUUAGAACUCUAGUUUACUCUCUGACAGUAUUUGUACUUAUCAGAUUAUAAUAACCGAUUAGUGCUGUGACUGUAUGACACCAAUUUUCCUCAUCCUCAGAACGGUUGCUUGUGUAUUUUGGGGAUUAAAAGUUGCUCAUGGUACUAGUUAAACAUCGUUAAAGUUAAAUGACGCUUCAAAAAUUUCACAGUUGCCACAGGACAAGUGAGUUGAGUAAAGUGCAUAAACACUAUUUUGAGCAUUAUUUGUGCAGAGUAUAUCAGUCAAAACAUGUGUUUGUUAUCAUGGUACCAAUAUGUAACUAAAACAAAUUGAACAGCACAUACUGACGAGCGAGUCAAUGCCACCUGCAGGGUUACAGAAAUUAAACCACAAUCCCAUAACAAGUAGUUAGCCAUAAACUUCCAGCUUAAAUUAUCUGGCAUCACAACUAGACGAUCCUUCGGGUUUGGUGCACCCCCAAACCCGGCAGGUGAAGCUAAAAAACAUAGUGUGCCUAAUUUAGGAUUUGGGGCAUAGGGGUCCAGAGAUGCAAAUUCCGAACGGAAAUAAUACAAAAUCCCUCCUAGGCCGUCAUAACAUACGUAAAGCUGUUCCAGUUGGCAUUUCUAGGGUUUAAUGAUUUAUAGAUCAAGUACAAAUGUAAGCUGAGCAACGCAAAAUUGCACUCCUAGGACGCUGAAUCAGCUGUCAUCGAGCGAAAAUUGGGAAGACGAAGGGGCAACACCCGUGUAUGUGACUGACCGACGGCCGCCGUAACUUUCUCUCCGUGGGUCAAAAAUAUGAGCACGUCAAAGUAAAAAUUAGCUAGGGCGCACGCGCGCGAGAAAGGAUACCUUGUGGAAAGGACCAAUACGCUGCUCCCCGGCAUAGGACUUGAAGUUACGGAGAACCAUCUCCUUUAUGAACAGCCGUGGCUUCACCGACCGGCCCGGCGACCUCGCCGGCGAAAGCGAAGGCGAAUGCGGCGGUGAGGUCUCCAUGGAAGAGCGGCACCAAAAUAUUUCAAAGCCUAGCAGCGAGCGACGGGAGCGCGAGCGCCGCCGCAGCGAUGCCGCUCGCUCAGCCGACGACACCCGCCCGCUACAAGAUCUCCACCGCAACCUUUGCCGCCGUUCGCCCGGGGCUAGGACGGAGGCUAGGGGGGCACGGUGGUGGGGAGAUUUGGGGAAAGUCGAAGUGGCCGAGAACGGAGUGUGGAUUUGGGGAUUUUGGGGGGAAUUUGGGAGGGAAAACUGAAAAUGUGGGAGAGUUUCCGUCCUCGCGUUGGAGAGCCAAGAUGUCAGACCAAAUUUAAUUGGGAAAUUCUUAGAGUUGGGCUGGACUAUGGUGGGCUUCGGCUUCCUAGCUGGAUGUGGGCAUGGAAUUGAACCGGUUUUCGGUAUGGAGUACUGCUGCGUUAUGUUGGGCUAUAUACGUGAGCCAGACGGGCCCAUAUAUGGCACAACUCAGGCUGCAAUUUGCUUGCGUCACCUCAGCCCAUCCCACUGAGAAAAAAACUCAGUCCAUAACAUAGGCCAGGCCAGGCUUAAAAAACUCCCAAGUCUCCCAGUAAGCAGCCCAUCAGAAAAUCGCCUUUCGCUCAAAAAACAAAUAAUCAGAAAAUCGCCUUCUUCGGUGAGUUAUGAGUCAAUUUUCCAUCUUCAUAUGGUUUAGCUAACUUUUAGAAAGAAAAAGAGAGUCAAUGAACUCAUUAGCACGCAGUUGAAACUUAACGUGCUUCUCCUUUUCAUUUCUUUUUUGCAGAUAUGCUCCUUUUCAUUUUAGAGUUCCGUGAGACUGUGGCUCUGUGAGAGCAGGGAAUGUGUCAUCUCGGGGAAUUCGUGUUACAACAGGAAAAAAAUGGGCUGUUGUCAGAAAUGUUUUAACAAAAUUCCAUUAGAAAAAUACAAUUAAGGAGACCUCGCCAGCCUCAUGUCAGCAAAACUAAUCAGCUAGCAGGACAGUGUAUUGUCAAAAAAAAAAAAGCUAACAGUGCAUCGAUCCAGCUCAAAGGGAGGAGUGUGCCCCCAAUAACGACCACGAGCUAACCACUUAUGUUCUCGAUUAAGCUUCUUCAUCCAGCCCAAGAGCCAGCGCAUGAUGUGCGUGAUUAGCAUGAAAUAGUUUCUCUCGGGGCGUAGCGCACGUACACAGCAACUGAUGAGAAACUGGCUCGACGAAGUGUGACCUGUUGGGUACUCAGAAGAGACGCUGCCAGCUUGAGCACGAAUAUAUAAUUACACCUAAUGCAGUGCAAUUGUUUAGACAAAUUAUCACACUUUGUCGCUAUGCGUUUGCUGUUGCAGCACUCGUUCGGCGUUUCCUUCUCUGCAGGCGUACAAUGACCGUUGGAAUUUUGUGCUGAUGUGUAUUGGUGAAGAGUUUUUUCUAAAAAUAAUUAUUCAGUGAAGAGUUUUUUUUUUCCGUAAAGACAGUAGGGAAGAUUCCUACUGCGUUAUUUUCAUUUAUAAAAGGUCGUAUUUACAAUGGUGCUAUUUACAAUGGAAAAGUAGAUACGAAGAGUUAGGUAUUUGAGUCGAGCAAAUGUAAUCAGGUAUACAUUGAAUAGCACAUUUGUACAGGGAGCCGGUGGCAUGUGCGCCCCAACAAUGUGGUGCGGUAUUGUAGCUGCAUCAUUAAUUGUGGAGGGGCGUACGUAGUCAGAGGUCCGCCGAUGUAGCCAAAAGUGGUGAACCUCAUGAACGAGCAUUGGGAUCGUGUUGAUGUGAUUGCUCGUUUCUCGGUAGAUCAUCAAACAUCAGAUUUUCUGACAAGGAGAUUACGCGCUUAACAAUAAAAAAUCCGAGAACAAAUUUGCACACGCAAAUAUACUCUAUUGUAUUGUGUUAAUUAUUUUUAUUUUGAGGAGGGCGGGGGGUCAUAAUGAUUCACCAUGUCCUAACCCUACCGGGCUUCGAGGGAAGGGGAGGCGACAGACAGUUGAUAGGAGAUCGGUAAUAGGUUGGUCUUCAUGGCGACACGAUGACCAGCACAUGCCAACAAUGAUGAGUAUUAAAUGCAACGGUGAACAAUGACUGUGGUAAGACAUGUAGGCAAUGCAAUUCCUGUUAAGGAGGAAAAUGGACGAGGAGGGAAAAUAGUGAAGAACUUGAGGGGGAGAGGACAUUUCGUUGAAGGUAACGAUGGUGGAGAUAAGGUGGCUGGACAACGAAGGAUCACUAUGUGAAUGGCGCAUGUGGAUGAGUUUAGGUAAAAGGCGCACACACCAACCCGCCAGAGGUCCCUUAAAAAGCCAGUAUAGUAAUGCACAAGGCACAUUGAGCACGACGUUCUUUCUAAAUGUAUAAGACUGUUUGUAAAUGCGUGAGGCAUGUCUCUUGUGUUGUAUCUUCUGAAAUGCAGUUGGUUAUUGCUUUUUCAAUCAGUAAAUCUCUUCGCCUCGCCCAUGCUCACACCAUCCCUCUCCUUGCUCCCCAACUUGCCUUUGUUCUGCUCCAAUGGGAGGCAGCGCCUUGAACAUGACAUUGUAAUUAGCAAAAAUGAUAUCCAAUUAUAGGCAUUCUGUAGCACGGCUGCGCUUUCAAAUGCCGACAUCAUCCCUAUCACAAGUCCACCGACAUCCGCAAUCAUAAACCGCCCACUGCCAUCGCAUAUAUUUGAGGCCAUUAGGCACAUUGGAUCGUGACGAAAUAUCCUCCUUUCACCUUGGAACGAGGCCGGGGCCCGAGGCUAAUGCUGGACAGCGGACCGGCUUCGCAGGCGUGGUCUCCCGCCCCCGCCUAGGUGCCCGUGAUGAGACCAUCUCCCACCUACUGGUUGGCUGUGUCUUCUCAUGUCAGGUGUGGCAGCAGCUGUUGACCUGUUGGGGCCACGGGGAUUGGUGCCCCGGUCCGGGGGCUGACUUGCGAGAGUGGUGGACCUCCCGACCCCUUUCGCGGCGAGGGCGGAAAGACUUCCUGACGGCUUUCAUUCUGGUCUUUUGGAUCAUUUGGCGCCACCGUAAUGACAUUAUCUUCAACGGGGUGUCUCCUUCGGUCCAUUGGGUCUUGUCUACUGUCCGGGAGGAGUUGGAUCGGUGGUGCUCUGCCGCCCUCAUUAGAAAUAGGAGUGUUGGUUCGGCCUUCGCGGCGAGUAGGUUGCUUGGUAGGCUGUAAUUUCCCUUUUGUCUUUGCCCUGUGUGGCGUUGUAGCCAUUUCGACGUUGUACUAGCCUUCUGGCUCUUCUCCUUUAAUUGAUGAUGCACCAGCUGGGUUGCAUUCUUGAAAAAAACAAAAACCUUGGAAUGAGGGGAGCACCUGAACAAAGAGGCCGUGAGCAAUGAUAUAUCUUUGUCAUGGAAGUCAGAAGAAGAGGUAUGAGUAAAGAUGUAAGAUGUUCGUUCACAGGUAUGUAUCGACUGGACACAAACAACAUAUUUUGGUGUGUAUUGCCGCAUCCACCUUGUUCCCGAUCACUUCUUGUCCUAGCGAGAAAGAUGAUAAAAAAACAUAUAAGAGAGAAGAAACAUACUCCCUCUGUCCGGGUUUAUAAGGCCUCCGUUGGGUUUGUGCCAAACUUUGACCAACAAUUAUACAAAUAACAUUUAAAAUAUGUAUAUAAAAUUUAUACCAUUAGAAAGAGUUUUUCAAUACGGAUCCAACAAUAUCUCUUUUGUGUCACAAUAAACUGAUAUAGCUAAUGUAAAUUUUGGUCAAAAUUUGGUAUAAAAUUCCGUGUGGGCUUACAUACCCGGAUGGAGAGGGUGUGGGAGCCGACCCAUCAAUUGGAUAUGUUUGAAUACAACGGAUUUUAGAUGCAUUACUCUUAUUUGCCCGUUCUCUACUUCAGGGAGCCCCAUCCAGUAAAAAGAAUGAAAACCAUGAAAAGAUUCUCUACACCCUCCAUCCUGAAAUAAGUCCCUUAUUUCAGGGAGUAUAUGAUUUCAAGAUUGGUUCCAAAUACUACAGAGAGCAAUAACACAAGGCAUUCACUUUGCCAAGAAAAGGAAAGCCAAUAGCCAUCUCUUGGUAGGAUGGUACGGUCGUGGGGCGUGAGUCUAUCACCAGGAUUUCAAUGGCCCUACACUUUGCUGCGUUUGCUAGAAAUUUAGUGUGAUACAUGGAGACGCAGUUGCUUUGUGUGCGUGUGGACGUGCGCACAUCAGUCUCGUAACCGCAAAGAAAUAACUAAAGAAAAACAUUCAUGUUUCAACAGAACUUGACAAAAUAAUCUAAAAUUACACUAUUCUAGGGAGGUUCCACCUGGUUAUGCCGGCCACUUCCCAGCUGACGCAACAACAAAUAAACCGCGAACCGUUUCGCCUUAAAAAAAUGCGAAGGGCACGAUCUCUGUUCCGCUAUAAACCCCCUCGCCGAACCACGUCGAGUUGUCCAAAGCAGUCGCUUUGCCUCCAUUCUUCCAAAGCUCAACCCCAUCACAAGUUCACAACACGACACGACACAACGAUGACUUCUCCCAGAGAAGACGCGCCGGUGUCGACCAAACAGCAGUCGUCGCCUGACCGAGAGACCAACAACGGCAGCCCGCCACGGGAUCGGGCCCGGGCGCCGCGGCGGCCCGACAUGGGCACCGGGUGCGCGCUGCUCUGCUUCCACCUGCCGAUCCGCCCGACGAAGAAGAAGAAGAAGAAGCUGAAGCAGCCCGGCCCGCUCGCGAAGCUCGGCCCAGGCGACGAGAGCACGCCCGACGACUACUACUACGCGUCGGAGGCGGCGGCGUCCCAGCGCGUCACGUUCCUGGCCUCGGCGUCGCUCUCCACGUGGUGGCCCUCGUCGCCGUCGGCGUUGUCCGCGGACGGCGGCAUCGACGGCGCGUGGAGGAGAUCACCGUCCGGGGAGGCGGCGGCGCGGGGCGGCGGGGCUGGGGCGCGGUUGAGGACGCUGUCGUCGUCCUUCUCGUACUGGCGCCGGUCGCAGACGUCGUCGUCCCGCGUCAUGCCGCACGGCGCCGAUCAUCAUCAGUCCUUCUCUUUCCCGUCUUCGCCGGUGUCCGUGUCGUCCUGCCUGAGCACGCCCAGGAUCUCGCACGGGUGCAACCGGGAGUAGAUAGAGCUGGCUUUGGGGUCGACCGAUCCAUCCGUCCGUCGAUCGCCCCUCGAAGCUAGGCAUAUGCACGCACGGGCGCGCGCUUGAUUCUGCGUCACUCUGUAUCCCGAACGCACGGCACGGCGAUGUACGUUGCCGAUCUUAAUUUGGAUCAUCCUUUCAUACAGUACAACUUUUCGUAUCCUUGAUGUCGCGAUGGUACCGCGUGUGUUAGUUCAUUCCUCGUUUCAGUUUGCUAGUAACUCUCAGUUGUCUGAAAAUCUAGUCACCUGAAAUUGCACUCAGGUGUGUACAAUUUGACUGAAAAAUUGGUGCAGCUUUUGAGCAGUUUGACGAUGUUGAUCGAAGUCUAAAUUUUUCUCAAACAAAAUCAAGCAACUGAUGGAUAUGCCCACCCAGAGGGCGCUGUCGAUUCGUUUCAAACGACUCUUUCAUGCUGUCUUCGUCCACGGUUUGCGCGAAACAGUACUGCAAUAGUAGUUGGCCGCAGGACUGAUCGUGAGUCUGGACGCAUGGACGCACGUACGUACGCGCAGAGGUGGAACCAAUCCAACGAUCGGUCACUUUCUUUUCUUUCUUUUAUAUUCCUUGACCUUGGACGUACGCACGUACAGGAGGCCGAAUCGAUCGAUUCAACGUGAUCUAGCACGAUGACCUGCGACAAUAAACUACACUGUCAGAUGUUGACGAAGAUGAACUGUAGAAUCCAGGUGGAUGUGUAGUCGCUGGCUCGUUGCGCUAAGAGAAGUCUAAAAUUUUCUUUUUUAUACUGGGACAUGGAAAAAAAAAGCCCCGUUACAAAAGAAAUUUAGUUGGCUGGAACUGGGAACUGUGGCCAACCGUCCGGUUGCCCUUGAGACUGACAGAGACAGCAUUGGCUCUUGUCUUGGCUGACACGGGCAAAGGUUACAACAUAUUCUCCAUGCACUCGCUUGUUUCAUCCGAUCGACAAAGAUUUCGCCGUUCGAUCUGAUCAGUAUAUCACCCAGACGCGGCGGCGGAACCUCAUCGUUCGUCAAGCGAGGACUCCCAGGGACCGCGCCAGUGAGCUCCGCGCGUUGGCUGAGCGCCUGAGCCUGUCUUUUUUUUUUAGGGAAGACACAACUUUAUUCAAGUCUCAACAAAAAGGGAUGCAAGCAAUGCCAGAUGUAUCAACUAGCCACACGCGGCAUCCGAAAUAGCUAAAUUAUGAGCAUCAAAGUUAAAGAUUCGCUUCUCAUGCUUGAACUGAACUUCAUAAAACCACUUCUUGCGAUCCUCGAUGUCCUUGAGAAUGGCACUAUAAUAGCAAAGGUUAGCACCCCCUAAGUUCUUGAUCACGGACAGGCAAUCCGACGCGACUAGGAAGCUUUGGAGAUUAAGUUCUUCGGCCAAAGAUAAGGCUUUGGUGCACGUCUUUACCUCAAGCGCAGAUGGGUUUGGGUCAGUAAGACCAACGACCGUAACUGUCAAAGCGCCCAAGAAUUUCCCAUGAUCAGGCGAAGACAACCACCAAGAUGCCGGUUGUGGUGGGACUCCAACCACAGCCCAAGAGGCAAGAGCCACGAAGGGUGGCCCAACCAACCCCCCAAGCAUGAUAUUUGAGCAACGAGAACUAGUUGGGCCCACAUAACUCAAAACCAACGGCAAAACCUCUCUCCAAUCGGCAUACUUCCUCAAUAAACAAAGAAUGUCUCAACUUUGACUAAAUUUAAAUGCAUCUAUACGCUAAGUCAUGUCUAGAUACAUCCAAAUUUUGACAAACUUGAGACAUCUUUUGUUGGACGGAGGGAGUAUAUGGCCCAUGUGGACAUGCUACAAUUCCUCAAGCUCAGCCUCCAACUCUCUACCCACUUUAGGACUCAAAUUCAAUUUGGAUCAUGACUCCUUAUUACACAAGAAAACACGUGUCACUAAAUCCUCUUCUCUCUACAAAAGAUGCAUGACCAAAAUCGUUAUGUCGAUUGCGAAGCCUCUUAGUUAAGAAAUCUCGAACAACUCGUUUGACAAUCAUUAUUUGGGUCUAAAAUUUCGAAAAUUAUUUUGGAGUCUAGAAACCAACUUGUUUUGUUGCCACAUAGGAUGGGACUAGUCAGCGGCAGUUGCCUAGUUAAGCCCAUCCAGCCAACGGCCCCAAAUAGGAAAGUUUCUAAUUAGCUUAAUUGGCCUAUCACUAAUAUGGGUACUAAUAACUUUUCACAUACUAGCAACUUUGGAUACUACACUGGCAACUUUGAAUCAUACUCUAGCAACUUUUGCUUCUAUAUCGACAACUUUCACUGACAUACUAGCAUCUUGCCUGUUACACUGACAAUUUUGACUAUCAUACUUGCAACUUUAGCUGUUAUAUCAGCAACUUUGACUACCAUAAUAGCAACUUUGGUUGUUAUACCGACAGUUUUGAUUAUCAUCUAGCAACUUCCACUACUAUAAUCGCCAACUUUCACUCAUGUACUAGCAACCUUGGUUGUUAUACCGACAAUUUUGACUAUCAUACUAGCAACUUUCACUGCUAUACUCGCAACUUUCACUCACUAGCAACUUUCGCUUUAUACUUGCAACCUUGACUCACAUAUUAUCGACUUUGGAUGCUAUACCGACAACUUUGACUAUCCUACUAGCAUGUUUGAUCCGCAUACUAGCAACUUUGACAGCUAUACUCGCAAUUUUCACUCACUUACUAGCAACUUUAGCUUUAUAAUUGCAACUUUGAAUUACAUAAUAAUAACUUUGGCUGCUAUACCGAUAACUUUGACUAUCCUACUAGCAUGAUUGACUCACGUACUAGCAACCUUAACUAGUAUACAUGCAACUUUCACUUAAAUACCGACAACUUUGACAUGCAGCUUUGGUUGCUAUAUCGGCAACUUUUGCUCACAUACUAUAACUUUGACUUUUAUACUUACAACUUUAACAAUCAUAGUAGCAACUUUGGCAGCUAUACCGGUAACUUUGACUCACAUAACAACAAUUUUGUCUUCUAUAUAUGCUUACAACUUUGACUGUCAUAAUAUCAACUUUGACUGCUAUACCGACAAUUUUGACACACACAAUACCAACUUUUCGAUCCAAUCUAACAACAUCCACUCCACAAACAAUUUUGGUGUGCUUGGUGGUAACUUUGGCCAAUGAGAUGACAAUAUUGUCUUUCAUGCCGUCAAAUUUAACUUGUGUACUAGCAAUUUGGGCUCAUAUGCUGGCAACUAUGACUUCAUACUAGCAACUUUGCUUUCAUAUACUCCCUCCGUCCCAUAUCAACCGACACAAAUUUGUCCAAAUAUGAAUGUAUCUAUGGCUAAAAAGCCUCUAGAUACAUGUAAUAGAAAGUCACUUAAUAUGGGACGGAGGGAGUAAGUGACAGUUUUUGCUCUGCUCAAGCAACUUUUGCUAAUGUGUGACAAUUUUGUCUUUUAUCCUUGCGACUUUUAUUCUAUGUCUAUCAACUUUGUCUCAUGUUCUCGCAACUUUAAAUGAGUGCAACAAUUUGUAUUAAAAAAUAACCACGCUAGGUAUUUUACCAACUAACUACUCAUAUUUAUCAAAACAAAAAUACAUGUUUAACAAAUUUAUAUUCAAAAUCAUCCUAGUGAUAUACCAUGUAUAACAACUUUGAAUCAAUCAGGAAGCACCUAUUUGGGUUAUGUCGCCAACUAUCUACACAUAAUAAGCCAUUCCAACCAAAAUUAAAAUGAAAAACCCUACAGAUAAGAGAUUACAAGUACAAUCUACACAUUAAUCUAAUGUAUGAUAUGCAUCAAGCCAGUGCCCCGUCACCGGCGAGCACGACAAUUGGAUGAGUUGCCAAGUUAUAUUGUACCAGUAUUUUCUUAGCACUAAAAUAACAGUAUCUGCGGUGGGUAUUGCCUGUUUGCGCAAAACAGAAAAACACAACAACAAAUUUGGACACGUUGAGCAACUCUGUCAUUAAAACCCAGCAACUUUCUGUGUAAUUGGAACAACUAAAUUACAUGGAUCAACAUUAAGCAACUAUUAGGCCUAUUUUUGCAACUAGCUACAAAUUUUAACAACUUUUAUAUUCAGUCAUGAUCCUACCUGUGUGGGAUGCAACAACUUUGGAUCAACAUUAAGCAACAAUUUGACAUAUUUUAGCAACUAACUACAAAUUUUAGAAAAUUUGUAUAUAGGCACGAUUAUGCCUUGUGUGUAGUGGAGCAACUUUGGAUUAACAUUAAGCAACUAUUUGGCAUAUUUUUCCAACAAGCUACAUGUGAUAAGUUAUUACAACUGAAAUAAAUGUGUCAAACAAUUCUACAAGUAGCACAAUAAAAGUACAUGUAAGCAGAUAUAAACAUAAAAAAUACAACUAUUGUUGGUAACUAGCAACUAACUAAAAAAUAGAGAAAUGAUUAAAAAAUACAAUCCUUGUUGAAUUAGCAAAGAUUUUGUUUCGAAAUCCUUUCAUUUAAUUUGUCAGCCGGGUCUUUUUCUAUGCUCUGAUUUCUUUGGAUAUCGCUUUUAAUUGAAUUUCCGUUUUCCAGAAUAGGAUUUACCAAAUUUUUCAUGACUCUGAGGUUCAGCCCAAUCCAGCAUUUCGUUCUCUUUCCUUCCGAUACUAAAAAAGGAUUGAAAAGGGUAAAAUUUCUUCAUGUCAUGAAGAAUUCGAUUUCUCGCAUAGCAAUAACUAGAAUUAAAAAAAAGGAAAGACAAAGCAUCUGGGAAUAAACCUGCUAAAACAGCAAACCAUAGAGUACUUAGCACAGGUGCUACAGAGAGAAAUGUUUUUAUAUUCCGCGUUGAAAAUCCUCCUUUCAAUAACUUUAGCAACUUUACAUUCAAAAAAUCAAACCAUAUCCCUCUCCCAUCUCUUUUUCCUCCUGGGCCGCAACCCACCUUUCUCUUCCUCCUUGUUUUUCCCUCCUGGGCUGCACCUCCUACUCUUGGCGCAUGUGCCCAUGUUGUGGCCGACCGCACCUGCUGGCCCAUCCGACCGAACGGGUCGUCUUCCUCUUCCUCCACAGUCCUCACGUUGAACCUACAGAAGCAACUCCAGUGGAAGCUGUUGAAUUCUCCUUCAAUUCUCUCUCCCCCAUAUGAUUUCUCCUCAACUUGAUACAUUGGAAUUAUUUCCCUUCACCCCACGAAUCGAUUCUGCCCUUUAGCUCCCCGUUUCAUCUCCUUUAUCUUCUCCAAUUUGGAGAUUGUUUUUCUGUUGUUUAUUGAGCAGUCAUAGGCCAACAUCAAAUCACUAACCUAACAGGCCGCUGAGCUGGGAAUCCCUCGCAGAAAGGCCACCUUGCUGGACCCUCACCGCUUCGUGGCGGCGCCGCCGAGGCUCCGCCGCUGCUUGGGCGCGGCCAGCCCUUCCCGCCCCGUCGGAAUCCCUCACCGUGCUGUGGCGGCGCCGCGCGGCCAGCCCCGUACCCGCCGCGCCGGAUGUAGGGAGGAGGGGGAGCGGGGGAGGAGAAGGGGAGGGAGGGAGCAGGCGGGAGAUAGGGGAGACAGGGGGACGGGAGGAAGAGCGGCACAAGGAAACGGGGAGGAGCAACAGGAGACUGGAGGAAAGGGAAGGAUAACGGGAUGGUAAGGAGGGAUCGUGUGCUCCCGUUGCGUGUAGAAACCCACCUGGUCGGGGCGUGGCCUAGCGGUCGAUCGGACGCGCGAGUCGCAGGAGCGUGCUCUCGCUCGUCUCAAAAAGUGCAGCUGCACCAUCUACCCAUUGGGUUUGAAUAAACAAACCGGGCCAAAUACAAAACGGUGGACGCCAACGACCAUCCAGCACGGCACCAAGCCACCAACCACUCACGACUUGCCAGGUCAGAACGCCAAUUGACAGCUCGGGAGCCCACCCCGCGUCAUUACUCAUUUCCAUCGGACUCGCCAAAGCGCCGGCAGCCGCAGCCGCAGCGCCUCGCGUCGCAAUUCGCAAACGCCGGCAACCGCACCGUACCAUUACCGGCGAGGGCGACGACCACCAGGAGCGAUGGGGCGGAAGCGCGCGGUGCUGGUGGGCAUCAACUACCCGGGCACCAAGGCGGAGCUCAAGGGCUGCCUCAACGACGUGGCCCGCAUGCGCCGCUCCCUCGUCGACCGUUUCGGCUUCGCGGAGGCCGACAUCCGCGUCCUCGCCGACGCCGACCCGGCCGCGCCGCAGCCCACGGGGGCCAACAUCCGACGCGAGCUCGCGCGGCUCGUCUCCGACGCCCGGCCAGGGGACUACCUCUUCUUCCACUACAGCGGCCACGGCACGCGCCUGCCGGCCGAGACCGGCCAGGACGACGACACCGGCUACGACGAGUGCAUCGUGCCCUCCGACAUGAACCUCAUCACAGGUCGGUAAGGGGGAUUCGGAUUGCCUUUUGUUUUGUUCCGUGCGCUGUUGCUUCUGUCAUUAUUCUGUUUCGAACUAGUCAAGAAGUGGGGAUCGAAUGGUAGGUGAGAUUUGAAAGGGAUGCUAUUUUGCUGGCCCGUUUACGACGACUAAGCAAGGCUGGAUUGUGGUAAUUUCUGAUUGGAUUGGCUUUAAGGUGACUACGGUUUAGACACUACUACUUUGUUCUAAAUCAGCGACAAAAUUAAUAUGGAACUGAGCGAGUAGCAUAUUGUGGUUAUUCAGUACAUAAUCGAAUUAGUAGUUGAGUGACUAAACUUUCAGAUAGAGAACAAACGAUUUCGAUAUACUCGGUAAAAUGUAUCCACUGGUGUAAGCAAUACUAUUGUUUCUCUCAAAAUGUACAUAAAUGGAAGUGAGCACAAGGAGUUCGUCUCUCCUUUUGUUCUGAGAUUCCAUCUCUCCACUAAUACUUAUUGGAGCUGCUAUCUUAUAAAUAUGUGAAUUAUGCACCUAAAACUAGGAUUGCAUAGCACAGUUUAUGUAACUAAAGUCUUAAUACAUAUUCUCUCCAUUCCUAAAUUCUUGUCGCUGUUUUAGUUCAAAUUUGUACUAAAACAACAACAAGAAUUUAGGAACGGAGGUAGUAGUAAACACUCCAUUUCCCUUUCUUGAGAGCACUAUACUUUAAGAGUUCCUGCUUGGUUCUUCAGAAUAACAGAAGCACUAAUACAUUGCCAUUUGCAAAAAAAUUGUUGACAAUUUUAAUGGGUAGGAAUAUCAUGUAAUUUCUCUAUCUGCACUACUUAAGAGAGCGCUGCAGGUUUUCUGUUAGAUGCCAAUUUUAUAUCAACAUUUGUAAAACAAGUGGAAUUUAGACCCUACUUGGUUUAUUACUCCCUCCGAUCCAUAUUAAUUGUCUCAAAUUUGUCCAAAUAUGGAUGUAUUUGUGCCUAAAAAGCAUCUAGAUACAUGCAAUAUUUCGAGAACUAAUAUGAAUCGGAGGGAGUACCAAAUUUUGCGAGGUCAGCAAAUUCUGGUUCUGUUUGUUAUAAGCAAGAGUUUGCUAAUUGUGUAGAAUUACUAAAUUUUAGGCGUGUCAGGCAUGCCAUUGGUUACAAACAUCAAACCAAGUAAGCCUCAAGUCCGUUAAACUGAUUAAGUUUUAGGCCCCAAUCUUAUAGGUGAAUUGAGCCUAUAUCAUGCGGAGGGUACCAGGUUAAUUCAAACCUGUAGUGGAACGGCACCAAGUCGAACUAAACACUAGUGAAUAAGGUAUAAAUUUAAAGCAAAACAUAGUUGACAGAAGAUUUAUAAGUUCGCUCGGUAAAAAAAGAUACGGAGUAUAUAAGUUCACUACCAAGCCAUGUUUGAAUUUGGCACUUGUUCUCGGGUUGCCUGAUUCAUGAUUUUUCCUGGCACUAGGGUGCUGCAUGCUUGCUUCAAUUCUUAGCCAGUCAAUUAGGUCGAUUCUAUGAGCGCUAUCUGCAGAUAAAUUGCUAGUGCUGUGGUAAUAUUCUGUUUUUAAGUAGUGGUAACCGAGAAGGCAACCAAUACAUAGAGGUAGAGCAAUUAUUAACAACUAACAUCUUGCAUCUCUUUCUGUCAGUGGCAUUCUCAAACUUUUUUGUAUGCUAUGCAGACCAAGAUUUCACAGAGCUUGUGCAAAAAGUCCCUAAUGGCUGCCUGUUCACCAUAGUCUCUGACUCCUGUCACAGCGGUGGCCUGCUCGACAAAGCCAAGGAGCAGAUUGGGCACAGCACAAAGCUGAAACAGGUCAAGCAAGGCAAACGUGAAGAGCGGUCUGAUUCCGGCACCGGCUUUCGGUCCUUCCUCAAAGAGACCGUCCGGGACGCGUUUGAGUCUCGAGGAGUUCACCUCCCUCAGCACGGCCACCAGCAGAGCGGGCACAUUGACAGUGAGGCUGAGGAGCCAGAGAUAGACUCAGGCACCGAUGGCAGCAUCAAGAACCGGUCGCUGCCCCUCUCAACAUUCAUCGAGAUGCUCAAGGAGAAAACUGGGAAGGAUGACAUUGAGGUUGGCUCAAUCCGGAUGACGCUGUUCAGUCUCUUCGGUGACGAUGCCAGCCCCAAGAUCAAGAAGUUCAUGAAAGUGAUGCUGGGGAAGCUCCAGCAGGGCCAGUACGGCGGUGUGGUGGGCUUCGUGGGCGCCCUGGCACAGGAGUUCCUCAAGGCUAAGCUGGAGGGCAAGCAAGGAGAAGAAGCGGAAGAUGCUCUCAAGCCGGCCAUGGAGCAAGAGGUGAACAGCGUCCAGGAGGUGUACGCCGGGACAACGGCGAGGGUGCCCAGCAACGGCGUGCUGAUCAGCGGUUGCCAGACCGACCAGACCUCUGCAGAUGCGACCACACCCAAGGGCAUGUCCUACGGCGCGCUCAGCAACGCCAUCCAGGCUAUCCUCGCGGAGAAGGACAAGAAGGUGACGAACAAGGACCUCGUGCUGAAGGCGCGGGACUUGCUGGCCAAGCAGGGGUACAAACAGCAGCCUGGACUCUACUGCAGCGACAACCACACCAAUGUGGCUUUCAUAUGCUGAAAACCUGAAACUUUAGUUGUCUUUUAUCCAUUGAUGGGAGGAUUCUCCUUGUGUCAACUGUGAACCGAGUGCCGACUGCCAUUUCCUGUGGGUUUGGACUGGAAACCUGGAUGGUAUAUCUUGUGUGAAGAAUGGUUUGUUUGAUGUUUCAGGCUUCAGGCCUUCAGCACAGAAUGACAUUCACAUGCAUACCCUGAGGAUAUAAUUAUCCACACAGAUAAUACAUACUCCACACUCAAUUCAUGCUUUCUCAAAAGCAGAAAAAAAAGGGGCACUAUAAACCUGCCUUUUCAUUAGUAUAUUUUCGACUCUGCUGCCUUUUCUCUGUUAGUGGCAACUGUGGCAAGUGGCAACUGAUAUGCAUCAUUCUGUAGUCGCCGCAAUAAUGUAACCCAGCCGCAGUUUCUACGGGCGUAUGGAAAAAAAAAAUACCAUAUGCUUGCCAAUACCGCCAGAGCCCAGAACAAUAGGACCAUCGGAGUAUCAUGCUGACACGGAAAGUUCAUCUGCAGAGACGUUGGCUGAAUAAUAUGUGGCGCCACGAGCUAAUACAAAAAGAUGGAGCACUGGCCUCUGGCAGCGAUGACCACGAGCUGCCAGAUUACAACGCCAGUCCGCACAGCUCGCCUCCCCAACAACCCCAACCGCGUCCCCCGGCCGUGGGUGCCGUUGCCGGCCUUCUCCAAAGCGCGUCGCUAGCUGCUAGUCUCUCCGGCAGAGACGAACAACGAUGGGCCGGAAGCGCGCGGUGCUGGUGGGCAUCAACUACCCUGGCACGGAGGGGGAGCUCAAGGGCUGCCUCAACGACGUGACCCGCAUGCGCCUCUGCCUCGUGGACCGCUUCGGUUUCGACGAGGCCGACAUCCGUGUCCUCGCCGACGCCGACCCGUCCACGCCGCCGCCCACGGGCGCCAACAUCCGGCUGGAGCUCGAGCAGCUCGUCGCCGGCGCGCGGCCCGGGGACUCCCUCUUCUUCCACUACAGCGGCCAUGGCCUGCAGCUGCCCGCCGAGACCGGCCUCGACGACGACACUGGCUACGACGAGUGCAUCGUGCCAUCCGACGUCAACCUCAUCAAAGGUAACAUGAGUACACGACAAGCUAGAGUGCAAGCUGCAAAGAGCUCACUUUGUCAAGAGGAUGCUGAGUGAGUGAUCAACUGUCUUUCUACGCGUUGCAGACCAAGAUUUCACGGAGCUGGUGCAGAAAGUCCCCGACGGCUGCCUCUUCACCAUGGUGUCCGACUCGUGCCACAGCGGCGGCCUCAUCGACAAGACCAAGGAGCAGAUCGGGAGCAGCACCAAGCAGAGCAAGAAGGCCCAACAGCACCGCCCUCCUUCCUCCGCCCCCGGCAAGCUUUGCGCCACGCUCGUCGACGCUGUCCGGGCCGCGCUCGAGUACAUCGGCAUCCGCCUCCCUCGCCGCGCCACGGCCACGGCCACGAGCCGGUCUCUGCCCUUGCCGACGUUCAUCCGGAUGCUCAGGGAGCAGACCGGCAAGGACGACGUCGCCGUGGGAUCGAUCCGGACCACGCUGUUCCACCACUUCGGGGACGACGCCACGCCCAAGAUCAAGAAGUUCGUCCAGGCCAUGGCCGGCGGCAUGCUUCGGCAUGGCGCAGCCGCCACUGGCACAGGGCUGAUACCCAACGGCGUCAACGCUAAGCCGGAGGGCGACGAAGAAGGAGAUCAGGCCGACGCGCUCGGCCCAGCCAUGAAACAGGAGCUGCUCCAGAGCGUGGAUGAGGUGUUCGCCCGGGCCGUGGGGGUGCCACGGCGGCCAAGGAACGGCGUGCUGAUCAGCGGGUGCCAGACCGACGAGACCUCGGCGGACUUGACCACGGCGCAGGGCGCGUCCUACGGCGCGCUCAGCAACACCAUCCAGGCCGUCCUCGCCAAGGAGAAGCGCCGGAAGGUGACAAACAGGGAGCUCGUGCUCAGAGCGCGGGAGUUGCUGUCCAAGCAGGGCUACGUCCAGCAGCCCGGACUUUACUGCAGCAACGAGCAUGCCGAUGUGCCUUUCAUAUGCUGAUUGCUCAACUGUCGGUCCAGUGUUGUGCAUAGCGACUGAUGGUGCCUUUACUCAUUGAUGGGAAAUUCUCCUCCGGGUGCCAAUUUUGGGUUUGGAUUAUAUUUUGGUGGUACUUGCAGUGAUUUGAGUUUUCAACUUAGCAAAAAGAUUCCCGCAAAAAACAAAGAAGCAGAAGACCUUUUUGUUUUGUUGUUGAAUUUGACACAAAGUAACCGAAGGCUGAGGAAAAUUGACAGAACGUGUUCUGUUUGAAUUAGGCUCGUAUUCACGUGUCACCGAAAUAUUCUGGCCCCCUCAGCCUUGGUGGGAUGGGUCUGCCUGCCGGACUUGCAAACUUUUGCUCGGGCGCCCCGGGUCCGCUGGCUCCGUUUCGCUUGGGCUGCGCCAGAUAGGCCAUUCGACCAACUUGAGCACGAUCAUGUCGCGCGGCCGACGUGGUGGCGCGUUGCAUAUUGGGGAUGAUCAGCGCGCCCUCUUCUGGCACUCCUGCUGGCUGGCAUCGUCCCCGCUUCGCGUGUUGUGGCCACGGCUCUUCGCAUGUUCCUGCCUGGAAAACGGAACUGUUGCCACGGCUUUGGACAACGAUUGCCGGAUUAGGAACGUCCGACACCAGUUCACUCAUGAUAUGUUGUGGGUUUUUCAUUUGCUUAUCGCGAAUGAUCAAUAGGCUGGCGUAGUGUUCCAAGAGGGCAUGCCGGAUACCAUUCGUUGAAAGCUUACGUCCAAUGUGCAGUACUCGGUGAUGUCAUACUUUUUUUUUCGGAAAAGGUGGUUGGAACUGGCUGCAUCAAAAUGAUUCAUACAUCCAUCUUUUAUUAAUUAUUUAAACAAGUCCAGCAAAACAGAUACAUCAAUCGAAACUCCAAAGCCACCAAGUUAUACAUACUAGCCUCAUGAAGGGUGUGGUUACUAUCGGAGCCAUCCAACAUCUAAAACCGGAGGUCACGAAGGCACAACCAGACAAGCUAAUUCCCAACGUAUGCCGAGUGCGCACACUCCAAAAUCAGGCUGCCACCGUUUUCCACCAACCCAUAUUCAGACGAGAGAAUGACGCAUUGAAAUUGCCAGGCCUGGCAACAACAACGCAUACCAGAGCCUUACCAAAUGUGCCCAGUCGCAGACCAAGAUCAUCCCACCCGCAGAUCAAGCAUUCCCCCAACGGCGUCCCCAAGGGGGAGAGCGCCGCCACCAGCGCCGCCAUAUUCUAGUCCGAGAACUUUGGAUUUUCACCCGGGAACCUUGAGAGGGGGGUUUGGGAGCACCUCGACAACGCCUCACGGAAGGGAAGAGACGUCCAGAAAUGUCACCGUCAUCGUGAUCGGACAAGUCGACCAAGAGUUUACACCGGUAUCACACCCGCACCACCAGCACUCUGCCUUUACGAAAGCCGACGAAGCGUCGACUCACAGAUCCGAAGAGGUGAAGAGAGCCACAACCACAACAUGCCAAUGGCUGCCCAGCCGGAUUGAGCAAGCCCGCUGCCUCCAAUGACGCAGCCACGCAGGCCGCUGCCUCCAAGGACGCAGCCGCGCCCGCCCGUGCCCCCGACCGUGGCCAGGGCAUCCGCCGCCUCUGCGCAGCCCGAGCAGACAGUCGCCCCCGCCAAGACUGGCCAGGGCCAGCUGCCGCAGCUGGGGCACGGCUGCCACGAGGCCCGCGACAUGGAUACCGCCACUAGGCCUGGCCCGUGCUGCCGCCAGGACAACGCAGAGCCCGACAUGCGCACUGAGGACCGAACUCUGUACUUUUUGUCAACCUAGGAUCUCUACUAUUUUCAUUACGCAAAACAUAACGAAAAUACAAAGUCUGACCAUGGAUGUCACCGGCGUCCGCAAUUGAAACGCUGACUAAGUGACAAAAAAAAUGCCCCUACACUACAGCCCUACCAAAGGAUGAGACCAGCAUUCGUCGAACUCGUACCGACCUCUGCAUAUCGAUCUGACGAUCCUCGACAAAGAAGAUGGACUAUUGCGUGGAGGAUGGCCCAACAACUACUUCUGUCCGGUCUGCAUGCGAAACUUAGAAAACCUCGGCUCAUCUUCUGGAUCAGGGUUCGGUAUGGCGCCAAAUUUGGAAGGUGUCGUCAGUGGGCUGGGUGUCGUCCCUCUGGCCUCCCCGGUCUUGGCCAUCAGAUGUCUCGGUGGAAGGAGCCCAUACUUUAAUCGCUGAUAGUUCAGCACCUGCGACGCAGGGCGCAGGAAGGAAUUCAUACCCUGGUUCUUUUAAUCUCAUGGCAAAUUUGGUUAGAGUGCAAUCGAAGGCCUUUCAAGAACAAAAGCUCCUAAAAUACCAAAACUAUCAUUUGGGAUGCAUUUCGGAGUCCAAGGGUUCCUGAAAAUGCUCACCUACACACCCUUGGUUGGGAAACAGCUUUUUAGGAAUCUUCCUCCUGCCUUUCUUCUUUUCGUUCUCAGAGUUUUUUCAUCCUUGCCCUAGAGCCCGUAGAUAGUUCUCUCUGCUAAUGGGUCUUAAAAAACAAUUUUCCUGAUUCUAAUGGGUCUCUUGAUGGAUGACCAGAUGAGGUGAGUCCAUACCGCCUUCCAUUAUUUGAAUUCUUUUUCCUUAUUGCUAAGUUGAUCUCGUCUGAAAUAUUUUCUGGGCCAUAAAAAAAUUGCUACAUGGAAAACGUGGUGUGUAUCUCCUCCAACAUCUAAUAAACUAGUGAAAACUGGUUCAUUGCCAUUUCUGCAAAUCAUUCAAGGGUGAUCGGUCUUUCGGUGUGCUCAUAAAAUUUGUUAUAAUCUACUCUUGUACUAAUAUCCCCCCUUGUACAUAAGAAAACAUGCAUGUUCUAAAAACUAGUUCCCCCUUUAACUAAUAUUCUUUUGUACUUCCCUGAUCCUAAAUUCUUUACUCAAAUUUGGUCAAAUAUGGAUGUAUCUAUUCUUAAAAAGCGUCUAGAUACAUGUAAUAUUUUGACAGCAAUUUAGGAUCGGAGAGAGUACUAUAUUGAAUUAUUGAUACAAUCUCCCAAUUAUUUCGAUUCUGAUUCAUAAUUCAGAUUUGCUGGGAAAUUUCAGGUAACUUCUCGGCAUGUUGUGCCCUGCGCUCAUGUUCUCUUCUGAUCCGCUAAUAACGCGUUAGCAUUACAAUGGAGAUACAGCAUACGGCCGGCCAUAUCAUGCAUGCACGGAGAUGGACGGCGCUAAUAACGCGCUCGCGACGAUCGAUCCGUUCGAACGGGGCUGGCUGCAGCAGAUCGAUCAGCAUACACGCUCUCCACGUCGGAGAAAUAGAGAGUUCGAGUUAUAGCAAAGAUAAUGCAAGUAUUGAUUACUCCAAAAAACAAGCCCAAGCUCUCGCCAACCUAGAUGUGAUCGAGAACAGCCAUUUGGUUCCCAGGACUAUCGAAAGAAAGAGAGAGAACAGCCGUGUGCGGCCGACCGGAUAUUUCUAAGUCGUAUAAUAAAUUUAUUUUCUGCAAAAAGAAAAAAAAGGAUUUGCUGGGAUUUCUGCAGGAUCGGACGGAGUUGUUCGAUGUAGAGAGUUGAAAAUAAUUGAUAAGACAGUCACAAAAAAUUAGAUAUGUACUUGGUCAAAAAAAAAAGAUAUUUACAAGAAUCGCGAUUUUAGCAACAUGAGGAAUUUUAAGUUGAUUCUUCAAACAUAAUAUUAAGAGUUUGUUAAUGCGUAACAUUCUUUCUAUAAUCGUUGUCAUUCUAUAAUCGCUGUUAGAGAUGUAUCAUCUUUUCUAAGGCCAUGUUUGUUUGGUCUUCUGUUUCAGCUUUUGGUACUUUUAGCAAUCUCAAAAGCACUUCUUCCGUUUACACAUGAAGCUGAGGUGUUUCUUCUCAGCUUCAUGUGUAAACGGAAGAAGUGCUUUUAAGAUUGCUACAAGCACCAAAAGCUGAAGCAGAAGUCCAAACAGGCAUGGCCUAAGUUUGUUUACGCAUCUACCUGCUCCUGCGCCACCUCUGACCGAGGCCGAGGACCACUCAUGUUGUUGUCUUCCUCUGUCUUAAUUCCUUGCUGGGCACAACCGUGUGCCGCAAACCUCCAACGAUGCGAUAGAGAGAUCAUGACGUCCGCUGCCAGGAUGGAGUUCGACAUAAAAAGAAGUAUUUGCCCCAUCAAAUCGCUAACUCGUAUAUUUUCACGUCAAGUUUCUUAUUCUAUAAACACACGCAUAUGGAGACCUAUAAUUAUGCAUAUUUGACACUUUAGGACUUGCGUGCACCUGCACACUUACUAGUAAGUAAUAAGUGGCGUACUGGUUGAUUGUGUAGGAUAAGGGGCAUGCAUUCUCUGUUUCACAAAACACCUCAUAUAAUUUUUUACUUUUGUUUCAUAACGCACCUCAUAUUUCUCUUGUUUCCCACACAGAGAAAAUCAUAUAUUUCUCCGUCCAACAAUGGAUGUCUCAACUUUUAUUAAAUUUGAAUGCAUCUAUACACUAAGUCAUGUCUAGAUACAUCCAAAUUUUGACAAACUUGAAACAUAUUUUAUUGGACGGAGGAGUACAACCCUUUGCAUGAACGACCAAGUGCGUCGACCCAGCUUCUCACCGUUUGAUCCCUUGAUUGAUUCCCGCUCCAAAUCCCAACUGCAUCGUUGCUUCCUUCAGAAUAUAUAAAUCGUGCGGUCAGUGUAGUGGUCCAGCAUUGGGUCUCCAGACAGGGGGUCGUAUAGGAUUUUCUUCCUCCCGCACCCAUUUACUCUCAAUCCAACAAGAGUGGUCAAACACUAGAAACGAGAGCUGUUUUGGUCCAAGUGCACAAAUCUAUAUGAUGUGUUUUGUGUAACAGAGAAAGUAAGGCAUAUAUAAGCCACAUGGUCGGUGCAAGUGUCCUCCGCAGUCCACACGGCACACAUAAACUUCAAGAUCCAUAUGCGUUGUACGUCGUGAAAUAUCGACCUUAGUGGCUUAAAGCUACAAGGUACUCCGUACUUAGGGCGUGUAUAAUAGGAAGCCUUCUAUUAACAAUGUCACGCAGGAUAAUUGUUGAUGUGGAAGAGAGUACGUAAUAAAGAAAAAUACGAGCCUUCUCUUAACUAAGAGAUUAUAUUUUCACAAAAGAUAAGAUAAUUUCUCCCAUUCUAUAGAUUUCAUCUUUUCUAAACAUUUUUUAAUCAAUUUUACUCAUUUAAGCAUUAAUUGUAUAUGGGAAAAGCAUUUUACCUUGCAUACUCAAUUGUAUAUAUGAAAUUAAGAGAUAAUAUGUUGUGUGUUUCUAACGACGUGAGAUGAAUAAAAUAAGGUAAUCUUCUCAACCAUUGUACGUGCCCUUAAGGCGUGUCAGUCUUCUCUAAAUGAUGUUAUAUAAGAUGAUUGCUAAUUUGGAAGAGAGAGAAGUGAAAAAAUGGCCUGGUCCUUCUUUUACCUAGACGAUCUCUUUACAAGAAAGAUAAUGACACUUUUUCGUUGUCCUAAAUUUCAACUUUGCUUCAAGUUUAAUAAUUUUAUUCACUUAAACAUUAAUUGCAAGAAGGGACAUGUAGAGAUAACCUAUUGUACAGAAACAUGUUUUAUUGUUUUCUUUAAAUGACGUGGAUCAUAUAGAAGAAGACAACUUUUUUCUGAGGAAAAACGGUCGAUUUUCGGCAUUUGAUUAAUAGGAAAUCACUGUACAAACGGGAUCAAAGGCUAGUCUCUAGGAAGAAACACCGUGGGGGUGGGGGAGGUAAAAAAAACCCGGAGGAGAUACCGUCACGUUCUUGGAUCUUUAACGUUUUCUCUGUCCCACGUAUAUUGGACUACCCACAGCUACUAGAAAUAAACUACUCUCUCUGAUCCUAAAUUCUUAACUCAAAUUUGCUCAAGUAUGAAUGCAUCUAUUUUUAAAAAACGCCUAGAUACAUGUAAUAUUUCGACAACAAUUUAGAAUCGGAGGAAGUAUAUGUCUUCGAGAGGUACGUAUCCCAUGACAUAUAUUAUCUCACUACCAUAUGCAUGCAUCUUGCUAACGGAUAUUGACACCACUUGAUAUGCGAACGGCAGGAAUGUGAGGCCGAAGAUGACGUGGUCGAUCUUCUUCCAAAUCUUCAUCCUCGCGCUGCUCGGGUUAGUGCUCGUUGCCUCUAACGAACAACAUCAUCAUAUAAAUUAUCAGUUCGAUCUUUAAUCGAUCCAAGUGAAAGCAUCUGAAAUUGCACGCUUGCUGCUGCAUGCAGACCGGUGAUGGACCAAAAUUUCUACUACCUCGGGCUCAAGUACACAGGCCCGACGUUCGCAUGCGCGAUGAGUAACAUUCUGCCGGCCAUGACCUUCGUCAUGGCCAUGAUCUUCAGGUAGUACAAUUUUAUACGUACUCUAGCUUUUAUUCGCGAAUAACUUAGUCGAUCUGCACAUUGAUCUGGUGCAUGCAUGCACGGAUCGAUAGAUCACCAGAGAGAAGUUGUUUAACGUUGCAUAUAUGCAUGGUGUUUGAAUAUUGUCAGGAUGGAGAAGAUAGAGCUGGAGAAGGUUCGGUGCCAGGCGAAGAUCUUGGGGACCGUGGUGACGGUGGCCGGCGCGAUGCUGAUGACGUUGUACAAGGGCCCGCUUAUGGAGCUGGGCCGGACGAACAGGCACGGCGGUGCCAUCCCGGAGGCCCCCGCCGCCGUGGAUGCCAUUGCCAGGGAGUGGUUCUUGGGUUCCAUGUUCCUCAUCAUCGCCACCUUUGCCUGGUCCUCCCUCUUCAUCCUUCAGACCCACACCAUCAAGCAGUACUCCGCCCAGCUCUCCCUCACCACCCUCAUCUGCUUCGUCGGCACGCUUCAGGCCACCGUUGUCACCUUCGUCAUGGACCGCCGCCCCUCUAUCUGGGCCAUCGGCUUCGACAUGAACCUCCUCGCCGCCGCCUAUGCCGUAAGUUUACUCUUACUCCCAUACCACCCGGCCGAUCUCCAUGAUCUAGCUAGCUUCUCCCAAAUUGUGACGGUUUUGUGGGUCAUUCUUGCAUGAUCGAUAAGUUGUUGUGUUUGAUUUUUCAGGGGACCGUGACGUCGAGCCUUGCGUACUACGUGCAGGGGCUGGUGAUGCAGAAGAAAGGGCCGGUGUUCGCAUCGGCGUUCAACCCGCUGACAAUGAUCAUCGUGGCUGUCAUGGGCACGUUCAUCCUGUCCGAGAAGAUAUACCUCGGGGGCGUCUUAGGCGGCCUGGUGAUCGUGAUCGGGCUCUACGCCGUGCUAUGGGGCAAGCACAGGGAGACGCAGGACAAGGAGGCGGACGCAAAGACCACGCUGCCGGUGGCCUCAGCCAGCGCGACCGGAGACGACCACGACGACGACGAUGAUGCGGAGUGCAAGAAGAAUGUGGCUGGGGUGAGGUCAUUCUCCAACGGACAUGGAAGCGAAUCAGCUAGUGCAGUUGUUUGAUGGACCGAGAAAAGUUCAGUUAUUUGCAUUGUGCUCUUGAACAUGAGAAGUUGUUGGCUAAUUUGCAUGCUAGCUAGUGUUUGUUUUUCAUUUAUCUUAUUUUCUCAGAAUACUUGAUCCUUGUACAGCUAUUCCCGUCCACUUAAUAGAAAAAGCAGUGCUCCUGCUGCUUCGUCAAAAAAGGGCAUGCUACUAUGGACUCCUCUCUCGACUGCUCGUCCACGACGCGCACACUAGAGGCGUCCGGUUGGAAUGACAGAGGUUUUCUGCUAGGAAUUGUCUUUGCUCUCCGUCGUUUCCCAUAACCUCUUCGUCAGCCCAGCUCCACGCUCAGGCGUUUAUGUACACUCAGCAUAGCCGCCUUCUCUAUCCCAAAAGACCAGUCCUAUGAAAGGAUGGCUACUCUGUAGUCCUCUUUAACUAGCAAUGACAACUCUUGAUACCGUAACAUCUCAUGUCCGUGACUAAAGUCACUAACAACAUUUGGUACGUAACAUCCCAUCGUCCUAAGACUAAAGUCACUGACAAACUUGAUGGCAAAGACAAGUUUAGAAAAUAAAGACACCACUACUUCAAAUCAAAAGUUAUUAGAGCAGACUAGUGUGCAUCACAAUGCUGCAUUCAUUUAUGUCAUUGUACGACACAAGCGGUUUUCACAUGUAUCCCGGUUCCAAACUAUUUUCUGAACCUUAAAUCAAAUUUCAGGUAGAAAAAUUAAACUGACAAUUCCCUACCUGUCUCCACCCUAUCGCUGGCACAUUCGUUGGUUUCAGUCCUGCGUUGUAGGGCCUAUUCGGUUUGUAGGGUUUUGGAAUUAUAGGAAAAGGAAAAAUAAAGGAUUGAGAUCUCAUGUCUAAAUGAGAUCUCACCUAUGUAUAGAAUCCUUAAAAAUUAGGUCAAUUUGAGACCAAUCCUUAAGAAUUUAGCAUCCCAAUUCUUAUGUAACGAAUGCUACACCUAUGAAAGAAAUUCCUUAAGAUUUUAAAUCCUACAGAAAUCCUCUAAAAUUCUUACGAACCAAUGAGCCCGUGACAAUUCCACUCCGGUCACACAAUGUUGUAGCAUGAUCAGAACAGGCCAAGCUCAGAUCAUACGAAGAACAGGGGCCAGGGGGGGCACACAAGGCACCAAUCCCCCCAAACGUCUCCAUCGCCGUGAUCGCCGCCGCCUCCCUCCCCCACACAGCCACCGCAGCCAUCGUCCCGACCUCUCACCAGCGAUAAGCAAAUCCGCCUCCCCUUUCUCCCGUCCACAAAACCCCCUUUCUUUACGACCCCCUGCCCCCUUCCCUUCCUUCCCGGCUCCCACCUCACUCGCUCGCGCACGCAUCUCCGGUUCUCCCCCCCCGCCCCCAGCAGAGGCUCCGUCCGAAAACCCAAAUGGCGUCCACGGCCGCCUCACCCGCCGCCCUCGUCGCCGCGCGCCGCGCCGCGUCGUCGGCCGCCUCGCCGCUCCGCCGGGCCGGGCUCGCGGCCGGGUGCCAACCGGCGCGGUCGCUGGCGUUCGCGGCCGGCGGCGGCGCCGACCCGCGGCUCGCGAUCCACGUCGCCUCGCGCUGCCGCGCGGCGUCGUCCGCCCGCGGGACGCGCGCCGUGGCCACCAUGGCGAAGAAGAGCGUCGGCGACCUCGGCCCCGCCGAUCUCGAGGGGAAGCGCGUGCUCGUGCGGGCCGACCUCAACGUGCCGCUCGACGACAGCCAGAACAUCACCGAUGACACCCGUAUCCGCGCCGCCAUCCCCACCAUCAAGUACCUCCUCAGCAACGGCGCCAAGGUCAUCCUCACCAGCCACUUGGUAAGCAUCGACCUCUCAGCCUUUUCCUUUCCUAGGAAUUAACGAUCUUGGUCUCGCGUAGGAACCUAGGAAUUGCAGAAUGUGACUGCUUGUAUUGUAACAGUCUCUGAUCCGAAGAUGUGAUAUAUGAACAAUAACGUCUAGCUAUUUAUUGCCAGUUUGCUUCUUGCGUCGUGUGAUUAACAGACGGUUAGUCUGUCCUAAAACGACUGAUCAUCCUUGCCAGGGAACUAGUAGAUAAAAAAUGCUGGCCUAAUCCUUUUAAUUCAUCAUCUACUAUACGCUCUACAAUCAUAGAAAAUUGGAAGCUGACUUCUCCAAUGGUGAAUUGUCCCUUUGAUUUGAAUUCGAAACUUCAGAUUCCUGUUUUAUUAGCUACCGAGACACUGGUGCUUAUAAUUGCUCAUGCCAUCACAAUGUGAUUCAUAACACUGUCUCCUAUGGAUUUGCAGGGUCGCCCUAAGGGUGUUACUCCUAAGUUUAGUUUAGCCCCCCUUGUGCCAAGAUUAUCCGAGCUUCUUGGCAUACAGGUAUUCUUUUAUCCUACAUCAUUGAUACUAAUGAGCAUGUGCCACAGUGGCUGUACUGACUAGAAUACUUCUUGCGUCACGGAUUAGGUGCAAAAAGCAGAUGAUGUUAUUGGCCCAGAAGUUGAAAAAUUGGUGGCUGCCCUGCCAAAUGGUGCUGUUUUGCUCCUCGAGAAUGUAAGGUUUUACAAGGAAGAGGAGAAGAAUGAGCCAGAGUUUGCAAAGAAGCUUGCUGCACUAGCAGAUCUUUACGUUAACGAUGCUUUCGGAACAGCCCACAGAGCACAUGCAUCGACUGAGGGAGUUACCAAUUUUUUGAAGCCUUCUGUUGCAGGGUUCCUUUUGCAGAAGGUCACUACUUUAUUUUACUUUUGUUUUCGAACUUAGGCGCUUGAAUUCAAAAGAUACAAUGCAACACGCAACUAAAUAAAAACAGUAUCUAGAGCAGAAGAUUUAAAGUCUUCUUUUGUCCUUCUAUUCCUUUCAGACACAGCCUGAAGUUCUGUACAUAGUUGUUACAAAAUUAAAUUGCAGGAACUUGACUACCUUGAUGGAGCUGUUUCAAACCCUAAGCGCCCGUUUGCUGCCAUCGUGGGUGGCUCAAAGGUGUCAUCCAAGAUCGGGGUUAUCGAAUCCCUGUUGGAGAAGUGUGAUAUCCUUCUUUUGGGCGGUGGUAUGAUCUUCACAUUUUACAAGGCACAAGGACUCUCUGUUGGUUCUUCCUUGGUUGAGGAAGAUAAACUUGAGCUGGCAACAUCUCUCCUCGCUAAGGCAAAAGAAAAGGGUGUCUCCCUUUUGUUGCCAUCUGAUGUUGUCAUUGCUGAUAAGUUCGCCCCUGAUGCUAACAGCCAGGUAUGUUACAUUUUGCCUAAUCAUGAAAGAUAAUUAUCAGUAGACCUUUACUAGUCAGGUUGAAGCAGCUCAUAAUUUCUUGUCAUAUAAUUCUUCUAUAGACUGUGGCAGCAUCUGCUAUUCCUGAUGGUUGGAUGGGGCUGGACAUUGGCCCAGACUCAGUUGCAACAUUCAACGCGGC